AACGUUACUGCGAUCAAAAAAAGUAUGGAAGAGGUGCUUCUCCAUCUGACAAUCAACUACUCCAUUAUAAAGACUUAGCUAUUUUCUUCUUGGAGAAGGACAUGCGCCCUGGCACAACAAUGAAGUUCCAAUUCUCUAGAAAUUCAAACACGGCUACUUUCUUGCCACGAGAAAGCGCUCAAUCGAUCCCCUUCUCCUCUAACAAACUACCAGAAAUUUUCAACCAUUUUUCAGUGAAGCCAACAUCUGAGGAAGCCAAAACAAUUAAGCAAACAAUCGAAGAGUGUGAAGCUCCCGGCCUUAAGGGAGAGGAAAUAUAUUGCGCCACAUCUUUAGAAUCAAUGGUUGAUUUUAGCACUUCGAAGCUUGGAACAAGAAACGUUGAAGCAAUCUCGACGGAGGUAUUGGAAAAAGGAGCCACCAUGUCCAUGCACAACUAUACAACAAUGCCGGGACUGAAGAAGUUGGCCAGUGACAAAGUCGUUGUGUGUCAUAAGCAGAACUAUCCCUAUGCUGUGUUUUUCUGCCAUGCAAUAAAACAUACAGCAGCUUAUGUUCUCUUCCUGAAAGGCGAUGAUGGGGAGAAGGUUAAAGCAGUAACCAUCUGUCAUCUAGACACAUCAGAAUGGAACCCAGAGCAUAUGUCCUUCCAAAUCGUCAACGUUAAGCCCGGAACCAUUCCCAUCUGCCAUUUCAUUUCCACUGAUGCUAUUGCCUGGGUUCCGAACCACAAAUCUGCAUGAUCAUCACUUAGCACUGUACGUAUAAUUAUCUCCUUACUUAUUUCUGCCUCUUCAUCAUGUGGUGUAAGAUAUAUGAUGAGAUGAAGUUUUUGGGAUUAGUGGUUGGGUUGCCUGAAAAACACAGAUUACAGAAACUGCUUGAAAUUAACCCGAUCAUGUUUUCUCUUGUAACUAUAUAGACUUCAACUUGUACUCAUAAUAAAGCAUGCUAUAUUUAUGAAGAGAUAUUAAUCUAUAUAUAUUUUUUAUAUAUGCUUUGGCUUUGUGGUUCUACCCAAUGUUUGAGUGUUGAAUUGUUACGUUGGAAUAGGCUGCUAAUGCAUGUAGUUAGAGAAGCCUUCAUUUAUAUCAAAGUCCUCAAACUAUCAAGAACUAAUGUAUCCAGAAACAUAUACCAAGACGCAAAACAACAUAUUUUCCAUGCUCUGUCUGUAACACCAAAGCAAACUUCCUUGAUCACAAAAGGAUCAAAUUCCAGUACUAAUCUAAUCCAUCAUGUAAAGCAUACAAGUGCCUCCCUAAAUACUAUACUCUUUUUGUUAUUUCCUACUAUACUAUUUAAGAUUUAAAAUUCAGGUCAACCCAUAGAUUUCUCGCCUUUUUCUUCUUCAUCUCGUCGGGCUUGUCUUCUUCUUGAGGAUUGUAUAGGCCAAGGAAAUGCUUUGAGUUAGUUUUUGCGCUUUUGCGUUUUGGGCCUUGGAAGUUGGGACCCAAACCAACUUCACAAAAAGAAAACGCUCAGACUAUAAUGAGUGGAAAGUUAUAAGGGGUAAGUUAUAAGGAGUUCACUUUAUAGCCAUCAGAUCAAUCUAAGGGCUGGGGAGAAUUGAGAUAAAGUUUUAAAAUCGGGUAGGUGAGGAACCCAAACCCGAAUUGAAUAUCCAGCACGUCCGAAAAAGAAGAAGAAGAGGCAAGCACGUCCGAAAAAGAAGAAGAAGAGGCAAGGUCGAAGUUUGAACAGAAAAAACUCAUCUCUUUAAAACCCAUAGCUCUGAGAAACGGUUGAAGGCAACGGUUAACGACGGUUGUUGAAGCCACUCCGUUCUCCAGACCCUGAAAAAGUAUUUAUUUUGAGUAGAAGGGGCAAAUGUGUGGAUUCCGAAACAGUGAAGGGGCGAAGCAGUGGAAGGGGAAGGAGAGAAGCCGUAUUCGUUGGAAGUGGUAGGUUCCAUUUGUGGAGCAAAGCAACACAAAGACCCCGCACAGACACCUUGCGAUUGUUCAAUAACCAGCAUUUGGUGAGUAAUUUAUGGAAUUUGAGUUUAGGGUUAGAGUAAUGGUUUUCCCCAAUUUGUACCAUCAAUUUUGUUGGAUUUGGCAUCUCUUCUUUGUGCUUCAGUUGCAUGUUAAUUUUUGCUUGGGUAUAUGUUAAAAAAAGAAUGAAAAUCAAGUCAAUAACAAGUGAAUAACAUGUCAAUAAUGAUAUGAAUAAGAUAAUGGUGUUGAAUUGGAGGAGGCCCUCAAAACAUUCCACAUUUGAAGCAGUGCAUAGUGCAGAUUAUCUCUCUGGCGCUAGAAUAUAUAUAUAUUUUGAAAUAAAUAUGAUUUCCUUUGUUACUAAAUUUGCCUGAGAAACAUGAGAACAGAUAAUAAUAAACUCAUGAAUAGAAGUGCAAAGCAUUUGAUGAGUAAUUUAUGGAAUUUGAGUUUAGGCCCAGGAAAUUCCUUGACCCCAAAAAAAAAAAAAAAGUUGAUUUAAAAUUCAGGUCAACCCAUAGAUUUCUCGCCUUUUUCUUCUUCAUCUCGUCGGGCUUGUCUUCUUCUUGAGGAUUGUAUAGGCCCAGGAAAUGCUUUGAGUUAAUUUUUGCAUUUUUGCGUUUUGGGCCUUGGAAGUUGGGACCCAACCCAACUUCACAAAAAGAAAACAGAUUUGCCAAAAAUCAAAUUUCAAGUCUCUCCUCCGAUCGAAAUUUGGAUUUGAUGAACUAAAGUGGUUUUACUUUCUCCAUCAGUGUUUGAUAACUUAAUUUGUUAUUUACUUUUUUUUUAAAAAACUUUGGCUUAUAUAUAUUAGUUUUCUUUUUUCCUUCAUAUUCACCACCUUUAUGUUGCAUAAGUAUUUCAGUCUUAAUGGGUUUCCAUCUACCACUCAUCUUUGCUCUUCUCAGUGUAAGCCUUUUUUUUUUUUUAAAGCACAAGAUUAGAGGGGAGGGGGAUUUCUCAAUGUAAGCUUUGCAGUUUCAUAAUUAAUAUUUCCAAUAUCUCACUGUUAGUAAAAUACAGAAAAAGUACUAAUAACAUAUGCACAUGUUACUAAUUUAUUGAGAUAAAACACCAUUUUGCCCCUAGAAUAUUUUAUUAGGUUUAAAGUUGACUUUUUGACCAGGAAGGAAUUUGGGUAUUUAGACUAUAUCGUUGCGUAGAGCAUGGCGAGAUGAGUCCGUAGACACAUGAUUGGCUCGAAUCAGAGUUAUAAUGAGAGAGAUACGAUCAAAAUACCCUCAGUGGUAUAACCGUAAUUUUGGCUUAAAGGGUUUGAUAAAAUAUAAUUUUUCUUUCUUUCUUUCUCUCUCUCUCUCUCUCUCUCUCUCUCUCCUCUCUCUCACGACGGCAGUGAUAGCCGGCCACUUUUUGGCCAGCCAUGCUCUCGUCCGGCCACUAAAGUUGACGGGGCCGGUACCAAAAUGACCGGGCCACCAUCCUUUUCCAACCCCAGCCAGGCCCCACUGCCAGCAGUCGUGAUUUUGCUGAAAAAUGGAGAAGAAGCGGCCGAUUUCGUUCGAACUUCUCCGACUUCGUUCUCUCUCCUCCGGCCACCGAUUUCGAUGAAUGAGGUAUGGUUUCUCACCUACUUUUUAUGCUCUAGCUGCCUGUUGGGUAGGAUUCGAUCAAUUCCUUGCGUAGGUAGCUUGAUUUUCGAAUUGGAUUUCGGCCGGUUUUGGGAUCUCGAUUCCGGCCACUUCCGGUCAGUUUUUGGGGUACAUCCCAAAACAAAAGUGGUUCUAAAUAGGGUGUUAUACCUAGGGUAGGAACCUUGAACCGUAAUUUUGAGAAUUUUCGGUGAUGCCUAAUCGCUUUGGACACCUACGCUAUGCCUGCGUGUGGGCACUAUAGAAAAAGGGCAUUGUGUCCCGAUGCAAUCCCCUUGUUGUCUUGAGCGCGUAGGUGUGCUCGGAUUUCAAUUUGGAUACCGUUUGAAUCUCGAACGAAUAUCGCAUAUUGUGCGUUAUUCGGGGUCGAUAGGUUUGAACUGUUGGAUAGUCUUAGAUUUAUAAUAUGUUAAUCUAGACAUUCUUAGGAUCGAAUGGGAUUAAACGGAUCGUAAAACGGAGUCCCGGAUACUCCAAAAAUGCCAACCCUAGGGCUAGGUUCCUAGUAACCGUCCGAUCGUGCGAUCGUGAGCGAUCCGACCGUUUGAUCCGAACCAAACUUGCAGGACGUGUAUCCUAAACCUUGUAGAACCCAUAGGAACUUUCGGAUUAGAAUUUGGAGGUCGUGGGCCCCUUGGGCCGUUUGACUAAGUUUGGGUAGUUUGACCCUUGGCUGAUCGUGAGUCUUCAGAGGUCUUGAGCGUUGUUGAGCUAUGUUGACUAGGUUUAGACUUUUAGAGUGUUUAUUAUUAUCAUAGGAAACUAUUAGAUAUUAUUUUAAUAAUUGAAAUUAUCAAAUUUAUGUUUAUGUGCAUGAUUGUUGGUCUAAAAAUAACAUUGUUUUCUUGAUAAAAUUACGUUGCAGUCUACUAUAGACUGGUAUCACUAAAUGGAGAUUACCUCUAUUAUUAGUUUAGAUAAUUAAGAGUAUGUCAGUUUGAAGUGCUAUAUGCACUACCCUAAGUACCACCCUGUGAUUGUUAGGUCCCAUGUGGUGUAGAUUAUACAGCGUCAGGACAGACCCCAUACGUGGCUUUGGAUGUUCUGGCGCAUGGGGGAGAUUAUGUAAUGGUUAGGUCAUACGUGGCGUAGGUUAUUCAGCGUGUUGACAGACCCUAUACGUGGCGUUGGAUGUUCCAGUAUGGAAAGAUUUUGUGAUUGUUAGGUCCCACGUGGCGUAGAUUAUCCGGCGUGAGGACAAACCCCAUUCGUGGCUUUGGAUGUUCCUGCGUAUGGGGGAGAUUAUGUGAUGGUUAGGUCACACGUGGCGUAGGUUAUUCGGCGUGUUGGCUAACCCCAUAAGUGCCGUUGGAUGUAACGACCGGUCCUAAAUAAAUUAGUGAAUAUUAAUUUAUUCAGAGAAAAUACCAUUUUGCCCAUAGAGUAUUUUAUUAGGUUCAAAGUUGACUUUUUGAUCAGAAAGGAAUUUGAGAAUUUCGAUUAUACCGUUGCAUAGAGCACGGCGAGAUGAGUCCGUAGACACGUGGUAUGCUCGAAUCGAAGUUGUAACGAGAGAGAUACGAUCAAAAUACCCUCAGUGGCAUAACCGUAAUUUUGGCAAAAAGGGUCGAUAAAAUCAUAUAUAUAUAUUUUCUCUCUCUCUCUCUCUCUCUCUCUCUCUCUCUCUGCGAUAUUGUCCCUCUCUCUCUUUGAUUCACUGCCAUCUGCCCACGGCAGGACUUGAGACUGGUCACGUUUGAACCGGCUCGAUGUCCCGAUCACGUCGCACCCAAAAUGCAAAUGGAAACCUUGAAUUCCAGCCACGGCUUCGACUGGUUUGAACUGGGUUUUUCCCGGCGUUGCGCCACCGCCUCCGCCGCCCAAUUCCGGUGAAACAGGUAUAAUUCCUCACCUAUUUUUCGAGAUCCAGCUGUUGUUGUGUAGGAAUUAGACGAUUUUCAUGUUUAGGAACUCGAUUUAGAAUUUAGGUUUUGGUCGAAUUUUCAAAGUGAAAUUUCGGCCACUUCCGCUGGUUUUUCGGGGUAUGUCUAAGAACAAAAGUGGUUCCAAAUAGGGUGUUAUACCUAGGGUAGGAACCUUGAGCUGUGAUUUUGAGAAUUUCCGGCGAUGCGUAUUCGCUUUGGACACCCACGCGCCGACAGCGCGUGGGCACUGUAGAAAAGGGGCAUUGUGUCUCAAUGCGAUCUGCUUGUUGUCUUGAGCUCGUAGGUAUGCUCGAAUUUCAAUUUGGAUACUGUUUGAGUCUCGAACGGAUAUCGCAUAGUGUACGUUAUCCGGGUUUGAUAGGUUUGAACCAUUGGAUAGUUUUGAAUUUGAUAUAUGUUAAUCUAGGCAUUUCUAGGAUCAUGUAGGAAUUCAGGGAUCAUGAAUCAGAGCCCCGGAUGUUCCGAUUUAAUAACUUAAAGUUUAUGUUUAUAAUAACUAUCAGAUCGUGCGAUCGUGAGCGAUCCGACUGUCUGAUCUGGACCAAACUUGCAGCACGUAUAUCCUAAACCUUGUGGAACAUAAAAAAAUUUCGGAUUAGAAUUUGGAGGUCGUGGGCCCCGUGGGCCCAUUUAACCAAUUAUGGGUAGUUUGAUCCUUGGUUGACCGUGAGUCUUCCGAGAUAGUUUUACCUUCCUAGGAGGAUUAUAAUGACCCUAGUGAUAGGUCUUGACCGUUGUUCAGCUAUGUUGACUAGGUUGAGACUUCUAGAGUGUUUAUUAUAUUAUUGUAGGAAACUCUUAGAUAUUAUUUUAAUAAUUGAAAUUAUGAAAUUUAUGUUUAUGUGCAUGAUCGUUGGUCUAAAAAUAAUAUUAUUUUCCUGAUAAAAUUACGUUGCAGUCUACUAUAGACUAGUAUCACUAAAGUGGGAAUACCUCUAUUAUUAGUUGAGAUAAUUGGGAGUAUGUCAGUUUGAAAUGUUAUACCCUAAGUACUACUCUAUGAUUGUCAGGUCACCCGUGGCGUAGGAUUUUCCGGUGAGAUGACAGACCCCAUACGUGGCGUUGGAAUUUCCAACGUAUGGAGAGAUUAUAUGAUUGUUAGGUUUCACGUGGCGUAGGAUUUUUCAGCGGGAUGACAAACCCCAUACGUGGCAUUGGAAGUUUCAGCGUAUGGGGAGAUGAUAUGAUUGUUAAGUCACACGUGGCGUAGGUUAUUUGGAGUGCUGACAGACCCCAUACGUGGCGUUGAAAUUUCUGGCGUAUGGAGAGAUGAUAUGAUUGUUAGGUCACUUUGGAUGUUCUAGCGUAUUGGGAGAUUAUGUGAUUACCAGUGAGAUGAAUAAAGGAUUGUUAUGUUAUAUUGGGAAAAACAUGUUUGUAGAAAGAAUUACGUGUGGCUUGAUCCCUCAGUAAGGGUACGUAGGCAGCCUAGGGUAGUGCCUUGGUGCAGUCGCUGACUAAACAUUAUAAUGUUGUUUUUAGGUUUGAUUAUAUGGUAUUAUGGGGCAAGGCCCCUAGGACUAUUGGUGAUAAUUCAUAGAUGGUAGUGGAUGCAUGCUAGAAAUUUGUAGGAAGUUAUUUCAUGUGGAUUGCAGUGGUACUCGUAAAAUUUAUUUGAGUUCCUUAAUUGCAUUGUUAAUAUAUUAAUUUACUUAAGAGUACUGCUAGUAGUUCUGCCUUGAUUUAUUUGAAGGCUGGAGGCCUUGUCUGGAAACUGUGUGCAAUUAGAUUGUGUGUGCUGGCAGUUGACUUUUUAAAUUGUGAAUUUUGUGCAGGUUGAAAUUUGGGAAAUGUUCAAUUUACAGGGGAGACUCUGCUGAAAUUUCGGUAGAAAGUCUUGUGCCCUUAUUCCUUUUUGGGGAAAAGGAUAUAGUUUUAGAAGUGGCGAUGUCGGGAAUUUCCACAGGAUUCGUCUCGGGUUUCGGGAAAUUCGGGGCGGGUCUGAAAAAGUUGUUUCAGUUUUGGCAAGUAUCGGAAAAGACCAAAAUUUUCCGACUUUAUUAUUACUAGAAACAAGGUCGAAGUAUUUACCAAUCAUGUGGCCUUCCAAGUGCUCUAGGUUAAGCCAGGAACCGUUCCUAUCUGCCGUUUCCUUCCCAACUAUGAUCAUGUUGUCUGGGUUCCAACCCACAAAUCUACAUUGGGCUACGUAUUUGAAUUUGUACUAAAGCGUGAUCUAUAGUAUGCAUAUAUUGGAUAAGUUUGAGAUCAGUGGCUUGGGUGUCCGCUGAGCUUGAACAAGUUUGGGUGUGCUGAGUGUUUCCAUGGGUGUGUUGAUGAUCAUGGUUAUUAGAUUUGUGAUAGUUUGGGCUCAAUUUCAACAGAACUCAUCUCAAGCCUAGAUAGUUGAUUCUUAAGUUUAUCAGGAAAAAAAAUUAAAAAUUAAAAAAUCUAAAGUUAAGCCCAAGGCGCCGAACUUGGACUUCUCACCAAACUGUGCAUAAAUUGAAAUAUUUAAUAGAAGCCCAAGAUUUUUGAAGCACAUAAUAUCUACAAAAAUCUACAAAGUGUAAUACUUUACAAACUUCUUAUGUGUACCAAUUUCUGCUCAAAUUAAUUUCUCUGUGGUGCUGAGAUUCAUCAUAAUUUUAGUAGAAAUUGGAAGUUUUCAUCAUUUUUGCUUUAAGUCUCUCCUCCACUCACUAAUAAAGAUUACUCAAGUGAGUUUACAAAACAUUUUUUUUCUACUCUCUCCUGAAGACUACACAUCUUCUCAAAAGAUUAGAUCACUUCACAUCUUGUAUAUGUGAAAACUAAUGCAAAAAGUUGAAACUUUAUCAUAAAACCUCGACAAAAAUUAGCUCUACUUAGAACAUUAAAUUUGGAUUCGUUGAUUUAAAUGGCAAUUUGACACUUCAUAGAAAUUUUUACAUACAUGUGUUAGUGUUUGAUCACUUCACUUAUUACUUACUAUAUUUAUUCCAUGAUUCUCCCUCAAGUUAUGUAAAUAUUAUUAUCAAACAUUUCAAUUCAUUUGUGAUAUUUCUUGUCCAUCUUUCAAUGUACCCUGAAAUCCAUUAGCCACAUAUGAUGACCAAAAUCCACACUCUGUUGUUUGCAAACGUUCAAUAUACGACUUGCAUCCACAGUCCUGACCCAAAUGAAAUGCGGAAACUGUCAAGCUAACUGUAGGGAGGACUAUAUUUGAUUUUACCUUAAAGACUGAUCCGAAACCACCUUCUCCAAGUUUAUUGUUGUUUGAAUAGUUUUUGGUUGCACAAACAACAGCGGCCAAGUCAAAUAAUGGCAAUUCCAGAUCUUCCUUUUGGCCGGGCUUCAGUUCUCCUGUGAAGUACGUAGUGAAGUAAAUAAUGUAGCAUGGAACCUUAGCUUAGAAACCAGAGAGGCAACAGCAAAAAUUUUCUAUAGAACUGAACCUACCUAUCUUAGAAAAUGAAGGGGCAGAAGAGUAGAAAAUCAAAUAGCUUACCAUAUUUUUGUUGCUGGUUCUUCCUCACAUAUAAUAGCAGGGUAAGGCCCAGGGUCAGCAGUCCAGUAGACAACACAGUACUGGUUACUAUGAUCUUUGUAUUGUGUCCUUGAUCUAGGAAUGAAGUAUUUGAAAGCAGAAGAUUGAGGAGUCAGAAAUUCAUAAAGAAAAAAUCUCUACUUUUUAUCAUCCAACGAACAAUUAAUGCUAGUUUCUGAGACAGUUCUAAAGAAAUAUUUUUCUAACAAUGUCAAAAGUUUUCUGGCUCUAUCUUGUUUCUAAUCAUGUCACUGUUGGAAGAUUUCUUUCUUCUUUUUUCCUUGGUGGCUUUUAUUUUUCUUUCAAACUUUGUUUUAAACAGCAAGAUGAUUCCAUACCUAGUUCUGACGAAGCCAUUCUUAUGUAAAUAUCUUGCCCAUUUAUAUUGGAAUAUCUUAUAUCAACCAGAUCGCUGAACCACAGCAAGGACCCCCUUCCUCCAUCUCGGAUAUCCAAAUUUGAAAAAGCGGCGCAGGAGCAGUUGUUCAUGCACAUCAUCUCACAUUCCUUGAGGUUCAUAAUUGUGUUAUACUAGGAUUGUUCUGUACUUUAUUUCACCCCAGUGUACUUCUUAAAGAUGUCUCCACUGCAAUUCAGUUGGCUCUUUCUCACAGAUCUAUAUGACCAAUCCACCAAGUCCCAGUCUUGUUGAAAGUCGGUAUAAAUCCUUUCAAGCAGCUACGUACUGGGGACUUGUCAAUACAACAUGCACCAUUCGGACCACAUAUUCCAUAUUUGUCGCAGAUAUCAGUCGUUGCUCUUAGAUAAACAACCCAACCUUGGUUUCCAUCACUCCCGAUGUAGCUCAGCCCAAAUCCAUCUUGAGUUAACGCCAGCCUGAAAAGAGUUGAGCUGUUGAGAAGCUUAUAACCAUAAUAUACUUCAUCAUCAUUAUCCAACACAAAAUCAUAUGUUGGAUUUAAAUUAUGCAUCCCACUAAAUUGGAUUCCAUUCCAUGGUGCAGUCCGAUAUUUUAUAACAGAACCCUCCCUCAGAAUUAAUUCAUGGUACCCAUAAGGACCAAGUUGAUAUGGGUAAUGUCCUUGAGAAGGAUCCUGGGGGCUUUUCCAGGGUGUAAGAUGCCAAUUAAAACCUGUGAUUUUGUUCCUAACAAGCUUCAUACCUGGUAUUAAUGUAUCUCCUGGGUAAUCAAAACUCUGCCAUAAAAUAUUAUCAGAGUCAUUACGACCAUUGCCAUCUAUCACAACAAGAUUUCCGGAAUCCAAAAUCUGUGCCACUGGAUUCUAUGAAGAACUUGAUGUGUUGGAAGACCUGUAGUGUUCUUUGUUGAAUAUUUGGAUUGCAAAGGGAGCAAGAAAUGUACUGAGAGAGAAAGAGAGAGAGAGAGAGAGAGAGAGAGAGAGAGAGAGAGCAGUGAGCCUUAGAUUGUUCUAACAGUUUUCUUACUCUGCAUGAACAUAGCAGCAGAGCUUAUAUUCCUUCAUGACUGUUACAUGUUCUCUCUUACAUCAGUAGAUUCAAAUCUAACGGUUUGUAAUAGUAAGCCAAUGUGAGUAUGACACAUGGCAAUACACAGCUGUCCUAACAGCUGGGAAUUCAAAACAGACUCUAGCAUUGCACCUGGCAUAUAAGCACAAGGCACUCAGCUAACACAAAGAUUAAAAACAGAUUGAAUAUAAACUGACAUAGAACUUACUAACUAAUCUGAAAUUAGCUAGACAGUUUACAUUUUAACACUCCCUUCUAAAGUGCUAGCUGAUUUCACUCCAAGCAUUCUCCUCAAAUAGUCAAACCUGUCUUUGGGAAGAGCUUUGGUGAAGAUAUCAGCAAUCUGCUCUUCUCCUUUGCAGUAGAGCAGUUCAAUCACUUCUUCUUGUAUUGCAUCUCUAAUAAAAUGAAACUUCCUUUUAAUAUGCUUGCUCCGUUGAUGAAAAACAGGAUUUUUAGCCAUUGCUAUGGCUGAAGUGUUGUCACAAAACACAGUUGUUGCAGUGGUCUGUUCUUCCCCAAAAUCUUCAAGAACAAACCUGAGCCAAAUGGCUUGUGAUGUAGCUUCUGCUGCACUCACAUACUCUGCCUCUGCAGUAGAGAGAGCCACACUGUGUUGUUUGACUGAUGCCCAUGAAAAAGCACCACUUCCAAAUGAAAAUGCAUAUCCAGAAGUGCUUUUCAUAUCUUCCUCAGAUCCACUCCAGUCACUGUCACAGUAACCAACUAAGAGUGCAGAUUUUCCUGUCACAUACUCAAUUCCAUAGUCAAUUGUGCCUUGUAUGUACCUUAGAACCCUUUUAGCUGCCCCAUAGUGCAUCUUAGAAGGGUUAUGCAUGAAUCUUGCAAGCAGGCAGGCAGAGAACAUGAUAUCUGGCCUGGUUGCAGUAAGGUACAGCAGGCUGCCUACAAUUUUUCUGAACAAACUUUCAUCUGCAGCAUCACUUCCAUCCUCUCUUUUCAAUUUAUCAGUAGCCACUAAUGGAGUGCUUACUGACUUGCAGUCUUUGAGUCCAAACUUAUCCAAGAGAGUGAGAGCAUACUUCUUUUGAUGAAUGAAGAUGCUCCCUUCAGUUUGUGUUACUCCCAUACCAAGAAAAUGGUGGAGUAAACCCAAAUCAGACAUCUCAUACUUGCACAUCAUUUCAGCUUUGAAUUCUUUCAUCAUUUCAUCUCUACUUCCUGUGUACACUACGUCAUCUACAUAGAUUGACACUAUUAGUGUUCCCACCUUCCUUUGUUCUCACAUAGAGAGUGGCUUCACUUGGACUUCUGUGAAAACCACACUGAUUCGAGUAGGUGUCAAUUUCACUAUACCAGGCCCUUGGAGCCUGCUUCAACCCAUAGAGGGCUUUUCUUAACCUAUACACCUUAUCCUCAUCAUCUUUAACCACAAAACCAUCCGGUUGAUCAAUAUAAACUUCUUCUUCAAGGACACCAUUUAGGAAGGCUGACUUGACAUCCAAUUGCCAUAGUUUCCAGCCUUUCUGAGCAGCAAGAGCUAUGAGAGUUCUAAUGGUGUCUAACCUUGCUACAGGAGCAAAGGUUUCAUUGAAAUCAAUCCCUGGUUUUUGUGUGUAUCCCUUGGCAACAAGUCUUGCUUUAUGUUUUUGAAUGGAGCCAUCAAGAUUAAGCUUAAUUUUGAAUAUCCACUUCACUCCCACAAUUGGUUUACUACUUGGCCUGUCAACCAAUUCCCAACUGGAGUUUUUCUCUAUCAUAAGUAUCUCCUCAGUCAUAGCCUUCCCCCAAGCUUCAUCUUUGACUGCUUCUUCAAAAUUUUCAGGUUCAAUGAUGCUCAUCUUGCAUUGAGCAUACACUUCACUCAAACUCUUCCAUUUCUUUGGGGUGUUAUCAUAAGUUUCUAAUGGAGCAGAGUCUUGAGUAGCAUGCACAUCAUUACUUGUUUGUGUUUCCAUAGGAGACUGUACAAUCUGUUGCUGUAACAGAUUUGGUUAUGAAUCCAAAUCUGAUACAAUUGAACUUACUCCAUCACCCCAAGACAUAGGGAUUUGCAAUGCCUCAUUGGUUUCCCAAUUCCACAUUGCUUCUUCAUCAAAAAUAACACUCCUAGACAGCUCAAUCUUUUGAGUUCUCAAGUUGAGCACUCUAUACCCCUUUUCACAUACACCAUAUCUUACAAAUACUCCCUUCUCACCUGUGUCUUCCAGCUUGUGCCUUUUCUGUGUGGGGAUGUGAAUAUAGCAUAGAGAACCAAAUAUUCUCAAAUGCUUGACACCUGGUUUUCUUCCACCGAACUUUUCAAAUGGAGUGGAAUUGUCCAGUGCACUUGUAGGACAUCUGUUCUGCAAAUAUACAGCUGUAUUGACAGCUUCUGCCCAAAACUUCAAAGGGAUUUUCUUCUCAUACAUCAUGGCUCUUGCCAUUUCCAUCACAGUACGAUUCUUUCUCUCUGUAACUCCAUUCUGUUGUGGAGAGUAGCCUACUGNNNNNNNNNNNNNNNNNNNNNNNNNNNNNNNNNNNNNNNNNNNNNNNNNNNNNNNNNNNNNNNNNNNNNNNNNNNNNNNNNNNNNNNNNNNNNNNNNNNNNNNNNNNNNNNNNNNNNNNNNNNNNNNNNNNNNNNNNNNNNNNNNNNNNNNNNNNNNNNNNNNNNNNNNNNNNNNNNNNNNNNNNNNGGUGUGGUCAUCAAUGAAGGUGAGGAAAUAUCUGUUCCCUCCAAGAGUGAUGGUCUGCAUUGGACCACAAAUGUCUGAGUGAAUCAGUUCUAGAGGUUGAGUGGCUCUCCAAGCUCCUUCCUUAUCAAAAGAGCUUCUGUGAUUCUUGCUUUCAGCACAACCUGAGCAGACCUUCUCAUGUUCUUGUAAAUUAGGCAUUCCCUGAACCAUAUCUCUCUCUUGUAACAACUUCAAACUAAUAUAGUUUAGGUGCCCAAAUCUUCUGUGCCACAGCCAGGAUGUUUCUCCAACUGUUGCUCUGUUUGCCAUAGGAGGAUUAACAUAGUCAAGAUUUAAAGGAAAACAUUUGUUUCCCUUCAUUGGCACUCUUGCAAUGCAAUCUUCCAACUGCCUAUCUCCAUAGAUAUCAACUGCAUUAUCACCAAAUACAAGCCAAUGCCCAUGUUCUAUCAUUUGACCUACACUUAGCAAAUUUUCAUCUAAACUUGGUACAAUCAUGAUUUCUUUGAUAUAUCUAGUCACACCCUUCAUUUCUAUAGCCAAAGUCCCUUUGCCUAUUAACUGCACUAGAUCACCAGUCCCCAUUUUGACUUUACUCUUCAUACUUUUAUCAACAUUUACAAGUAAUGACUCAUGGGAAGUCAUGUGAUUGCUGCAUGCACUAUCAACAUACCACAUAUUCACAUUCUUUCCAAUUGUUGCAGCAUGACAUGCAUAGAACAUAAUGGCAGGUUCAGUUACCUGAUUUGCAAUGUUAGCAAGUUUCCCUGCCUUGUUUGCUUGGUCACAGUCCUUAACAAAAUGACCAAAUCGAUUGCAGCCAUGACACUUUGGUUUUCCUUUAAACCAACACUCACCAUAGUGUAACUUCUCACAAUGUUUGCAUUUUCCAGAUUUGUCUCCUUGACUUGGUUUUCCCCCUUGAUUGGCACUGUUUUGGGGUUUAGAAUCCCAUUUCUUAUCCUUGGACUUCCAAUUCUUCUUUGAUUUAUUAGAGCCAGAACUAGAACUUGAUUGAGAUCCUUUUGAGUUUAUGCUCAUGCUGCUGAAAGCUUUCUCAGUGGUGCUUUCUGCAUGUCUGUCAAGGCGCUGAGCAAAACCUCUUAAUGCUGCAAUUACCUCCUGCACUUCAAUGGUUUCAAUGUCUCUAGUUUGCUCAAUCACAUAGCAGACUGGAUCAAAUUCCUUGGUUAAGCUUAUUAGCAGUUUUUGAACUAUCCUCCCUUUGGUCAGAUCUUCCCCAUAUCCCUUCAUCUGAUUUACAAGCUCAAGUAACCGAGUGAUGUAUCCAGACAAGAUCUCAUCAUCCUUCAUCCUGGUGUACUCAAAAUCUCGACGCAGACCCUGCAACAUGAUGGAUCUGACUUGCUUAUCACCAUGAAACUCCUGAUGCAAGAUAUCCCAAACACCUUUUGAGGUUUCUUCAUUUGAGAUUCUGGGAAAGAUGUCAUCUGAAACAGCACCUUGGAUAAUACCAAGAGCCUUAGCAUCUUUCAUCAACAAGGACACCAUCUCUGAAUCUGAUGACCCUUCUUUAUCAGCUUUUGAAUCUGGAACUUGAAGGCCUUUCUCAACCAAAUUCCAGAUUCCAUGAGAUUUGAAAAUUGUUCUCAUUCGAAUCUUCCAAAACUCAUAGUUCUCCCCAUUGAAUAUUGGAGCUCUAAGAUCACUCCCUCCUGACCCAGCCAUCUGAGACCAGACUCAAUGAGUUGAGAGUAGGAAAUUUCCCGUUGGAUUUCCAGACUCAGCUCCCACAGCUUCAACGCCCUCUAUCCAGAUCCAACCUGCGCACCUGAUACCAUGUUGAAUAUUUGGAUUGCAAAGGGAGCAAGAAAUGUACUGAGAGAGAGAGAGAGAGAGAGAGAGAGAGAGAGAGAGCAGUGAGCCUUAGAUUGUUCUAACAGUUUUCUUACUCUGCAUGAACAUAGCAGCAGAGCUUAUAUUCCUUCAUGACUGUUACAUGUUCUCUCUUACAUCAGUAGAUUCAAAUCUAACGGUUUGUAAUAGUAAGCCAAUGUGAGUAUGACACAUGGCAAUACACAGCUGUCCUAACAGCUGGGAAUUCAAAACAGACUCUAGCAUUGCACCUGGCAUAUAAGCACAAGGCACUCAGCUAACACAAAGAUUAAAAACAGAUUGAAUAUAAACUGACAUAGAACUUACUAACUAAUCUGAAAUUAGCUAGACAGUUCACAUUUUAACAUUCUUAUGGUCGGCAGGGACAAGAAUUCCAGGGCUGCUCAACUUGAAUACACCUGAUGAACCAGUGAGGGGUGUGUUUCUUUUAGUCUGCACUAUAUAUGCAGGGUCUGACUCUAAUUAGAAGAUAAUUGUAUUAAUUUGGUAAAGCUUUGUCUGUAACUGUCUCGCACCUUAAAAAAAUUUCACAAUUAGCAGCAUUGGCAAUACUUGAUUAGAAAGCAGAAACCCUACAGUAUAUAGUUAAGUUGAGUAGCUGGGAAGACAAUUAGUAAGCUUUCAAUACUAAAGUUGAAUAUUGGGGAGACAAAUUACUAGAGCUUCAAGUUCAGAUAAAUAGGAUGAAUUUCUCUUAAGGGAUCCCCUUUCACUGUAGCUUGGAGUAGAAUUCAUUUUGACACAAUAUCAAUUAUCAAUGUAAACACGUUACUGAUGCACUAUUGACAAUAUCGAUGCACGUCAUAUCAUAUUUGUGGGAGUAAAUUUCCUCACGAGAAUAUUUGGUUCAAAAGAUUCCCCUUUUUUUUUUUUUUGCCGCCUCUUUCUCCUUGCAAAAUAGAACAAAUAAGAGGACCACACCCGGGGGGUGUUGGCCAAAGGCCCUCCGAUGCUAAAUUAGUUCAAGUAUUUGUAAGAAAAAUACUAGCUAACUAGGGUACAGAGGUGUAUUUAAGGUGUAAACCGGGCAGCCGAAGUCUUAUGUAAAAGAGAGAGAGAAAGGAGGUGGCUAGCGUUUGAGAGGAAUUUUCUGCAGAGUUUUUAGUAGAGAUUUCAGACGUACCUCAACCAUUGUGUGUGGCCAUCUUUUUAUAGUGGUCUUGGAGGCUAGGGUUUCAGAGGAAUAAUUCCGUAGAUGGAAAGGAAUUAUUCCUCCCCUAUUUGGAAUUGAUUUGAUUAAUUAGGGAUUUGAUUUAUUAGGGUAAAUCAAAUCCCUAAUUGUGGUAGGUAUCAAAUCAAAUCCUUUUUUAAUUAGGUAACUCCUCAUUUAAUUGGGAAUUGUGGUAGGAAUCAAAUCAAUUCUCAACCUAAUUAGGUAACGUUCAAUUUAAUUGGGUAAUUCCCAAUUAAAUUGAGUAACUCCCAAUUAGGUUGAUUAAUUCCCAAUUAGAUCAAAUAAUCCCCUAAUUGAAGGAAUUAUUUGACCUAGGGUCUGAUUUAAUUCGAUUCCCACAAAUGCCCCCCAGCUUCUGCAUGGUGCAUGGUGGCACGUAGGAGAUGUAAAUUAUCUGUUGGGCUGUCCAGCUGUAACUGGGCUUCCUUCGUGGACCUGGGCUCCCGAGUAGAGGAGGUGUUUGACUUGCCAAUUUUAUGAACACCCAAUUGGAAAGGGUUUGAGAUUCCUUGUAGGUCAAGGAAUUUUGCUCCUUAUAAAUGUAGGGCUCCUCCAAAUUAUUCUCGACAUCAGAAAUCUACUCCUCCAAAUUUGUUAGUGAGAGAGAGAAGACUUUGGAGAAUUUUUCAGCGUGCUUGAGACUUCAUCUUUGCAGCCCAUCCAAGGUAAUUUGAUAGGAAGAAUUUUAUUUUGAGUUGCUAUGACUUUUGGCAGCAAGCUGUGAGACUAAGGGCAUGUCUUGAGGUGCGCGCUAGGGCUUUAGGCAUGGCAAGAGACUCGGAAAGGCUAGCAGGUUCGUUUCCACCUACGCUGGGCUCAAGGAGAAGGCAACAGGGCUUCAGGCCUUGUGGAUGAAGUGGGCUUUCGCUGGGAGCAAGAGGCCUGGAGCUGAGGCAAGGAGACAAUGGGCCUGGUACGAGGUGUGGGCUGAGCAUGCCAGCUUUGGAGCAAGGGGGCCAGGACGACUGCUGGGCAGGAGGUGCGCUGGGCUGCAUGCGCGAGCUGCGCCGAGUGCUGGCUGGAGGAGCGAGCUGGGCUGCGCGCUAGGCCAUUCAUGCUGGGCUACUUCCGUUUUUUUUUUGUUUUUUUUUAAAUUUUAUUUGCUGUUGCUGCUUUUUUUUUUGUUUUUUUGUUUUUUUUUUGUUUGGUAUUCUAACUCGUAAUUUUUUUUUUCUUCUUACAGCUACUUGUUGAUCAACCAUGUCUUCCGGAGAUGGUAGCAAGGCUCCAAGCUCUUAGGUCCUUUUGUAUUUAUGGGGAGGCUCCAUAGUGCAUGGCAAGAAGUUUGUGGUCAACUUGCAUCGCGUCACGACUUAUGCUCAGUUCCAGAAGUGGCGGGCCACUUAUGCGUCUGCCAUUCCAGAUGACGUGCUGGUCAAGCUAUUGAAAUCUCAAACUGAUAACGAGCCUUUGGUGGACGUGAGUGAUCAUGAUGCUAGGAUCAUUACCUUCCGUCCUUUUUACUUCUCUUUAGGCUUCAAAUUCCCGUUGUCAAAGCUCUUCAAGAAGGUGUUCUGUGCCAUGGGGUGUGCUCCGAGCCACUGUACUCAUGUGCUUCAAGAAUUUGAGUCGUUUCUUCAUGUUGGAGCUGACGAUGCGAGAGUUCUUUUAUUUUUUUCGAAGUGAGGCACUUUGAGCGGUACGCCCAAGUUCGUAUCUACAAGGCCAAGCUGUUCCACGGUCUCAGUCAAGGAGAUCACGCUUGACAUGAAGAUGUGUUGGAGGUCAGCAGACGGUGGGAGGGUGACGUCGGUGACGGCCCACCUGUUCCCAUCACCUAUUGUGAUGGUAUGUCUCUUUACGAUUUUUGAUAUGCUCCUUUUAUUUGAAUUUCUUGAAGUGUGGCAGACUAACUUCUAUCUUCUGCUCGUAGUGAGUGACAUUAGCAAGCAAUUGGAGCUCCGACCAGACAUGGCUAAGGUCCGUCGUGCUUUGAACAUCCCUCUAAGGUUUCACGAGUGGCGCUGGCUGUUGAGUGAGUACCGGGAGGAAGACGGUGGUUUUCUCCUUGCCGAGGAUGUCGAAAGGUGGAAGCAGAACGAUCCUGACCCUGAUGAUCUGCUUGGCAGACAGGAAGAAUGUUCUGCUUAAUCGCUCUUAAAGAGAAAGGCUGCUGCCAAAUCUUUGAGAUGUGAAGCUACUUCUUCGCAUGCAAAGGAUGGGUCUCCAUCGAGGAAGAAACCAAGGCUCCCUUCUGCUGAGAAGACUCAAGUGGGGUCUGCUCCCUCAUCAUCUGCCAGGGUUAAGCAUCUCGUGGGUGCAGAUAGCAAGAAGGUUGGUGGUAUGCAUGGUACUCGGGGUGUUCUGCCCAAGCUUCCUGCUGACACGCUCGAAAACCAUGAUAUACUUCGUGAAGUGGCUCGUGCCCAACCUAGUUCUGCCAAGCGUCAAAGAGAUGUAGACAUUCCUCCUAGAAGUUCGAGUUGUCUGCAUCGGUCAAAAGAUGGAGACCGAAGCGGGAGGUCUGCUUAUGAUCCAGCAUUAUUGACUCAUUUGGAGAUGAGGUUGGCGAAGGCUAAGAAGGUGAAAGAGUCAUCUGCCCGGGUUAAGGGUUCUUCCUCGGCGUUGGUAGUUGGUCCCAAGAUGAACAAGUCUAGCUCUGUAGGGGAUGCAUGCGUAUCUGAUCUGCUCAAGAUGAACUUCCUAUCAAACCCGUCCUCUUGUGUUGAGUUGGUUGAUCACAUCCCUCAAGCGGGCGAUCUAGGCACUUUCUCGUGCCUUUCCUUAGAAAAAUGAAGGAAAAUGACAUUCCAUCUGAUUCAAAAAGGACUGGUUUUUGCUACUGAGACUAUUUGGAACUCAUCUGCUAUUGCCCCUCUUCUGUCCAACUCAGCGAGUUGGAGAAGAAGAAUGCUGAUUGGCUAGACAGCUUUCCGCCGAGCAGGCCCGUUACGAGAAGAAGAUGUCUGAUUUGAGGGCGAUGAUAUCUGAGCUGAAAAGCUCCCUUACCGAGAAGGAUUUCGAGCUCAACUCUUCUGCUGCUGAUUUGGCUAGUCGAAAAGAUACCUUCUUUCGUCUUGAGCAUAAGAAUGCUGACAUCUUCCUUAGCUAUAACAAACUCCUGGCUAGAUUUCAUGCCUACCAUAAGUCUGCUAAAGAAUCCAAGACAGAUGGAGCUGCUGAAGGCGUAGCCGGUCAGGUGGAUGCCGAAGAGGCUGCAGCUUAAAAGUCUUCUGCUGGCGUCUCAGAGUAGAUGAAGACUCUUUUUUGUUUCUUUUCAGCUUUUGUAGUUUGCUUUAUUGUUUAGAAUAACUGGUCUUAUUUGACCAUCUUCUUUUUGUUGAACUUGGCUGGUUGGUCUGUUUGUUAGGGAAAUUUCAGUUACAUUUUCCAACUUCAAUUUGCAUAUUUGACUUGUGAACUGCUUAAGUAACCAGCCUGUGUUUUGAUUGCACAUCCCCCUUUAGAGAUUUGUGAGUACCAGGGUCCCCCUUGGAGGACUCCGGCCAUGCACAGUAUAUCUCGUAGGAUGGUUCCCCUUAGGAAGUUGGCGAGUACCAGGGUCCUCUUUGAGAGACUCCGGGUGUGUUCUGCACAUCCCGUAUGAUGCCUUAAUCGUCGCCUUGCUUCUCCCGUAGGACGCUGCUUAUAGGCAACUAUAUGACUAUCCUGCCUUUCUUAGGAAACGGAUAGGAACCUGGAUAUUUCCCGCAUGAAGCAUGGAGACCUCCUUUUAAGAAAUUUUUGGUGCACCAUGCUUCUCCCUUAGGACGCUUUUUUCGCAGGCUGGGUCUCCAAAUGGACGCUUUUAGUCGUUGCCCUGCGUCUCCCUUAGGACGCUCCUUAUGGGCAACUGUGUGACUAUCCUGCCUCCCUUAGGAAAUGGAUAAGACUUGAAUAUUUCCCGCAGUAAGCAUGGCGACCCCCUUUUAAGAAACUCCUGGCGUACCCUGCAUCUCCCUUAGGAUGCUUUUUAAGAGGGCUGCUUCUCCAAACGGACGCUUUUAGUCGUUGCCUAUGUCUCCCCUAGGAUGCUCCUUAUGGGCAACUGUGUGACUAUCCUGCCUCCCUUAGGAAACAGAUAGGAAACUAGAUAUCUCCCUUAGGAAAUUCCUAGCGCACCUUGCGUCUCCCGAAGGACGCUUUUUUAGCUGGCUACGUCCCGAAACGGACACUUUUAGUCGUCGCCCUGCGUCUCCCUUAGAAUGCGCCUUAUAGGCAACUGUGUGACUAUCCUGCCUCCCUUAGGAAACGGAUAGGAACCUGGAUAUCUCUCUUAGGAAAUUCCUGGGGCACCUUGCGUCUCCCGAAGGACGCUGCUUAUGGGAAAAUAUUGUGUUUCGUGGGCAGAUGAGACAUUUUGGAAUGAGAAACUGAACUUAUAUUGAUAUUCAUAAGAUUACAGUCCUUUAUUUGAAAAUGGAAAUAACUUGGUUCAAAAACUUAGAACUUCUAGCAGCUACGAGGAAGCACUAUGGAUAAUACUUUCGGAGAUGGUGAGCAUUCCAUUGUCGUGGUAUUUCCUUCCUAUCCAUGGUGUCCAGUGUGUUGCUUCCUCUGCCCCGGACCUGCUGAUCACAUAAACGCCCUCCCAGUUAGGAUUCACUUUUUUUGACCCGUGUCUUGGUGCAGUAAUGAAAGCCUUAGCACGAGGUCGCCUGGUUGAAACUGUUUGACCUUAGCUCUUUUGUCGUAGUAAGACUUCAACUGCUAGUGAUAGGAGGCGACCCGAAUAAUGGUCUUCUCACGCCUGCCCUCAAGUAAGUUGAGGUUGAGCCUCAUCUGCUCGGAGUUCUGAUCAACACUGCCUACCUUAAGACUUAUAGAGAGGACAGUGAUGUGAGGUGGUAUGAUCACUUCUGUUCCAUAGGCGAGAGAGAAUGGGGUUUCACCAGUCGAUCUUCGCUUGGUGGUGUGAUAAACCCAUGGUACUCUGGGGAGUUCAUCCACUCAUUUCCCUUCAGCGCCUUCCAGCCUUUUCUUUAAGCAGUCCAAUAUGACUUUGUUGGAUGCCUUGGCUUGUCCAUUUCCUUGUGGAUACCUCGGGGUGGACAAGUGUUGUUUGAUCUUGUAUUUCACAAAAAAAGCGGUGAUCUGCUUGCCAAUGAACUGUGAGCCAUUGUCGGUAACCAACGACUGUGGGCAGCCAAACCGGCAUAUGAUGUUUCUCCAGAUGAAUCACUCCACAUCGGCUUCUUUAGUAAAUGAUAGAGCUUCGGCCUCGAUUCAUUUAGUAAAGUAGUCGGUGGGGACGAUCAUCAUUUCUUUCUUGGCGGGCGCUAGUGGCAAGGGAUCCACUAGGUCGAUGGCCCAUUGCAUGAACAGCCAUGGACUGUUUUGCGGAUGAUAGACUUCGGCAGGCAAGUUAGGGAUCGGCUUGUAUUGCUGACAGCGUCACAUUUCUUGGCACAUUCAGCACAGUCGUGACGUAUGGUAGGCCAGAAGUAGCCUAUGUUUAGAACUUUCUGGGCGAGUGACCUGCCCCAGAAUGGUUGCCAUACUCGUCGUCGUGAAUUUUACAGAUAAUCUCAAGUGUUUGAUGGUACUUUAUGCAGGUGAGAUGAAGGCCGGAGUAUGAUCUGUGGAUGAGCUUGUUGCCGUGCAUGUAGUAUCUCUCGGCCUUUUGCUGGACUUUUCUAGCUUCGGACUUGUCCGUUGGCAGGUUUCCAUUCGUGAAAUAGUCGAUGAUGAGGUCUUGCUAGCUGGGGUCCUCGUCAAUCUGCAUGGUAUUAAUCGGCUCUAUUUCUUCAAUGCUUGGUCGGUCAAGGUGUUCGACCUAGAUGGAGUGUUUGAACUGGGUAUCCAGCGUUGAACCUUGGCUUGCCAGUGCGUCUGCAUGCGCGUUCUUUGCCCGGGACACUUGUUGGAUAGUGAAGGUAGGAAAUGCCUUCAACAGCUCUUGGACUCUAUCAAGGUAUAAGAUCAUCCUUGGGUGCUUUGCCAUAUAUUCACCUGAGGCUUGAUUCGUGAUCAACUGUGAGUUUGAGUAGAUGGCUAGCUUUUUGAUUGCGAGCUCCUUUGCCAAGCGUAAGUCGGCGAGUAAUGCCUCGUAUUCUACCUCGUUGUUCGAGACCGAGAAGCCAAGCGUAAUAGCUUGCUCUAACAGGGUUCUAUCCAGGGUGGUGAUAACGACCCCUGCUCCAGCUCCUUUUUGGUUCGACGCUCCGUCUACACGCAACUGCCACAUGUCUCUGGGAUGGCUUGGUUCUGCGGAGGUCCUGUCUGCUUUUGAACUUCCCUCCUUUUGGUUGACUAACUUCUCUUUUUUGGCUGAUGGGGUGAAUUCUGCGACGAAGUAUGCUAAAGCCUGGGCUUUUAUUGCAGUUUUUGGCCCGUAGAGGAGGUCAUAUUGGCUUAGCUCUAUAGCCCACUUCAUGAGUCGCUGAGAAGCAUCAGGGCUGUGGAGGAUUGAUCUCAAAAGAAAGUCAGUCAUGACUAUGACUCGAUGAGCUUAGUAGUAGGGUCGCAGCUUUCUCGCAGAAACUACAAGAGCCAAAAUAAGUUUCUCCAAUUUCGGGUAACGAGUCUCUGCAUCGAGGAGAGCUUUUGACGUGUAGAAUACCGGAUAUUGGGCCCCUAUCUCUUCUCGGAUGAGAGCUGAACUGACAGCUGAGUUGGACUUACCUCACUAGGGACUGGAUUUGAGAGCAUGGAAGGUGAGGUGAGGUAAGUCUUCAGAUUAUGGAAAGCUACUUUGCAGUCCUCAUCCCAUUUCUCUCUUUGUCCUUUCUUCAAAGCUUUGAAGAGUGGUCUGCACUUGUCGGUUGAUCUCGAGAGGAAUCGGUUGAGAACCGCUGCUUUGUCCGUCAGACUUUAUAUCUCUUUCACCGUGGAAGGCGACUUCAUCUCUAGAAUGGCUUUGAUUUGACGUGGAUGUGCCUCGACACCUCGUUGCGUGGCUAGGUAUCCCAAGAAUCGGCCGGAGGAUACACCAAACAGGCAUUUACUUGGAUUCAACUUCAUGCGAUACUGGCGGAGCAAGCUGAAUGAUUGGGUAAGACUUCCGAUGUGAUCUGCACGUUUUGGGGCUUUGACCAGCAUGUCAUCCACGUAGACCUUCAUAGUUUUGCCGAUCUGCUUAUUGAAGAUUUUAUUCCCGAGCCUUUGAUAGGUUGCUUUGGCGUUCUUCAGCCCAAAGGGCAUGACCUUAUAGCAGCAGGUCCCUCUCUCGAUGAUGAAAAAAGUUUUUGCCUUGUCAUCCUCGUGCAUCAGGAUUUGUUUAUAGCUGGACUAGGCGUCCAUGAAGCUAAGCAGUUGAUUGCCAGAAGUGGAAUCCACGAGUUGGUCGAUUCUCGGCAAUGAGAAGUUGUCUUUAGGGCAUGCUUUGUUGAGGUCUGUGUAAUCGACACAAACUCUCCAUUUGCCAUUUUCUUGUUUUGCCACCAAAACAACGUUGGCAAGCCACUCUGAGUAGGAGGCCUCUUCGAUGAAGCCGACAGCUAGGAGUUUGUCAAUCUCGGCCUCGAUGAUAGCAAGUCGCUGGGGUGCGAAGUUGCGUCUCUUCUGCGCCACUGGCUUGCAGGCAGGGUUGAAGUGGAGUCAGUGACAGAUGAUGUUCUUGUCGAUGCCAGACUUGUCUGACGGCAACCAUGCGAACAUGUCUCUGUUGCUCUGGAGGAAGGUGGUAAGCUCCACAUUCUCUUCUGGCCUUAGGCGCGAACCGAUCCACUCUUUCCUAUCUGGUUGGUCAGGAUCCAAGGGUAUUAACUCGACGUCCUCCUUGGGUUUCCAUCCUUCUUCAGGAAAGACCUAUGGACGGAUUUCCUCGACUUGGUCCUGACGCUUUAAUUGCUAUAAGAUAGCAAGAUCCAGUUGCUCAACCUCCUCCAGAUCUGCCUGGCUCACAGGGAGAAACUGCGCUUGUUUACCUUUCUUUAGCCCUUGGGCGGAGCAUUUCCUCGCCAUUGCCUAAUCGUUGUUGAUUUGGCCGACACCGCCCCCAAGGAUUGGGUACCGAAUUUUCUAAUGUGUGGCGGAGGUGAUUGCAUUAAUUUUGCCAAUCGAUGGUCUGCCCAGAAUGCCGUUGUAGGGUAAGACCUUAUUAAUGACCAUGAAGGUUAUGAGCUGAUUAUAAGUGGGGAGUAGACGUCGAGGUCUAUCAUGCCCACGGUAACCGUUGUUGCACCAUUAAAAUCGCUCAGCAACCUAGCUAAUUUGUAAAUCUUUGUCUCCAAUCCCAUCUGUUGAAUGACCUCCAGUUGCAGGAUAUUGGCUGCGCUGCCCUCGUCUGUGUGGAUUCAGUCUACCAUGACCUGAGCAAUUUGAAUGCUGAUGACAAGGGCUUCGUUAUGUGGCAUGUAGAGGCCGAUCAGAUCUUUCUUUUGGAAGCCGAUUACAGGAUCGUCUUCUGCUGGUGGAAGGUCGGUCGAGAUUUGGGAGAUCACAGUGGUCUGUUUGAUCUUCCUCUUUUUUUCCUUUCUGGUCAGCCCAGACUCCUCGGAGUCAGCUAGGAUUGUGUUAAUUCUUAUGACCUUCUGAGGCGGCUCCUUGGCGAUGUCACGAUCUUCUAUCCGCUGGAUGACCUUCUUUGCAAUGAAUUCUGUGCAGUGACCUUCUCUCACGAGUUCUUCAAGAUGUGCUUUCCAAGCGAAGCAGUUGUUCAUAGUGUGUCCGUGCAUUUCAUGGACGGCACAGUAUUUGCUAGUAUUCCUUUUGUCCGGAUCUUCUUUCAAGGGUGGUGGUCUUCUUACCCAAGGUUGUUCUUCACUUGGGCUAAGAUUUGAUGUAUGGAGAUGGUGAACUUGGUGUAGUUCUCUCCUGCCGUAGCAUCCCCUUAUGGGUGCGACCUGCGCUUGUCCUUGUCCCUGUUGCUAAAUCCGUCGCUUCUUUGGCCUGCCCCCUUAGUCGGCUGAUCUUCCUGCUUAGUAGAGUUCUUUGCGGCGAUUCGAUCGUCAUCCCAAAGCGCAUAGCUUUCCGCGGUCUCGUAGACCUCUGCCAAAGUUUGGCUGGGAGUGAUGGUCAGCUCGUGGUACAAGUCGUGCUCAGUCGAAAGGUCUUUCUUGAAAGCAGAGGACGCAAUUUGGUCAUCACAUCCUACAAUGUUGGCCUUUUCUACUUUGAAUCUCUUGAUGUAAUCUCUAAAGGAUUCGUCGAACUUCUUGCGCAGGUUAUACAGGUGGUCAGGGUUCUUCUUGAUUGUUCGGUAAGAGGUGUAUUCUUUGGUGAAUAAGUAAGUCAGCUCCUUGAAGCUGCUGAUCGACCUGGAUGGCAGAGUAUGGAACGAGUCUUGGGCUUCCUCACAAGGUCAUUGCAAACACCUUGCACAUCAGCGCGUCGUCAACCUUGUGGAGGAUCAUGACACUUUUGAAGUGUUUUAGAUGGCUCUCAGGAUCGGAAUCCCCCUUGAAGUGUGUGAAUGUGGGCGUUGAGAAUCGCUUCAGGAGAGCAGCCUGCUCGAUUUUGGCAGUGAAAGGUGUAGAGUAUGCCUGGUCUACCUCAUUUCGUACAUCUUCGAAAUUUCCACCGGUCUUCAAGUCUCGAAGUUGGUCAUUCACAAGCUUCUCUACGUCUUCCGCACACAUUGCUUGUCGGCCACAUUGGCGACCUUCACGAAUUGUUCGAUGCUGACUGACUUCCUCGUUGAUUUCCGAGGAUCGACCUUCUUGUCUGCAUUGCCUAGGUGGAGUGUUGGUGGAUUGCGCCUACGAAAGAUUCUCUGUGGCUUGUCAAUGAGAAUCGGUUCUUCGAGAGUGAGUAACGAAGUGCCUUUCCUCAUGGUCCUUAUUGUGAGGGUUAUCCAGCUGACCUCCCUGGGGCCUAGCCUUUCCUGAAUGCUUCUCUGCGAGUAGACAGUUGAAUGCUUUUCUUCACGAUCCUCGUUGUGAUGGUUGUUUGGCUGACCUCCUUAGGGUCUUAGCCUUUGAUGUACAUUUCCCUGCCUGCCCAAGUAGGUGCGGACGUCGAGUCGUGGGCCCAGCCUUUCGUGCACGUCGUUCCUUAAACUCAAUCUGCUCUGAGUGUGGCUUGCAGAUGCUUGCGACAUGUCGGCAGGUCGAUCACGUUGUUGUCCCUCGACUUGUCUGCCCACUCUUGCUUGACCUGCUUGGUACUCGUUGAGCUGUCUACCGGCCCGUUCAUCCUUCCUUCUUUCCUCGCCUGGUUGUCCAAGGCCAAGGUUUUGAGCAAAGCUUAUUUGGUUGAGGAGCUGCCUCAUUAGAUUGUUUUGGUCGUCCAUUCUUUAAGCUAGCUGGUCAACUCUCAGAUUAAGGUCUGCUUGAUUUCAUGGAUCAGGAGGAGAGAAGUGUGUGGAGCUCAACUGCACAUAGGCUAGGGUUUCAUUAGAGGUGUAUGCGGGAGCGUGUGUCGAGCGUGGAGGCAAUAGAGGGAAUGCUUGGAGUUGCUCCAAGACCGGCCCUAGGUCGGCGGUGGUAACGAGUCCACCUUGAUGGGAAGUUCCACCAUGUUUGGCGGCAGUGACCGAUGCAGUGGUGAGAGGUGGUGGUGCCACCAUGUCGAUCGCGGGAUCGUUGGUGGAGUGGCUUUGGGCCGUCGCAAAUCUAGCCAUCAUGGCGGCUUUGCCUCUCGUGUUCAUGCUUCCAACCAUGGUUGUUUGGAAGGCUUAGGUGGAUUGGAAAAUUAGAGGAACGGAUUCCUUGAGCACGCAUUGAGUAUAACUCGUGCUCUCAAUGAAAGCACCAAUUUGUGGGAGCAAAUUUCCCCACGAGAAUAUUCGGUUCGAAAGAUUCCCCUUUCUUAUUCGCCGCCUCUUUCUCCUCGCAAAAUAGAACAAAUAAGAGGACCACACCCGAGGGGUGUUGGCCAAAGGCCCUCCGAUGCCUAAAUUAGUUCAAGUAUUUGUAAGAAAAACACUAGCUAACUAGGGUAUGGAGAUGUGUUUAAGGUGUAAACCGGGCGGCCGGAACCUUAUGUAAAAGAGAGAGAGAAAUGAGGUGGCUAGGGUUUGAGAGGAAUUUUCUGCAGAGUUUUUAGUAGAGAUUUCAGACGUACCUCAACCAUUGUGUGUGGCCAUCUUUUUAUAGUGGUCUUGGAGGCUAGAGUUUCAGAGAAAUAAUUUCGUAGAUGGAAAGGAAUUAUUCCUCCCCUAUUUAGAAUUGAUUUGAUUAAUUACGGAUUUGAUUUAUUAGGGUAAAUCAAAUCCCUAAUUGUGGUAAGUAUCAAAUCAAAUCCUUUUUUAAUUAGGUAACUGCUCAUUUAAUUGACAAUUGUGGUAGGAAUCAAAUCAAUUCUCAACCUAAUUGGUAACGUUCAAUUUAAUUGGGUAAUUCCCAAUUAAAUUGAGUAACUCCCAAUUAGGUUGAUUAAUUCACACUUAGAUCAAAUAAUCCCCAAAUGGAAAGAAUUAUUUGACCUAAGGUAUGAUUUAAUUCGAUUCCCACAAUAUUUAGAUGCAUAAUUGAAUGCGAAUAAACAUCACUCUCUCCAGUGUGAAAUGGCGAAAAUUCUCUUCAAUCAAAAGUGGGCUUACUUCAAAUUUAGUUGAAGAAUGAUGGUGUGUCUUGCCUGACAAUUGACAAUUAGGUUUAGGAGCGUUCCUCUAGUAGAAAAAUCUAAAUCAUUUGUGGUCAUCCACUCACUUGGUUAGUCUUCCAGAAUCAAAUACCAAAUCAACCCAAAGGAAGCUGCAAUUUUCUGAAUUGUAUACUUGUUUUAAUUCUUCCUAUCUUUUUCUCUCUUUCAUUUUUUUUGUCUCCCUCAAGUUAAUACUUAAGUGAGUUGCCAAAUGGGGGUAAAAAAGAGAGUAGAAGAGAUGAACCCCACAUUUGACUUUAAUAGACAAAUGCCCAAGAGAAGUACCAGUAAGAGCAUCUCCAAUUGGGAGGUGCUAUCCUAUAAUUUGACACACAUUUCUUUUUUCUUUUUUUUCAAUUCUAACAACAUGUCAUCUAUAUCGCAAUAGGCCGUUGUAGUUAAAUUUUCAAAUAACCAAGUUGCUCUCUAUUUUCCAAAGAAGACUAGAAAACAACUUACCAUCUAUCUGGUGCUGCUUCUUCCAAACAUUAGAAAAAACAGAGCUACACCCAGGAGGAGCCCAGGAGAUGACACAAUACUGCCUACUAUGAUUCUUACUUUCUUCACAUUCAAUGAGACUAUAAAAUAUAACCCAAGUGGUCUAACCCCCCAGGGCGGAAAUUGGGUUUAGCAAGUUUAGCACUGAUUGUUGUAUAGUCUUAAACAGUCCUGAUCUCUUGGACCCCUGUAGUCCAAGAGAUUUAUGGUCACCCACCGUUGGAUGUAAAUUCAACGGUUGACUUGAAUCGGGUAAUAAUAAUUUAUGUCAUAUUGCAUUUAUAUAUAUCAUUUUGAACCAUUGGAUUAAUAUCCAACGGUGGGUGACCACAAUCUCUUGGACUCCUGUGGUCCAAGAGAUCGGGACUGUAGUCUUAAAAUAAGUAGUUUAGCGAGUGCAAACUUCGACUUAAAAAAACUCUCAUGUAUAGCCGCGCGGCUAUACUAUUUACAUAUAAAUAUAUAAAAAAGCACCCCCUAGUCACGUGUCACAAAUAGUAUAGUCGAAAACAGUAGAGCCGCGCGGCUAUACUGUUUUUAAAAUAAAAAAAACCAUAUUCGAUUCUCCUUAUAUUUAAAAGGGGUAUAGCCGCAUGGCGAUACUAAUUUUUUUUUUUCAAAAAAAGGGACCCCAGUACUCCUUUUAUAUAUUAUAAUAUAUUGUCUAAUAUUUGGAAUAUUUACUCUAAAAUAAACAAUAUAUUAGGUUCUUUUUGUCUACAAAUUGACCAUUAAACUUCUUAAUCACUCUUAUACUUUCAAUUAAAUCUACUAGGCUAGGUUAUGAUAUUUUCACUAAAAAACUCCUCCUUUUUUUCUUCUCUUUCUCUUCCUGUUUUGUUUAACUUAAGCUUAAGUUUUGUAAUUUUUUUUCCCGCCCUUUUUACAUGUUUGAGUAGGGUACUUUAAUAUUGGGAUUUAUGAACUUUUUUUGUAUUUCUUCUUUAUAUUGGAAUAUAAAUUAUUAACUUUUGAGUCUUUAAUAGUGUAGAUGAUGAGAUUAUUAUUCAACCAUUUUAUAAUAUGAAAUGAAGGACAAUCAUGAUUGUGAUGAAUGGAUUAUUAAUCAAUAUGAAAUGAUAUUAUGAAGUGGGCUAAAUCGAGUAGUUAGUAUCGUAUUGUUGAGACCCAAAAAAUCCAAGGCUAGGCCCAAAUAUAUUAUGAAGUGGGCUAAAUCGAGUAGUUAGUAUCGUAUUGUUGAGACCCAAAAAAUUCAAGGCUAGGCCCAAAUAUAUUUCCGGUCCAAUGCGAUACCUUACCGAGAAGAAACCUUAUUUGGGCACGCGAAAGUUCGUCAUAUGCUCUUGCACACAUGCCAUGCCAAGCAAAUAAGCAACAUGCCACGCUACAAGCUUAAGUGGGCCCAAGCCACGUGAAUGCCUAGGGCCUGCUGAGUGGGUUGUGGUAUGGAUGGUUAUGAGUAUUCACGAGGCCCAUUGAUGGUCUAAGGAGUGGAAGUUUUGGGCUACUUGGGAGCACCAAAACUCAAGCCCAUUCAUUGAGCCCAAACAUAUGGGUAAGCAUGAGAUAAAACCUAGUAGCCCAUCACCUUAAGAAAUCCUAAUAGCCCAUAACAUGUGAGAAAAUCCCACAUCAACCAAAGCUUCCAGCAGUCUGACGAAAUCAAAGGGAACUCACAAGCCGUUGGAAACAAAACAACCCAACACUGUAACACCCCGACCCCAAAUUUCCCCAAAUUUAACCCUUAUUUAAUUAUUUAAGGGUAUUUUAGUCAUAUUUUUAACCGGAGAGAGUUUGGGGCAAUGACUAGUAUUUUUGGAUAGGUCGUACUGAGACGAGUUUAUGGACACGCAGUGAGCUCGAAUCGGAGUUGUAACGAGAGAGAUAUGGUCAAAAGAAGCCCAGUGGCACAAUCGUAAAUAUUUUGAAAUGAGAUUUUUUAUAAAAAUCUGGUUUUCUCUCUCUCUCUCUCUCUCUCUCUCUCUCUCUCUCUCUCUCUCUCUCUCUCGCUAGCGACCUCUCUCUCUCUCCCCCGUCGGUCUCUCCCCUCUUUCUCCUCGUAACUCCGGCCACCGGCCCCGGCUGUGGACGGGGCCGGUACCAAAAUGACCGAGGCGUCGUCCUCUUCCUACCCCAGCCACCUCCCACCGCCAGCCGUCGCGGAUUCGCCGGAAUCUGGAGAUGAAGCGGCCUACGUCGUCCAAAUUUCAAAGCUGCCGAUCUCCCUCCUCCGGCCACCAAUUCCGUCGACCCAGGUAUGGAUUUUGAACUUCUCGAGCUGCUCUAGCUGAUGGUUGGGUAGGAUUAGAUCGAUUCUUAGCUUAGACAACUCGAUUUUCAAAUUGAAAAUCGGCCGAACUUCGGCUGCCGUGAUCGGCCAUUUCCGGCCACUUUUUGGGGUAGGUCCAAGAACAAAAGUGGCUCCAAAUAGGGUGUUAUACCUAGGGUAGGAGUUUGGAGCCGUGGUUUUGAGAUUUUCCGGCGAAGCGUUAUCGCUUUGGGCACCCACGCGCUGCCGGUGCGUGCGGCGGCGCGUGGGCACUGUAGAAAAAGUAGCACUGUGUUCCGAUGAGAUCCUUAGGUUGUCACGAGUGCGUAGGAUUUUGCGGAUCUCAAUUCGGACGUCGUUUGACUAUCGAACGGAUAUUCGCAUAUUGCGCGUUAUUCGGGUUCGAUAGGUUGGGACCGUUGGAUGGACCCAAAUUUAAUAUAUGUUAAUCUAAUUAAUUCUAGGAUCGUGUAGGAAUUCACGGAUUGUGAAUCGGAGCCCCGGAUGUUCCGAAUAAUAAUUUUAAAGUUUGUAUUUUAUAUUAAUUGUCAGAUCGUGCGAUCGUGAGCAAUCUGACCGUUCGAUCUGAACCAAACUUGCAGGACAAGUGUCCUAUACCUUGUAGAACCCAUAGGGACCUUCGGAUCGGAAAUUGGAGGUCGUGGGUUCCGCAAGUCGGUUUGACCAGGGUUAGAGAAGUUUGACCCUUGGUUGACCGUGAGUCUCCCGGAGUAAUCUCACCUUUCUAGGGGAGAUUAUCGGGUACUAGAUGAUUGUGGACACAAUAUUAGAAUUAAUUUAUAUAAUUAUAAUUAUAUAUGGUUGUACAAGGGUACAACAGAGUCUAGAAUGUCAGUUUGGAGUGCUAUACGCACUACUUUAGGUACCUCCCCGGAUGUUGGGAUUUACUACAAGUACCACCAAGUGAAAUUGAGGUCCCGCGUGGCGUAGGUUAUCCAGCGUUGGGAUAGGUCUCAUACGUGGGGUUGGUUGUACCGGCGUAUGGGGAGAUUUGUGAUAUUAUGUUCAGGUCUCACGUGGCGUAGGUUAUCCGGCGUUGAGACAGGCCCCAUACGUGGUGUUGGUUGUACCAGCGUAUGGGGAGCUAUGUGAUAUUGUGUUGAGGUCGCACGUGGCGUAGGUUAUCGGGCGUGUCGACAGACCCCAUACGUGGCGUUGGUUGUACCGGCGUAUGGGGAGAUUUGUGAUAUGAAAUUGAGGUCCCACGUGGCGUAGGUUAUCCGGCGUUGGGACAGGCCCCAUACGUGGCGUUGGUUGUACCGGCGUAUGGGGAAAUAUGUGAUAUGAUGGCAUGGUCGCACGUGGCAUAGGUUAUUCGGCUUGUUGACAGGCCCCAUACGUGGCGUUGGUUGUACCGGCGUAUGGGGAGAUUAUUUGAAAUGCAGAGAAACGAAAUAUGGUAUCGCCCAAAUGUGGAAUUGGGUUUUAGGGAAGAACUACGUGUGGCUUGAUCCCUCAAGGAGGGUACGUAGGCAGCCUAAGGUUAAUAGGUGCAGCCGCAGACUAAAUGUUAGUCAUAAUUGAUAUUUGAAUUGUUUGGUAGUUGGUUAAGAAUUAUUGGAAGGCCGAAGGCCAUUUGUGUGAAUUGCAUGAAAUUAUAUUGUGCAUGCUGCCAGUUGGGAAUAUUAAAUGCGUUUUUAUGCAGGUAUAAAUUUUAGGAAAUGUCCAAUUUAUAGGGGAGACUCUGCCGAAUUUUCGGCAGGAAGUCUCAGUUUUUAGUAUCUGGGCCUGGCAUCGGGAGGAUGUCGGGAAUUCCAAAGGGUCGUCUCGAGUUCUGAAAAAUUCGGUGCGGGUCCUUUCAAACACCUUAUAAAAUAUCCAACGCCGUGCAUCUCUGUUAAAACCAGAUCACAGCCAAACCACCAAAACCAUGCAAACCCAUAUGCUGAUCACCAUUUUUACUAGCACCCUUACCCAUUCUUUCCUCUUCAAGCUUUGGUGAGAAAACAAGAAACAAAAGUGGGCGGAUCUUCACCCACAUGGAGAAAUCCAGCUGCCUGAGGGCCCUGGAACUCCAAAAAACUUCUUACCUACAUGCUCAGGCUAGGGAAGUUUCACCAAAUAAGCAAGAAUGGAAGAAAGUGAAGGAAAAGGGGAAAGGGUGGCUUGACGAAAUUAAGGUUUUCAGCACUUAUAAAAGGAAACACUUUCUAUCCAGCAAAAACAACUCACCCUGGUUGCUGCAAGCCUCCUAGCAACCAUGAGAAUUCAUUGAAGGCAAGCAUCCCCUUUGGAACCCUUCAAUUUCAUGCUUUGUUCUUCCAUCUUCCUCCUUUCUCUCUCUCUCAAAACCCACAUCCAGAGAGAGCAAGCAUCAUCUCUCAUCUUUGGAACCCUUCGAUUUGAAGCCUUGUUCUUCCAUUGCUUCCCAUUUUCUCUUCUGUCAAAUCACCUAGGAGCUUGACGAAACUUUCGUCAAGCUGCUGGAAAUAUGGUAAAGCCACCCAUGCUUCCAUCUUCUUCCUCUCUUUCCAUAAACACACAUCCAAAGAGCAAGCUUCAUCUCUCAUCCUCUAAACCUCUGCAAUUUCAAGCCUCAUUCCUCUAUCUUCUCCCAUUUUCAGCGGUAGUGAGAAUGAUUUCUGCGUGUGCAUGGGAAGGAUUGUAACUCAGAUGAGGAGGAGAUGGUUUGGAGUGGGGUGAGGCAGUUGGAUAGAGCUCUUGGCCUUUUCAAGUUUGGAUGGGAAAGAGCAGGGAUGAAAGAAGCUUUACAACUGCAAGGGCAUAUAUGGUGCGUAGGGGCUGAAGGCAGAACACUUACAUAUAGAGGAAACACAUUUUUUGUCCAUGGGAUUCAUGUUUGACAAACACUUGUCUUAGACUAUGAGUUCAAAUUUCAAAACCUUUUUUUUUUCUUUCUGAAAUCAGGACCAGUGUGGAGAACUAGCAAGGAUUGGAGAAACAGAUUUUUGGGCGUCACUUGACCACAGAUUGUUGAUUGCUCAAAUGUGUAGAAUUGGCCAUCUUAAAUGUCAAAAUGAUUUAUCAAUUGGGGUUUUUUUAGAAACGUUUAUGUUUGUCAAUAGAGACAGAAGUCAGAGAACAUAAACCUUUCUCAGCAAAUUGAAAUUCUCAGUGCAUGCUCUGUUCUUCCAUGGCUUUCAAACCUUCUCUGCCACGGUGAAAUGGAUCGAUAGAGAUAGUUUAGGCCGUUCCAUUUGUUUGAUGAAGCAUUCGUUCUAGGGAUUCUGUAUAUUCAUAACAAAAUCACUAGAAUGAUUCUUAGAAAUUCAUCACUGCUAAAGGCAAUGGGUUCAGCAUAAUAACUUCUUAGUCUUGCUUCUUGGUCCUUUAUUUUCUUUGCAUAAUACUCCAAGUUUACCUGGGUUCUACAGAGAAAAUCUCGUAGAUACCUCUUUUUGUGGUCUUCCAUGGCAUUUAAGUGCUGCUUUCCAUGGUGAAGUGGGCCUAUAGAGACUACCUGAGGUGUGUAGGCUUUGUCAUUUCCACGCCGUAAUCGCUCAGGAACUCUGUAGAUACACCUUCAAGGGGGACAAGGGAGACAAACUAUCCAAUUCCUUGCGCCUUACAAAUAGAUCGCAUGGGUUUUCUAUUUCAUCUGCAGCUUCAUCAAUUCCUUCCAUUUUUCUCCUGAUCAUCAUGCGCGGUGAUUCAAAUAUUUCAUAAUGAACAUUGAAAUGAGAUGCUACAAGCAAACUUAUGAAAAGAAACAGAAAUACCAAAAAGACAAAUCAAUGUAGAUGGUUUAGAAAAUCUAAACAUUGCAAUUAUACUCCUUUGCCCAACUUCUAGGAGCAAACGUACACAAAGACCUUAUUGCUUCCAACUUUUCCAACAGAAUUUCAUAUGAAUUGCUCCAAGUGAAAUCCGUAUGAAAAAUCGGUAGUUGGAUUUUCAUCCUGCUUUAAUAUGAUUAUUUAACUUCUAACAAAAAAACUCUUAUUACUUGAGCAAGUAAAAUACUAUUCCAGGUUUCUCCUAGUUCUAUAUGCGCUUAUAAUUGGUAUACUCUAUAAAUACCAUAAUCUGAAUUUCUCUGUUUUGAUUACUUUAAUUUAUUACUUAUGUUUUAAUUAUUGUUUACUUAGUGAAUUAUUAGUAUUUAAGAGAAGGCCUUCCAUCGAUUAGGCACCACGUGUCUAUAAUAAGUAAAGCCGUCCGGCUAUACUUAAAAAAAAAAAAAAUUGUAGUAUAGCCGACCGGUAUAGCCGCGCGGCUAUACUAUUUAAUACAUUAUAUUUAAACGGUAUAGCCGCGCGGCUAUACUAUUUAAUAAAAUAAAAAACAAAAGAAAAAGAAAAAUUACCCUCCUAUUUCAUUAGUUUGUACUUUAUAGAUACUAGCCCCUUGACACAUGCUCACGCAUGUGCCAAUUGGUUUUCUUUUUCUUUUUUAUUUUUAUUUUUAGAAUUAAGAAAAAAUAACAGGAUAGUUAUGUUCCAUAAAAGUAGGACCUAUUAUCUUAUUUUGUUUUUAAUUUUAAUUUUUUUAAUAUUAAAAAAAUAUGAAUUUACGAUAUUAUCCUCAUUUAAUUAAUAAUUUCAAUUCUUAAUGUUUGAAUUAACAAAGGGCAUUUUCUGGUAUUUUGAAUGUUUCACCAUUCUCUGCCUUUUGCUUUAUAUAUAUAGAUUAAUUUGCCAGUUUCAAGAUAUCCAAAGUACAUAUUAGACUUUCACUAUAUAAAUUUCAAUAUAUAUUUUUUAUAACAUGUGUUGUUCUUAUUCAAUAAUAUGUGAGAAUUAUUUGUAUAAUACGUGAAUUUUGUGUGUCUUACUGAAUUUUUUUAAAUACGUGUAUUAAACGUUACAAAUACGUACAUAUAUGUACAACACGACUAUUGUAAGUUUGCUAUAUAAAAAAAAGUGAGAUGUAUCUAGAACACGAAUGUAUUAUCGAAAAAUAUAUAUGUAUGUAUAUAUAUAUAUAUAUAUGUAAAAGCCUAUAGCCUCUCACCUAUACUAUUUAUUAAAGACAAUUUAAAAAUUACAACAACAAAAAAACCAGUACAGCCACAAAGCUAUACUAUUUUAAAAAAAAAAAAUAGAAAAAAUAUCAAGUACUACACAGGGCAAAGGCCCAGUGUAAAAUAGUAUAGCCGUACGGCUAUACGUUUUUAAGAAGAAUUUAAAAAACUAAGUAUAGCUCACCGACUAUACUAUUUUUUAAUAUAAAAAAACAACCCCAUCCAUUAGGCGCCACGUGUCAACAGAAGUUUAUUUUUAAAAAAAAAAAUUAAAAGACAAGGAGUAUAGCCGGGUGGUUGUACUAUUUUUUUAUUUUAAAAAGAAGACAGUCCAUCGAUUAGGCGCCACGUGUCCAUAAUAAGUACAGCCGCUCGGCUAUAUGUUGGAUAUUUUGAAACUAGCAAAUUAAUAUCAAUAGCCGGUCGUAACCUAUGCUGUCCACGUCACUCAUGUUUUACCAGAGUUAAAGCAUCCACAAUGAGCUCCCCAAACCAUCUCUUUAGACAAAUUUUAGGGAGAAAUUGGAAAAGUACAACUCCAACCAUGCUCCCUAUCCACCAACUAAAAUAGGGAGACCUCUAGGAGCUCCUAAAUCUGAGGAGAGGGAAAGGACUCUUAGUGACUCCCUAUAAUUUAAUGUUGCUUUGUUUUAUGCAUAUUUUAAACUUUUAAUUAAAUCAAAUUAUUAUUUUAUAUUAUUUUGUAUACAGAUGGACCAAUUAUAUUAAAUUAAAAAAUAAUUAAAGUAUUUGUGACUCUCUAAACUAAGGAGUAUGAUUAGAGUUCAAAUUUUAUAAAAAGCUCUUAAAAUAGCUUUUGUGUGUUUUUAGCUAAAUUUUAACUAAAAAAUUUGAAGAUUCUUUAUUUGGGUUUCUUUCAAGACGAAAACCAUAUCCACAACAGACAUCUUUGGCUGUUCAUCACAAUUGAGAGACAAUGAAGAAGACAUAAGGGAGAGGCUGCCAAAUACUUAUCACCUUAGCCACCACCAACACCACAAGACCAAUAUGUGUAGGCCAGGAGGCUUUCCAAUUUUAAUAUAUAUAUAUAUAUAUAUUAAAAAAUAAAAUAAAAAUCAAUCUAUUAUCAUAUAUAUUAUAAAAUAAAGAUUAUUGCUCCAUCCUCCAUGCACUUGCGUGCCCUCUUACAAAGUAUGAAGUAGAUUUUGUUAGCUGGAUUUAUAAGAUCUUUUGUUUUUUGGAAAUUUUCUGAAAUAAGGAAAAUCAAGUAAAAUUAAUAAAGCAUAAAUUGGAAAGGGAAAAUAUCUAGAGGAUGCAUUGUAGGAUUGCUCAAGCCAAUAAUUGUACCCUCUAAAUAUAUAGGGACAUAUUUUUUUUGUUUUCAUGACAUGUCGUCCUAAAAUUAUUGUUCUUAGCGGGCUCUCCACCCCCUCUCGAUUGAAAACCUAUUGUGUAAAUCUUCAAUCCUGAAUUAGAAAAGUACAACUCCAACCAUGCUCCCUAUCCAUCUCCUAAAAUAGGGAUACCUCUAGGAGCUCCUAAAUCUGAGGCGAGAGAAAGGACUCUUAGUGUCUCUUUAUAAUUUAAUGUUGCUUUGUUUUAUGCAUAUUUAAACUUUUAAUUAAAUCAAAUUAUUUUUUUAUAUUAUUUUGUAUACAAAUGGACCAAUUAUAUUGAAUUAAAAAUAAAUUAAAGUAUUUAUGACUCUCUAAACUAGGGAGUAUGAUUGGAGUUCAAAUUUUAUAAAGAGCUCCUAAAAUAGCUUGUGUGUGUAGGGGUCUUUUUCUUCUGGCAACUACAGAUGGGUUGGGCUACCGUAAGGAGCAAACUGAAGAAAAUAUCCCCUGUGUCUGAGUUCAAAGAUUCGGCCCCAAAAUAUUUCGAAAAGGCAGUAAAGCCUUAGGAAACACCUUAGUUACCUUCACCAACGAAAAUGACGGCUGCUUACAGGUAGAUUCUUAGUGCUUACAGAUGAAUUCUUAGCUUAGCAUGAGGAGAUCGUGGCAUGGAAGCAAAGUUAGCAUGAGUUUAGCACUAAAGAGAAAAUUAUGUGUUCUUGGGAGGAAGAAGGGGUGUCCAGGUAAAUGGGAAAAGGUUUUGCAAGUAGAUUUGGCUAAGAGAGAAGGGAGAGAGAGAAGAGGGUGGCUAGAGUGCUUCUUCCGGCAGCUUGACAGUGACUCUGUCAAAUGUUAGAGCAAUCUGCCAUAAGAGGGAAAAUGGGGAAGAAGGAUGAACAGUGCACAAAAUUGCUAGGUUUUUGCAAGUAAGAGAGGAAGCUUGCUCUCUGGAUGUGGAUGAUCCGUUGGGUAGAAGAGGCCCCAUUUUAUAGCCGCUGGAAACUAUCAUUUCUCAAGAAACCCUAAUAGUUUCUACCCAAUUUGGUCAAGCUUUUCCCUUCCUUUCUCAUCUCCUCCCUUGACUUUUCCUAUCUUGGUGAAAUUUCCUCUGUCUAUUUGCACAAAAUCAGGAGCUCAAGGCCUCCCUUUCCCGCAACUGUUCAAUGGGAGACUCCAUUCUUAGCUAUUUUUCUUCUUCUUUCCUUCCUCCUUCCCUGACCAAAUCUGAUGAAGGAAAGCAAAUAGGUGCACACAUUGGUUUGAAGGGUGCUUCUCCUUCUAGCAGCUUACAUGCCAAUAUCCCUUGGGUCCUUGCAUGUUUUUUGCUUUGAAACUUGUUUCUUCCUUCCCGUCAACUCACGUGGUCUUCCAUGCUUCUUCAUGGCUUUAUCUUUCAGCCAAAAGAUGGAGUUUUUACUGCUUGCUACUUUUAAUUGUAUGGGUCUUCUAGGAUAGGAAGUCAACCUACCAAACAAAUGGGCCACCUUUAUCAAAUAUUGGGCUGUUGGGGUUAGUUUUAGUGGGCCAUUUUGACUGGGCUUUUUGGUUGGGUUAUUUAAGUUAUUUUCCCUUUUGUGCUCACCCAUGUAUUUAGGCCUAAGAAAUGGGCUUGGGCUCCGAGUCUCCCAAGCAACCCGGAACCUCCAUUUCUUGGCCCAUUAAUGGGCCUCAUGACAACCUAUUACCAUCCAUACCACAACCCACUCAAGCAAGCCCCGGGCAUUUGAAUGGCUUUGGCCCACUUUAGGCUUGUAGUGUGAUUGGGUGUGGCAUAACGAUUUCUCGCUUGGCAUGGCAUGUUGCUUGGCAUGUUUUUUCAUUACGAUGCUUGAUGGAUUUGUAGAGCUACCUAUUUUUAUGAUCUUAAUCUUGAUUCCUAGCAUGACAAAUUUAUUUAUUUGGCAUGGCAUGCGGAGCGUGACUUGUGCGUGGCGAGUUUUGUAUGCUCCAACUUGGGCCUUUCCUAAAUAAUGUAUCAUUUUGGGUUAUGAAUUCUUUCGGGCCCAACCGUGAAUUUUUUGGGUUUCAACAGUGUGUUUUUAGCUAAAUUUUAACUAAAAAAUAGGGAGCAUGAUUGUAGAUCAUCUUAUAUACCUUAAUUUGAAGAUUCUUUAUUUGGGUUUCUUUCAAGAUGAAAACCAUAUCCACAACUGGCAGACAUCUUUGGCUGUUCAUCACAAUUGAGAGACAAUGAAGAAGACAUAAGGGAGAGGCCGCCAAAUACUUAUCACCUCAGCCACCACCAACACCACAAGACCAAUAUGUGUAGGCCAGGGGGCUUUCCAAUUUUAAUAUAUAUAUAUGGAGUGAAAAAAAUAAAAUAAAGAUUAUUGCUCAUCCUCCAUGCACUUGCAUGCCCUCUUACAAAGUGUGAAGAAGAUUUUGUGUGCUUCAAGUCAUUGACUAGAGCUGAAACAUGGUUAGCUGGAUUUAUAAGAUCUUUUGUUUUCUGGGAAUUUUCAGAACCAAGGAAAAUCAAGUAAAAUUAAUAAAGCAAAAUGGAAAGGGAAAAGAUCUAGAGGAUGCAUUGUAGGAUUGCUCAUGCCAAUAAUUGUACCCUCUAAAUAUAUAGGGACAUAUUUUUUUUGUUUUCAUGACAUGUUGUCCUAAAAUAUUUGUUCCUAGCGGGCUCUCCACCCCCUCUCGAUUGAAAACCUAUUGUGUAAAUCUUCAAUCCUGAACGAUGCUCCUAAAACUCAAGUGUCCCAGGCCAAUUAUUGCUCUCAUACCACUUGUUGCAAUACACAUCCACUCAUUCUCAGGGAAAGAAACCCAUCGAUAUUAUCUCAAAUUUAACCACUUUAGUCUAUUAUGAUUAACUAUGUAUUUUAUGGAUCAAUGCAGUUGUGAGGUUUUAUACCCAAUUAGAUCGACCAAUACAGAGAUCACAUGUGGACUGAAAAGCGCCAUCGGUAGGGGAGUGUUUGGCACCCUUUACUGCCGAGUGCAACACAAGACCCCUUACCAGGAACUUAUCUACUAGGACACGUGAAGCCACCACAAGUAAUAUCAACAGUCCCACAUCGAAGUUUAACAUAACAUGUACACUCCCCAGGACUGAUAAAAGUGGGCACAAGUCCCAAAAAUGGGGGAACUUGGACUUUCAGCAAUUCAUCCAUUAUUAUGUCCAAAUUACUAUACACUCCGUACUUAUUCUUACUUAAGCAUUGGAGAGCCUUCGGCCGGUACCACACCAGUGCCUAAGGGCUUACCGAGCGUUCUCUAUCUUGCAUAUUGAUCGCUCUACUGAAGCCCAUAAAGAGUUAAAGGUCAAGACAUCACUAAGUUGAGCCCAAAAGUGCUGAACCACAUCAAAAAUAUGUAUAGAUUGAAAAAAUAAAAUAAAAAUCAAUCUAUUAUCAUAUAUAUUAUAAAAUAAAUAUUGGAUAAAUUACUCAAAUGGUCCUCAAACUUAUACUCGAUUUACAUUUUGGUCUCUCAAUUAAAUUAUUUGUUCAAAUGGUCCAUCAACUCUAUAUUAUUUCUGCAAAAUCUACAAAGUGGUGGGAGGCAGACCAACAAAAAAAAUUAGCGAAGGCUUAUAACUCUGGUAAAACAAGAGUUACUUGGAUAGAAUAAUGUUACGUCGUACUGAAGAUUUUUGGGUUUCUUUAAUUGGUUAAGUGAAGAUUCUUUAUUUGGGUUUCUUUCAAGAUGAAAGCCAUAUCCACAACCACAACCACAACUGGCAGACAAUCUUUGGCUGUUCAUCACAAUUGGGCGACAAUGAAGAAGACAGAAAUUGGAGUACUGUAUGUUAUCACCCACACCACAAGACCAAUAUAAGGAGGAUGGGGAGGCUGCGGAAUACUUAUCACCUUAGCCACCACCUACACCACAAGACCAAUAUGUUGUAGGCCAGGAGGCUUUCCAAUUUUAAAUUAGAUAAAUCGGAAACUGUUUCGAUAUCCAAUUGUAUUCUAUAAAAUCAAUGAACACGGUGCUUCAAGAAAGUAAUAAAAUUUCAAUAAUUCAAUUGAGUGGUCAAAUUCAAGUGAUUUUUUGUAGUGAUGAUCUUUGAAUGAGUAUCUAUAAAAGAGACGGUUUGGAUUAGUGAAAUACAAUAUGGAGUGGGCCCUACCAGCAAUCCACGACAAAAUGUCUGCAAGCUUUCGUAAUAUAAGGAGGAUGGGGAGGCUGCGCAAUACUUAUCACCUUAGCCACCACCUACACCACAAGACCAAUAUGUUGUAGGCCAGGAGGCUUUCCAAUUUUAAUAUAUAUAUAUAUAUAUAUAUAUAUAUAUAUAUAGGGAUGUGAUUUCUCUACUCCCCUUUUCUCUACUUAUACUCCCUUUUGCUUUUAAAUACUUUUUAAUCAAUUUUUUUUCCGCUUUCCUAUUAAUAUUCUACCAUUUCCCUACAUUAAUUUCUUUUUACUUCACUUUUAUAUUAGUUCUUUUUCUUUAUACUUAAUUUUUCAACUUGCACUCCAUUUUCAUUAUUUUUUUCCUAAUCGAGUAAGAAAUUAAGUUUUUUUUCCCCAUUUAAUACUGAAAAUGGAGUGUAAGUUAGAAAAUUAGGUAUAAAGAAAAAGAAAUAAUAUAAAAGUAAAGUAAAAAAGAAAUUAAUGUAGGGUAAAGGUAGAAUAGAAAAGAGAAUGAACAAAAUUGAUAAAUAAAUAAAAAAGGUUUAAAAAGCAAAAAGGAGUGUAAAUGGAGAAAAGGGGAAUGAGGAAAUCAGCUCCAUAUAUAUAUAGAUUGAAAAAAUUAAAAUUAAAAUCAAUCUAUUAUCAUAUAUAUUAUAAAAUAAAGAUUAUUGCUCCAAGGAAAUGACAUCUUUUGUUUUCUGGGAAUUUUCUGAACCAAGGAAAAUCAAAUAAAAUUAAUAAAGCAUAAAUUGGAAAGGGAAAAGAUCUAAAGGAUGCAUUGUAGGAUUGCUGAUGCCAAUAAUUGUACCCUCAAAUUAUACAUGGACAUAGGGGUGGGCAUUCAAAUAGGCAAACUAGAAAUCCGAGCUGAACCGCACCUAGGAAAACCGGAAAAAAAACCGAGUUGACCAAAAAGUCAACAACUGGUCAAAAAUCGAACCGGACCGAUUUGGACUGGUUUUGGAUUCAGUUUAUAUGCAAUGCUACAUUUUUAGUCUCAUAACUAAUAUUUAUCCAAGUUCAAUUUCAAAACAUCUUUCUUUUUUAGCUUUAAUAUUUAUUUUUAUAUGAAAUUAAAUAAUUUAUUAAUUUUCAAGUAAAUAAAAUAAAAUUUCAGUUGAAAUUUAUAUUAAAAAAAUAAUUUUAAUAAUCCAGUUCAAAACCAAACCGGACCAUCCAGCUGUGAGGUACAUUUCUCCCACAUGCCACAAUUGUAUAUUCACAAUUACGUCUGAUACAUCACAUCAUGCCACUUGCCUCAAAUGAAUUUAAGUGAGUGUGGCAGUGGAAAGUAAUUAAGCUCUAUAUUGGUGGGUGGACUGUUACUUCUGGGUUCCCCUCAUCAUUCGUCUAUAAAAUGGUGAAGGCAGUUGCUAUUGUUACCAUAAGAGCCAGCUCCGACUUCCUUUAAUUUCUUGCUUCAUAUCCACUAGCUACAUCUGUUACCAAGUUAAUUUCAGUCCUAAUGGGGUUUCAUCUCCCACUCAUCUUUGCUCUUCUCAGUGUAAGCUCUGCAAUUUGAUUAACUUUUCCAUUCUCUCUCAUUGUACUCUAUAUAAACGAAAGUUUUGUGUUCCUAUAAUUCUCUCCGAUUUUAUUUAGUACGUACUUAAGUGUCGUCCACUAAUUAAUUACACUUUGUGAUUUGAUUUUAAUUUGAGUUCGAAUUAAUGUUGCAGCUAGCAGCAGUGGCACUGGCAAACCAUGCUGCUCAACCAGCACCUCAACUUUACUGGAACUCCGUCCUGCCAAACACACAGAUGCCAAGAUCUAUCAGUGAACUUCUGCAUCCUGGUUUGUGUUGAGCUCUUUAGAAUCUUAGAUAUCUCUUCUACCUGCCAUUUUACUAAAAUAUGUUCCACCACAUAUUUAUCAGUUAACCACUGUUAUUACAUGAGUGACACAUAUUCACAAAUCGGCUGAUCACUUAUUUUCCAUUAUGACGUUGAUAUAUAAUUUGCAGACUCCACAAAUGAAGAAAAGAGCACAAAUGACGUUGGCAAACCUGAAACUUUCCCAUUGGGCAAUAAACAUUACUCCAGUCAAAAACAUUAUGGAAGAGGCAAACCUGAAACUUUCCCAUUGGGCAAUAAACAUUACUCCAGUCAAAGACAUUAUGGAAGAGGCAAACCUGAAACUUUCCCAUUGGGCAAUAAACAUUACUCCAGUCAAAGACAUUAUGGAAGAGGCAAACCUGAAACUUUCCCAUUGGGCAAUAAACAUUACUCCAGUCAAAAACAUUAUGGAAGAGGCAAACCUGAAACUUUCCCAUUGGGCAAUCAGCAUUACUCCAGUCAAAAAAAGUAUGGAAGAGGUGCUUCUCCAUCCGACAAUCAACCACCAAUUCCAUAGAAAUUCAAACACGGCUACUUUCUUGCCACGAGAAAGCGCUCAAUCGAUCCCCUUCUCCUCUAACAAACUACCAGAAAUUUUCAACCAUUUUUCAGUGAAGCCAACAUCUGAGGAAGCCAAAACAAUUAAGCAAACAAUCGAAGAGUGUGAAGCUCCAGACCUUAAGGGAGAGGAAAUAUAUUGCGCCACAUCUUUAGAAUCAAUGGUUGAUUUUAGCACUUCGAAGCUUGGAACAAGAAACGUUGAAGCAAUCUCGACGGAGGUAUUGGAAAAAGGAGCCACCAUGUCCAUCCAAAACUAUACAACAAUGCCGGGACUGAAGAAGUUGGCAGGUGACAAAGUCGUUGUGUGUCAUAAGCAGAACUAUCCCUAUGCUGUGUUUUUCUGCCAUGCAAUAAAACAUACAGCAGCUUAUGCUCUCUCCCUGAAAGGCGAUGAUGGGGAGAAGGUUAAAGCAGUAACCAUCUGCCAUCUAGACACAUCAGAAUGGGACCCAGAGCAUAUGUCCUUCAAAAUCGUCAACGUUAAGCCCGGAACCAUUCCCAUCUGCCAUUUCAUUUCCACUGAUGCUAUUGCCUGGGUUCCGAACCACAAAUCUGCAUGAUCAUCACUUAGCACUAGUACUGUGCGUAUAAUAUGCCUGUAUAAUUAUCUCCCUACUUAUUUCUGCCUGUUCAUCAUGUGGUGUAAGAUAUAUGUUGAGAUGAAGUUUUUGGGAUUAGUGGUCGAAAUUAACCCGAUCAUGUUUUCUCUUGUAACUAUAUAGACUUCAACUUGUACUCAUAAUAAAGCAUGCUAUAUUUAUGAAGAGAUAUUAAUCUUCAGGCAAAUAGAUAUUAUGAAAACAUAUAUAGCAAUUUAUCCAGAAGAAAUAUUAUGAAAUGAAAAGAAUAAAAAGUAAAAAAACAGAAGGAAAGGAAUUCGCACCUGCUAUGUAUGAAAGGACCAAGAUUGUUUUCCCUUUGGUUAAUGACUAGAAAAGCUCACUUGCAGAUUGCUUUCUCUGACCGUAGAUGCAACAGAAAUUUUCUCUUAAUAAUAGCACAAUGAUCGGGUAAUUGUAAGAACAAGUUGAUUUAAAAUUCCUUGACCCAAAAAAAAAAAAAAAAUCAUUUCAAAUUCAGGUCAACCCAUAGAUUUCUUGCCUUUUUCUUCUUCAUCACGUUGGGCUUGUCUUCUUCUUGAGGAUUGUAUAGGCCCAGGAAAUGCUUUGAGGUAGUUUUUGGCCUUGGAAGUUGGGACCCAACCCAACUUCACAAAAAGAAAACAGAUUUGCCAAAAAUCAAAUUUCAAGUCUCUCCUCAGAUCACUAAUACAGAUCAAAUUUUGGAUUUGAUGAACUAAAGUGGUUUUACUUUCUCUGUCAGUGUUUGAUGACUUAAUUUGUUAUUUACUUCUUUUUUUUUUUUUACUUGAUCUUUGUAGGGGUUUUUUUCUUCCGGUAACUUAAACGGGCUGGGCUGCCGUAAAGGGUAGAUUGAUGAAAUUGUCUCCUUUGUCUGAGUUCGAAAAUCAAGCCCCAAAAGCGCUUCGAAAGGGCAGUAGAGCCUUAGGAAGCGUUCUAGUCAUCUUCACCAACUAAAACAACAGCAACUUACAGAUGAUUUCUUAAGGCUUACAGAUAAAUUUUCUAGCUUGGCAUGAGAGGCUUGUGACAUGGAAGCAAAAUCAGCAUGAGUUUAGCACCAAAGAGGAAAAUAUGGCUUCCUAGGGAGAAAUGGGAGUGUUUAAGGUGAGGAAGAAGAGGUUUGCAGGCUGAUUUGGCUGAGGAGAGAGAAAGAAAGAACAAUGUUCUUCCAGUAGCUUGACAAAGCUUCUGACAGAUGUGAAAGUCGUCUGCCAUAAGAGGAAAAUGAAGAAGAAUGGUGAAUAGUGCAUGAAAUUGCUGGGUUUUUGCAGGUAAGAGAGAAAGCUUGCUCUCUGAAUUUGAGUUGGUUUUUGGUUGGGUAGAAGAGGCCCCCUUUUAUAGCUGCGGGAAACCAUCUUUUUUCAAGAAACCCUAAUGGUUUCUAUCCAUUUUGGCCAAGCUUUUCCCUUCAUUUCUCUUCUCCUCCCUUGACUUUUCCUAUCUUGGUGAAAUUUCCUCUGCCUAUUUGCACAAAAUUAGAGAUUUUGAGGAGCUCAAGACCCCUUUCCCGCAGCUGCCUCAGUGGAGAAUCCCCAUUUUCAGUCAUCUUUCUUCCUUCUUUUCUCCCAUCUUCCAAGGUUAGGUCUGAUGAGGGAAAGAAAUGGGUAUGCACACUGGUUUGAAGGGUAUUUUUGCUUGAAACUUGUUCUCUCCCAUGUGCUGGAGCUUCCCAGCAACUUACACACAUGGAUAUUUUGGCUUUCAUCGUGGCUUUUGUUUUCAGCUAGGUGCUGGAGAUUUCGCAGAUAUUUUCAUGAGUUGCUUGGGCCUUCUAGGACAAUAGGUUGGUUUAUCAAGUGAAUGGGCUAACUUCAUCAAUUGUUGGGCUAUUUUGGUUGAGUUAAUGGACUAUUUUGGUUGAAGUAAUGGGCUAUUUUGGUUGAAUUAAUGGGCUAUUUUUCUCUCUUUGUGCUCACCCACAUAUUUGGGCCUAAGAAAUGGGCUUGAGUUCCGGGGCUCCCAAGCAACCCCGGGACUUCCAUUUCUCGGCCCAUCAAUGGGCCUCAUAUCAACUUAUUACCAUCCAUAUCACAACCCACUCAAGCAAGCCCUGGGCAUCUUGCGUGGCUUGGGCCCACUUAAGCUUGUAGCGUGACGUGUUGCUUAUUUGCUUGGCAUGGCAUGUGUGCAAGCGCAUAUGACGAACUUUAGCGUGCCCAAAUUGGGUUUAUUCUCGGUAAGGUAUCGCAUUGGGCCGAGAAUUUAAUUGGGCAGAACUGUGGAUUUUUGGGCCUCAACAAUCUUAUAUAUAUUGGUUUUCUUUUUUUCCUUAAUAUUCACCACCUUUCUGUUGCAUAAGUAUUUCAGUCUUAACGGGUUUCCAUCUACCACUCAUCUUUGCUCUUUUAAGUGUAAGCUUUUUUUUUUUUUUUUUAAGCACAAGAUUAGAGGGGAGGGGGAUUUCUCAAUGUAAGCUUUGCAGUUUCAUAAUUAAUAUUUCCAAUAUCUCACUGUUAGUAAAAUAUGGAACAGGAAAAGUAUGAAUAAAAUACACACAUGUUUUAUUUAGCAAAAUUUUGACAAGAUACAACUGAAAAGUUUGGCCACUAUAUAAUAUUUUGAUAUAAUUUCUACACUUCUUCUCAAAAGAUUAGAUCACUUCACAUCUUGUGUAUGUGAAAACUAAUGUAAAAAGUUGAAACUUUAUCGUAAAACCUCGACAAAAAUGAGCUCUACUAGAAAAUGUUCAAUUUGGAUUCGUUGAUUUAAAUGGCAAUUUGACACUUGAUAGAAAUUUUUACAUACAUGUGUUAGUGUUUGAUCACUUCACAUGUUACUUACUAUAUUUAUUCCACUCAAGUUAGGUAAAUAUUAUUAUCAAACAUUUCAAUUAAUUUGUGAUUUUUUUAUUAUUUAAUCAAUUAUGAAUUAAUGGAUUCUUCUUGUUGUUUUGAAGACCAAUAAAAAAAAAAGGGUAAGGAUGGCUUAUAACUCUGAUAAAACAACAGUGACGUGGACAGCAGAUGUUACACCGUACUGAAGAUUUUUGAAGAUUCUUUAUUUGGGUUUCUUUCAAGAUGAAAACCAUAUUAUCCACAACCACAAUGAAGAAGACAGAAAAUGGAGUAAUUCAGAUGUUACCAGCCAUCCACGACAAACUGAAGUCUGCAAAGCAUUCGUAAUCUAAAGGGAGACUUUGGAAAAGCCCAAAGGAGAGAGAAAAUUUUUAAAAGAAGCAAAAAUGGACAAAAUUGCCCUUAUUUAUUUUUUGAUUUCCUAAGAAAUCCUUUACAUUUGCAUGUCUUUGGUUUGAAAGUUGAGAGGUUAUUCUGUCUUUUUUCAAAAAGCUUUGGCUUUUUCCAAAAGUGAAAGUUUUUUUAUGGGUAAAACCUAAAUUUACUUAAUCCCUAAAAAGGAUGGGGAGGCUGCGCAAUACUUAGCCACGUGUAGGCCAGGAGGCUUUCCAAUUUUAAUAUAUAUAUAAAUUGAAAAAAUAAAAUAAAAAUCAAUCUAUUAUCCUAUAUAAAAUAAAGAUUAUUGCUUCCAUGGGCAGUGCUAUGCACAGGACAGUGCCUGCCCAGCACAAAUUUUUUUUAAAUAAAAAAAAAAAAUCUACAUAUGUUAUAAGCUCAUCCAAAAAAAUAAAAUAAAAUAAAAGUAAAUUCUACAUAUAUGUUGCCCAUCUAGGUGGUUCCAUAUCUUCUCUCUCCUUCUCUUUUGGCUAUUAGACUUCUUGUUUCUCUCUCUCUCUUUGCUACCUCACAUCAGCAAGUUUCUCCCUCUCUUUUUUUGGGGUCAAAUUCUUCCUCUAUUGACAAAAUCUUCUAUUAUCUUGGGUGGGCAACUUGGCAACAACAUCUUCUCUUCUCCUUUUGUCAACAACAAGUAUUAUUCUCAUUCUCUCAUUUGCUAUAUAUCUUUAAUUAUAGUUUUAAUUUAAAAUUGAGUAUUCUAGGGUUUAAUUAGGGAUGAAUUAUAAUUUUAGAAUUUUGUUGAAAUUAAUUAAGGCUUCGAUUAGGGGUGAAUUAUUCUACUGCUUUGGUUUGGAAUUUUGUUAAAAUUGAGUAUUAUAGGGUUUAAUUAUGGAUGAAUUAUAAUUUUUGAUUUUGGUAUUAUUGAGAUGUUAUUAUGAGAAUUUGUUUCAUUUUUUUAUUGGUAUAUUUGAUUAAAAUUCUUUCUACAUAUUAUUCAUAGGCUAUCUUUUAUUAUGUCGGAUCACAAUCGGAAUCCCAAGAGAACAAAGAAUUUGAAUAGUGUUGUUUUGUAUUGCAUUGCAUUUACUUUUGGUUUUAGUUUUGCUUUUAGUGUAAAUUACUCAAAUGGUCCUCAAAUUUGUACCCGAUUUACAUUUUGGUCCAUAAACUAAAUUAUUCAUUCAAAUGGUGCACCAACUCUUUAUUAAUCAGUGCUUUGGUCCUACCGUUAUGUUUUCUAUUAAAUUUAGUCAUGUGAGCAGCACAUGCUACAUUUGUAGGGGUAAAUAAGACUUUUGACCACUUUAUCACCUAUGUAUCACCACUUUAUAACCUAUUUGGAGAACAUAGGUCAGUUAUGGACGGUUUUACAAUUAUAUUUGACGGCAACAUUAACAUAAUGUAACAGUGGGAUCAAUGGAGCGAUUAAUAUAGAGUUGAUGGACCGUUUGAACGAAUAAUUUAAUUGAGGGACCAAAACGUAAAUUGAGUAUAAGUUUGAGGACCAUUUGAGUAAUGUACCCUUCGCUUUUAUAUUUGUUGAACUUUUAUUUAUGGAUAGAUAUGCAUUUGAGGGUAAGACCCAUUAUGUUCCCCCUGACUUGGUGUAUCUUUUUAUGUUUAUUAAUGAAAUUCACUCGAACUGUUGAGUUUAGUAUGUAAGUUUUGCCUAACCGGCUUUUGAAUCCUAGAACCGCCACUGUUGCUCCAUCCUCCAUGCACUUGCAUGUGCUCUUACAAAGUGUGAAGUAGAUUUUGUGUGCUCCAAGUCAUUGACUAGAGCUGAAACAUGGUUAGCUAGAUUUAUAAGGACCCAUCUCUCUAUUUCCUAGACAUAUACCCAUCUCUCUAUAAAUCUAUAUGUAAAACUCAAUUUCAAACUUAAAUGACCAGUAAGAUAUAAGAGGUCAUAGUAUUCCUAUGUUUUUACAUCGUUGCCACCAGACUUCUUAUUUUAUUUAUAAUUUAUUUCAAGCAUUUCAUUAACUGCCAUAAUUGUAAUUAAUACUCCAUAUUAAUAGCAUAUCAAUCACCCCAUUUCUUUUGAUUGCCAUUCCCUCUAACAUAUCGCCCCUUAAAAUUGAAAACCAAAAAAAAAAAAAAUGUAAAUUACAUAUCCAAUAAUGUACCUAUGAAAAAUAUAAAUAUAAAUAUAUACGUAUAAAAAUAUAGGUUUAUUAUUUACCAAAUAAAAAAUAUAAAAAAACUAGGUCAGUUGCUUUGUAAUUGAAAUUUCUAUACAUUUUCCACAAAUUAAAAAUAGGUACACAAUAAUUUAUAGAAAAUAUAGGUGCAUUAUUUAUCCAUAGGUAAAAAUACCUAUAAAUGCACAUAGGUAAAUUAUUUACCCAUAUAUUAUUUUUUUGCUAAGGAUUUACCUUAGUUUUUAGUAGAUUAAUUUACCUACCUAGAGGCAUAGGUAGCUUAAAAAAAUUGUAGCACCUUAGUUGGUUGCAUACUAAUUUACCUACCUAGAGGCAUAGGUUGCUAAGAAAAAAUGUAGGUAAAUUCAUGUACCUAAACACAUAGGGGUCAAAUAGAGAAUAACAUGUUAUUUCCCUUCGAACAAAUUAAUUUCAAACCAUAACAAUAAUUGAAUUCGGAAAUUGGUAUAAAUAAAAGGAAAUAAAUAAGCUAUCAAUUUGAAAAUUAAAAUAAGAAAUGAUCAAGUAGUCAUAUUUGAAAAAAAAGAAAAGAAUAUAUUCUUGGUUUUUAUAGGAACAACGUGUAUAUUCAAACCAAAUGGCAGUAACUACACCAAGCUUUAAUUACUUUUUUUUAAGGCCAAAAGUCACUUUUGGUCUCUGUAGUUUGACACUUCUAUUACUUUUGACGCUGUAGUUUCAAUUCCGUCAAUUUUGCCAUUGUAGUUUCAUAUUUGUAGCAAUUCAAGGACAUGUUAAUAUUAAUGUCAAUUUGUUUAAUGAUGCAAGGGGUAAUUUCGUCAUCCCAAAAUCCUUGAGCAUAAAAGCUUGUCUGAAAUUCUCCCCAUUUCAUAUUAGGGCUCGAAAUUCAACCACUAAUCCCAAUUUUUGAAGAACCCUAUACCCAAAUGACCAAUUUCAAGCCCUAAUAACAAAUUAGGGAAGUUUUAGAUGAGCUUUUAUGCUCAAGGAUUUUGAGUUGAAGAAAUUGCCCCUUGCACUGUCAAAGAAAUUGAUAGGAAUACUGACUUGUCCUUGAAUUGCUACAAAUACAAAAAUACAGGGUCAAAAUUAACAGAAUUUAAACUAUAUGGUCAAAAGUGGUUAAAGUGCCAAACUACAAGGACCAAAAGUGACUUUUAGCCUUUUUGUUUAAAUAAGGAAAAAACUUACCUAUUAAAUCCUUGGAAUCUAUACAAAAUUGAAACACAGUUAAUCAGCAUUGAAUUGCAGCUAAUUUCUUAAACAAGGGUAUUAUAGGAAUUUAAAAAGUAUAACAUUUAAUCCAUUGAGCUUGAUUAGGAAUCUUGAUGAGUUGGAUCCUAGUUAUAUAGUUUCUCUUAUAAAAAUCGGGUUUUAUUUAUAGACAAAUAAAACAAUGGGUUGUAGGUAAGAAAAUAUUAAUUUGAAGGGAAAGUGUCACAUCCUGGGAUCGGCUCCGCCGUAGCACGAUAUUGUCCGCUUUGGGCCCCCCUCUCUGCCCGCACGGUUUUGUUUCUGGGAGCUCACGAGCAACUUCCCAGUGGGUCACCCAUCCUGGGAUUGCUCUGGCCCCCAACUCGCUUAACUUCGGAAUUCCUAUGACUCCGAAGCCAGUGAGCUCCCAAAAGGCCUCGUGCUAGAUGGAUGCGGGUGUGUACAUAUAAGACACAUCACCCCCUCUCCGUUGGUUGAUGUGGGAUCUUACAGAAAGAGUCAAAUUUACUAAAUUAAUAAAGCAUAAAUUGGAAAGGGAAAAGAUCUAGAGGAUGCAUUGUAGGAUUGCUCAUGCCAAUAAUUGCACCCUCUCGAUAUUGAAAAACCUAUUGUGUAUUAUUAUCUUCAAUCAUGAAUGAUGCACCUAAAACCCAAGUGUCCCAAGCCAACCAUUGCGCUCAUACCACUUGUUGCAGUACACAUUCACCCGUUUUUAAAGAAAGAAAUUCUACCAAUCGAUAUUGUCUCAAAUUUAAUCACAUAGGUCUAUUAUGGUUAACCAUAUGUACUUUUAUCGGCCAUAUAGAGGUACCUUUUUCCAACGUGCAACAAUUGUAUUUGAUUCACAAUUAUGUCUGAUAUACAUCACAUCAUGCCACUUGCCUCAAAUGAAUUUAAUUGAGUGAGGCAAUGGGAAGUAAUUAAGCUCUAUAUUGGUGGGUGGAGUGUUACUUCUGGAACCCUCAUCAUUCGUCCAUACAAGGGAACAAUUCCCUUCCUUCUAUAAAAUGGUGAAGCCAGUUGCUAUUGUUUGUUAGAGUUUUAGGAUCUGAGUGUUAGAUUUUGUGAGAAGAGAGAAGAGAAUUUAGUGAAAACUUCCAAUACUGCUCUGCUAUACGUGUAGCAGAGAGAACAUUCUGUUUUGUUAUAUAUUUUCAGUACAACAACACACACUUGGUGUGAGAAGAAAAAUGACUGUUAUGCACAGUACCAGCUGGAUGCUUUCCAUCAAAGUAAUCUCAGCCAUUCACUAUCUAACCAAUCAAGCUAUGACACCUGGACUAAGUAUAAAGAAAUACAACUAAGCAGAAAACAAGACUCUUAAUCCUGAAAUCAACUUAAGCACUUAUAAUUCAACACUCCCCUUUAAGUCUUGAGGUGAUUUCACUCCAAGCAUGCCUCUGAGAUAAUUGAAUCUGUCUUUGGCCAGAGGUUUGGUAAAAAUGUCAGCCAAUUGUUCAUUUGUAGGACAAUAUUCCAGAUUGAUUACCCCUUCUUGCAAUGCAUCCUUGAUGAAGUGAUACCUCCUGUCAAUAUGCUUUGUCUUCUGGUGGAAUACAGGGUUUUUAGUGAUUGCAAUUGCUGAGAUAUUAUCACAAUGCAAUGGAGUAGCUUCAGUUUGAAGCUCUCUAAAGUCUUCUAGCACAAAACGGAGCCAAAUAGCUUGAGUAGUAGCCUCAGCUGCACUGAUGUACUCAGCUUCUGCAGUAGACAGUGCAACACAGUUCUGUUUCACUGAGGCCCAAGAAAAUACUCCACUUCCAAAACUAAACGCAUACCCUGAUGUGCUCUUGCAAUCACCAACUGAUCCUCCCCAAUCACUGUCACAGUAACCAACUAGAAUUGAUCUUUUGCCUUUCACAUAUUCAAGACCAUAGUCCAGAGUUCCUUUGAUGUAUCUCAAAACCCUUUUAGCUGUUCCAUAGUGUCUAUUUGUAGGACAGUGCAUGAAUCUAGCUAGCAAGCUUGAGGCAUACAUGAUGUCUGGUCUUGUAGCAGUUAAGUACAGCAAGCUACCAACAAUGCUUCUGUAUUGUUCUUCAUUUGCAGCUCAACUCCCAUCAUCCUUAGCUAGUUUCUCAGUGGCAACAAGGGGUGUUGUCACAGGUUUGCACUCAGUCAAACCAAACUUGCUCAACAAGGUGCUAGCAUAUUUCUUUUGAUGUAGAAAUAUACUAGACUCAGUCUGAAUAACUCCCAUGCCAAGAAAGUGAUGAAGUAAGCCCAAAUCAGUCAUCUCAUACUUAGCCAUCAUGUCUUCUUUGAAUUCAGCCAACAAUGCUUGACUGCUCCCUGUAUACACAAUAUCGUCUACAUAGAUAGACACAAUUAGAAUCUCCUUAUCUCCCCUUACUUUGGUAUAUAAGGUUGUUUCACUUAAGCUUUUCACAAAACCACAUUGAGUGAAGUAGCUGUCUAUCUCUCCAUACCAAGCCCUUGGGGCUUGCUUCAGACCAUAAAGGGCUUUAUGCAAACGAUAAACCUUGUCUUCUUUACCUUUAAUUACAAAACCUUCAGGCUGACUGACAUAAACUUCCUCUUGCAGCACACCAUUAAGGAAAGCAGACUUCACAUCAAGCUGGAACAAUUUCCAAUCCUUUUGAGCAGCUAGAGCAAUAAGUGUUCUAAUGGUGUCCAAUCUGGCUAUAGGUGCAUAAGUCUCAUUAUAAUCCAGUCCAGGCUUCUGAGCAUACCCCUUAGCCACUAAUCUUGCUUUAUUCUUUUGCACUGAGCCAUCCAAAUUCAGCUUUGUCUUGUACACCCACUUAACUCCAAUCACUGGUUUUUCAGUUAGUCUAUCUACCAAUUCCCAUGUUUCAUUCUUUUCAAUCAUCUGCAGUUCAUCUUCCAUAGCCUUAAGCCAAGAUUCAUCCUGAGCAACAUCAGCAUAUUUUUCUGGUUCCAUGAUACACAAGUUACACUGAGCUAGAACAUCAUCUAGCCUUCUCCAUUUUAGAGGGGUGUGAUCAUAAGCUUGAGUUCUCCUUUCUUCACUGCUUAUAUCACCUGGAGUUGAUGAAAUGCUCUCUUGCAUAUCCAAAGUUUGAGGUGUACCAGUAGAAUUCUCAUUAGAACUGUCAGAUUUCAAGUCCAAAUCAACUUGGUUUUCAAUUGAGUAUGUUGUCAUAACUGAACCAUUUUUGUUUGUCCAAUGCCAAGCAUUUUCUUCAUCAAAUGUCACAUCCCUUGAUAGUAAAAGCUUGUUAGAAACAGGAUCAAAAACUCUAUAUCCUUUUUCACAAGUUGCAUAUCCCACAAACACUCCCUUUGUACUCUUAGGAUCCCGCUUGUGUCUCAAUUCAGUUGGCACAUGAACAUAACACAGAGAACCAAACACUUUCAGAUGUGCAAUUCCAGGCUUCCUUCCACUAUAUGCUUCGAAUGGAGUAAUGUUGUUGAGAGCUUUGGUAGGACAUCUGUUCAGCAAAUAGAUAGCUGUAUGCACAGCUUCUGCCCAUAGGAAAUAAGGCAUUCCCUUCUCAUGUAACAUUGAUUUUGCCAUCUCAAUGACAGUUCUAUUCUUCCUCUCAACUACUCCAUUCUGCUGAGGAGUAUAGGCCAUUGUAAGCUGCCUUUGAAUGCCAUUAGCUUCACAAAACUCCAAAAAAUCAGUAGACAUAAACUCUCCACCCCUGUCACUUCUUAUGCACUGAACCUUGUGUCCAGUUUGUAAUUCAGUCAUGGACUUGAACUUCUUGAAACAAAAGAAGGCUUUUGACUUGUUUCUCAAGAAGUAUACCCAAAUCAUUCUUGUGAAAUCAUCUAUAAUCAGCAUGAAAUAUCUGUUCCUUGCAACAGACUCAUUUCUCAUGGGACCACAGAGAUCCACAUGUAUUAGCACUAGUACUUUGCUUGCUCUUUGAGCUUGAUCUUUUGGAAAAACAUUUCUGUGCUGUUUUCCAAAUUGGCACCCGUCACACACACCACUUUGUUCUUCCAAUUUUGGUAAACCAUGUACCAUUUCUUUAUCACUUAGCUGCUUCAAUCCUCCAAAAUGCAGAUGACCAAAUCUCUUGUGCCAAAUCCAUGUGGAUUGAAGAAAACUAGUCUUCAUUAGUAACUGUUUUUCAGCUAGAAAAGAGACAGGAUAGCAUCUGUUACUCUUCAUUUGCACCUUUAUGAUGAGAUAAUCCAUGGAUGGGCUAUCAAAUACCCUGCACAUCCCUUCUCCAAACACUAGACAGUACCCAUGUUCAUCCAUCUGCCCAACACUUAGCAGAUUUUCUUUCAAUCCUGGCAGAUACAUUACUUCUCUGAUGUAUUUCCUGCCCUUUGCUGUAUCAAUACUCAGUGAGCCAAUACCAGCUACACUCACUAAUGCACCAGUUGGCAUUUGUACUCUCCCAGCUACAUUAGUUCUCACAUCAACCAGCAAAUCUAAAUUUCCUGUCAUAUGAUUGCUGCAGCCACUGUCAAUGUACCAUUCAUUGGUUUUGAUCUCAGUGGUUGAGCAAUUGGCAUAAAACAGGUUUCCUGUAACCUCCAUUUGAUUUACACAAUUAGCCUUCUGCACAUUUUUGCUCACUGUACAGUCUCUAGCAAGAUGUCCAACUCUGUCACAGUUAUAGCAUUUUGGUUUUCCCUUAUACCUGCACUCACCAAAAUGAUGCUUUGAACACACCUUGCAUUGAGGCUUUGUGUUUUCCUGAUUUGAGAACUGUGUUGAAGUGUGGUUCUGUGCAGAAUAAUUAUUCUGCUGUGUCUUGUCUUUUGCCUCCCAUGACUUCCCUUUAGAGUUCCAGCUUCUCUGUGACUUAGAUGAACCAGACUGAGAAGCAUUUUUGUUCUGACCCUUUGAAUUCACAGUGAAUGAGGCAAAUGCCUUCUCAGCUGUAUCAACACUAUGCAUUUCAAGCCUUUGCUCCCGACUCUUCAAAAUGGCAGUUACUUCCUGCAAAUCCACAGUUUCUAGUGUCUUUGUGUUUUCAAUCACAAUGCAUAUAGGGUCAUACUUCUUACUUAGACUAAUUAACACCUUCUGAACCUACCUCUCAUUUGACAGAACUUCACCAAAUGUUUUCAUUUGGUUAAUCAAUUCAGUUAGUCUAGUAAGAUAUUCAGAUAAGGUUUCACUAUCACGCAUCCUACUGUAUUCAAACUCACGUCUAAGGUUUUGAAGCUUUACCGAUCUAACAUGCUCUCCACCAUGAUAUUCUGAGUACAGCAGAUUCCAAGCCAUCUUUGCAGAGUCAGCAUUGGCAAUUCUGGGAAAAAUCUGAUCAGAAACAGCAUUUUGAAUGAUACCCAAGGCCUUCGCAUCCUUCAUGAGAAUCGCAGCUGUUUUCUCAUCAACUUCUUCUUCUGAACCAUCCUCAGAUUCCUGCUUCGUCUUUGAAUCUGGGAUUAAAAACCCCUUCUCUACCAAACCCCAUAAACCAUAUGAUCUGAAUAUGGUUACCAUCUUAAUCCUCCAAAAUUCAUAGUUCUCACCUGAGAAAAUGGGGAUUCUAGCCUCUGAACUUCCAGAUCCAGCCAUUACGAAUUUCAGAUUCGCCUGGAAACAAGAUGUUUUCAGAUUUGACCCUUGAUCGAGCUCAAUCAGCUUCGUGAGCUUAGAAUGAGCUCACCUCGAUCGAUUUUCUUCACAGAACAACGCCCAGCUUCAGAUAAUCAAACUUGGCUCUGAGGCCAUGUUAGAGUUUUAGGAUCUGAGUGUUAGAUAUUGUGAGAAGAGAGAAGAGAAUUUAGUGAAAAUUUCCAAUACUGCUCUGCUAUACGUGUAGCAGAGAGAACAUUCUCUUUUGCUAUAUAUUUUCAGUACAACAACACACACUUGGUGUGAGAAGAAAAAUGACUGUUAUGCACAGUACCAGCUGGAUGCUUUCCAUCAAAGUAAUCUCAGCCAUUCACUAUCUAACCAAUCAAGCUAUGACACCUGGACUAAGUAUAAAGAAAUACAACUAAGCAGAAAACAAGACUCUUAAUCCUGAAAUCAACUUAAGCACUUAUAAUUCAACAUUGUUACCAUAAGAGCCAGCUCCGACUUUCUUUAAUUUCAGUCCUAACGGGGUUUCAUCUUCCACUCAUCUUUGCUCUUCUCAGUGUAAGCUCUGCAAUUUGAUUAACUUUCCCAUUAUCUCUCACUGUACUCUAUAUAAAGGAAUAAGUGUCGUCCACUAAUUAAUUACACUUUGUGAGAUUUGAUUUUAAUUAGAGUUCGAAUUGAUGUUGCAGCUAGCAGCGGUGGCACUGGCAAACCAUGCUGCUCAACCAGCACCUCAACUUUACUGGAACUCCGUCCUGCCAAACACACAAAUGCCAAGAGCUAUCAGUGAACUUCUGCAUCCUGGUUUGUGUUGAAUAAAUAUAGUAUGUUACUGGAGUACGUAUGGCAACAUAUUCACAAAUGUGUCACGUAUUUUCCAAUAUGACGUUGAUAUAUAAUUGCAGACUCCACAAACGAAGAAAAGAGCACAAAUGUCAUGAAUGCUGUUGGGAAUGGAAAGCCAAUUGACCACAAGGGCAACCUGAAAAUACUGUACUACCACAGCUUGCACGACGCCCAUUUUCUUACAAGAGUGAUGAUCGUCCCACUGACAAUCAACUCCAUUAUAAAAACGUAGCUAUUUUCUUCUUGGAGAAGGACAUGCGCCCUGGCACAACAAUGAGCUUCCAAUUCCCUAGAAAUUCAAACACGGCUACUUUCCUGCCACCAGAAAGAGCUCAAUCGAUCCCCUUCUCCUCUAACAAACUACCAGAAAUUUUCAACCAUUUUUCAGUGAAGCCAACAUCUGUGGAAGCCAAAACAAUUAAGCAAACAAUCGAAGAGUGUGAGGCUCCAGGCAUUAAGGGAGAGGAAAUAUAUUGCGCCACAUCUUUAGAAUCAAUGGUUGAUUUUAGCACUUCGAAUUUUCGAACAAGAAACGUUCAAGCAAUCUCGACAGAGGUAUUGGAAAAAGGUGCCACCAUGUCCAUGCACAAGCAUACAACAAUGCCGGGACUGAAGAAGUUGGCAGGUGACAAAGUCGUUGUGUGUCAUAAGCAGAACUAUCCCUAUGCUGUGUUUUACUGCCAUGUAAUAAAACCAACAGCAGCUUAUGUUCUCUCCCUGAAAGGCGAUGAUGGGGUGAAGAUUAAAGCAGUAGCCAUCUGCCAUCUAGACACAUCAGAAUGGAACCCAAAGCAUUUGGCCUUCCAAAUCCUCAAAGUUAAGCCCGGAACAAUUCCCAUCUGCCAUUUCCUUCCCACUGAUCAUAGUGUCUGGGUUCCGAACCACAAAUCUGCAUGAUCAUCACUUAGCACUGUACGUAUAAUAAGCUUGCACCCCUGUAUAAUUAUCUCCCUACUCUACUUAUUUCUGCCUCUUCAUGUGGUGUAAGAUAUAUGAUGAGAUGAAGUUUUUGGGAUUAGUGGUCGGGUUGCCUUAAAAACACAGAUUACAGAAACUGCUUGAACUUAACCCGAUCAUGUUUUCUCUUGUACUCGUAAAGCAUGCUGUUGUGGUUCUACUUAAUUUCGUUCUCCCCAAUGUUUGAGUGUUUAAUUGUUACGUUGGAUAAUGCUUGUAGUUAGAGAAGCCUUCAUUUAUAUCAAAGUCCUCAACUUGUAAAGAUAUCAAUGGUCCUAGUGCUGCCACGUGUAAGAAGAUUGAAGAAUAAAGCUGUUGAGAUAUUGUUAGACCUGUUAUGCAGUUUAGGAAAACUGUUAGUAUUGAUAAGAGAAGGUUAGAGAUGUUAGAGAGGUUAGAAAACACGUGAACAAGGCUUUAACUCAGCUGAUAUAAAGUCUGUAGUUGUGCUCAGUUGAACUUAAUGAGAAAUACAACAAGUCUCUUCUCUAUCUCUGAAAUUCUCUCUGCUCUCUCUGCUUUACUUCUUUUGUCUCUGCUCUACAUUUUUUUUCAAUCUUCCUAUCUUAACAAAACUAUCAAGAAUUAAUGCAUCCAGAAACAUAUAUACCAAGACGCAAAACAACAUAUUUUUCAUGCUCUGUCUGUAACACCAAAGCAAACUUCCUUUAUCACAAAAGGAUCAAAUUCCAGUACUAAUCUAAUCCAUCAUGUAAAGCAUACAAUCUACAAGUGCCUCCCUUAAUUUGUCCAUUGGAUAUAUAUGUCACUUUUUGGUAAUUUGGUAUAGCAGCACCACGUAGUCUUGAAAUAGUAGUGCGGCUAUACCAAAUAUACCAUUUGCCCCUGCAUUUAACAGAAAAGUAAACAAAAUUGACGGUAGAACUAUUUGUCCUAACGAAACUGCAGUUGAAAGACCAUGAGAACGAUUUUGAAAAUUGAGGGACUCAAAUGAAAAUUGGGUCUAAGUUCAAGAACCAAUAAAACGAUUAACCCAUAGAUUUUGGAUCCAGUACCACAUCCCAAAGAGAAAACCACAAGUUUGCAAGCAAGUUUGUCCAUAAUAACACUACGUACAGUAUGGGCAGUGCGCUAGACUCAUCUCACUUUCUCAACCUAUCCUAUAGUUGUCUAAAAGAGUUUCUAAUUUAAUGUACUGAGAUUUACGAAAGAAAUAUCAGAGAAACAAUUUUCAGGCAAUAAAAAAAUGUCUUGGCAAGAAAAUGUACAAUUUGUUACAUAACUUAUUAAAUAUGAACAGUUGAAAGAAAAAAGAAUCUGGAUGAGGGAUUUGCAAAUUCCUAUGGCCCAAUUACCUUUUUUUCUUUGUUGUUUUUUUUUUUUUUUUUUUGGUUCUUUUGAUCCAGUAGCAUAUUCCAAAGAAUGAAAACCACAGGCAUGCAAUGCAAGCUCUUUUCCCACGUUUUCCUCUGUUUUUCUCCUAUCAUGGAAGUGAUUAAAACACACCUCUAAGCUUGUUUUGCGUUUGGUAGCCGAGUGUAAAAGCUCAAUGCAAGAUAGUUUGAGGUAGAAUUUUCUCCUAUUUUAUUAGGACAAUGAUAAUUAAAAAAAAGUGUGAUUCAUUGAAUAUUUGCGGGGUUUUGUUCAGACCUGACAAAGUUCUAAGUCAACACAUCAAAUUCCUUUUUCCAACAUGCAACAAUUGUAUUUGAUUCCCAAUUUUUUCUGAUAUACAUCACAUCAUGCCACUUGCAUCAAAUGAAUUUAAUUGAGUGAGGCAAUGGGAAGUAAUUAAGCUCUGUAUUCGUGGGUGGAGUGUUACUUCUGGAACCCUAAUAAUUCGUCCCUACAGGACUCUAGAACUCUCAAACUUCUUACAAGGACUACUUAACUCUAUAGCUUAAUGCAUAUAGCAUAUAUAUGCAAACACAAUUAGAAAUUCUACAACAGAAGCAAGAUCAAUCUCACUAUGCCUUCUAAACAAACAAACAAAUAAAACAAGCAUAUUAAUUGCUUUAAUCACUCUACUAACAUCAACACAGCACACUUAGUUUACUAACAGAUGAUAUAGAAAGGAAAAAAAAGGACCAAUAGGGAGAAAAUGGUGAACUAAGGAGAGACUAAUACUUCUGGUCCUUAGAAGGCAUAACAGAAAUAAUAGAGCACACUGCUUGAAUGCAAGUCAGUAUUAGGAGCAAAACAGCUGCAAUGAAAGAAAUAGUUGCCCAAGGUGUAUUGAAAUAAUGUUGCCUCAAAUUUGCCUUCCAUUUGUUCCAAGGCUUUCUGCAGUAGCUAUUAAGGCGCUCAGAAAGAAUAGCAAAGUAGAAGCUUUCACGAUACACUGCAAUUCCUUUUCCGAGGUUGUUAAUCAGAGUGCACACCUCAUUGUAGUCACCAAGCAUAUUUUUGACAAUCCCAUCCUUCAGAAGGAACUCCACAUCCUUUUCGGUGUUCACAAACUCAUCCAUGAGUGAAACAUAAUCACUUAUGUAAUUCUUACGGCAAUGGCACUAUUCAAAGGCAAUGAGGUUACGGAGUGUGAGCUCUGUGUAAUCGUGUAUUUUUAGUUUUGGAAUUUCUAGAAUCCCAUCGUUGAAUUGUGUUAACGCAGCUUUCCUUUCCUAGCCUACACGGAAGUCAACUUCACAAUCUCCUCCUAGCAAUUAGUCUUUCCUGCUGUAAAUCAGAUUUCCUACUGUAAAUCGGAUUGUAUUCAUGUCUAUAUUAUUUCCUACUUUAAGUAGAUAUCUUGUACUAGUAUAAAUAGGGACUUUGUGUAAUCUGUUAAAUACAAGGAAAUAUAUACUCUGCAUGGUAUCAGCCUAACCUAGGGUUCUCUCUCUCUCCCUUAUUCGAUCCUCUUCUCCUUUAGGUCCACCUCAUGGCUUUGUCUGAAUCCACCAUCUCCCUCCCAAGCCCCAACUCUUCUAUUUUAUCAAGCUUAUUGACUCCAACUAUCUUCUUUGGCUCCGCCAACUCAAACCCUUUUUAGUCGGCCAUGACCUCUGGAAAUUUAUCGAUGGCAUUCAUAAACAACCUUCUGCCCACACCUCCACCUCUACCACCGCAACACCCACAACCACCACCACUCUUACCCAAAUCAAUCAUGCCCAUGCUCAGUGGUACCAACAAGACCAACUCAUUGUUAGCUACAUCACCAAUACACUCUCUGAGUCCAUUCUCUUUCUCACUGUUGGUUGCACCUCUGCCCGGGAUCUCUGGGAGUGUCUCCAACGCCACUUCUCUCAAUCCAGUAUGGCCAGUGAAUCUACUCUUCGUUUUAAACUCAUGGAUUUGCAAAAAGGCUCUGAACCCACUUAUGCUUACAUUCGUCAUGCUAAGUCCUUUGCCGAUUCACUGGCUGCCAUCAAUGAACCUGUCUCCCCAAAAGAACUUGUCACUACUGUGCUUUGGGGUUUAAGACCCUAUUGCAACAUCCUCGUCACAGCAAUUCUCAAUUUCCCUCUGCUUCCUAACUUUGCUAAUCUUCGUGCUCGUUUGUUAGCAUUUGACGCACAGACUCCUUGAAUCUCUCCUGAUCAAAACACAGCGCAAAUGGCCACCCAAUCCUCUCCUCACACCACCGGUCAUACUUCCUUCCCUUCUCACCGUGGUGGUGGCUCUUCCAACAACAGGCGUGGUGGCCUCGGUGGCUGGCGCAAUAGCGGCCGGGGUGGCUGGCGCAGCUUCUCAUCUUCCUGGAGCAACCCGUGGAAUGGCUUCCAGCAGCUCCAAUGACCUAAUCAACCAUGGCCUCCUUUUGCUCCAAGUUCUGGAUCUCAAAGCAACUGGCCUUCCUUUCAGCCUCCUUGGGCCUAAUCUGCCGCUUCUAUCAAACACUUUGCCCGGCCCAACUCAGCUCCUGGUGUCUUGGGACCCGCUUGGUGCACUACCUGCAAUACCAAUCACAUACUACUACAAUAUGUCCUCAUCGCUACAAUGGCCCAGAAUCCUUUCUUUGCUAGGGCUCAAUUCAUGUAGCCACCUGACUCUACUUGGUACCCUGACACAAGUACCACUCAUCAUAUGAUUGGUAGUCCUUCUAAUCUCCAAAAUCAAUCCUUCUAAUCUCCAAAAUCAACAGCCAUAUCAGGUUCAUAAUUCUGUAUUUCUUGGUAAUGGAGAUUCUCUCCCUAUCUCUCAUACUAGCUCUCUCUUUUGUCUUCCAUCUCUUCGUACUAAUCUUCUUUUUGUUGCCCAUUUUACUUGUGAUAAUUUAGUUUUCUUUGUCUUUACUCUUGACUUUUAUCAAAUCUAUGACUUAUGUACUGGUUCGUUACUCUUUCAGGGCCCUUCUAAAGAUGGUCUUUACCCACUUUCCAUCUCCUCUCACUCAUCCAUAGUCCCCCAUGCCCUUACCACCGUGCACUCUCCUGCUUGGCAUCAUUGCCUUGGCCAUCCAUUCCAUCGUGUGCUCUCUCAUUUAGCGCCAUCUCUAGGCUUUAAAGUUUCUCAUGCUUUCUGUAAGGAUUGUGCACUUAGCAAAUCCACCAAACUGUCAUUUCUUAGUAAUAAAACCUUUGCCCCAUCUCCCUUUUAUUUAAUUCACUCUGAUGUAUGGAUGUCCUCGGUCAUUUCUGUCACUGGUUAUCGCUAUUAUGUCUUGUUUACAGAUGACUUUUCUCGUUACUCCUGGAUCUAUCAUAUGCACCGUAAAAAUGAGGUCUUUUCUCACUUUCAAACCUUUCUUGCUAUGGUUAAAAAUCAAUUUCACACCACUGUACAAAUUCUUUAAAGUGACAAUGGCACUGAAUAUGUUAAUAAUGCUUUCUCUGAUCUUUGCAGUCAACUAGGCAUCCACCAACGUUUCACAUGUCCCCACACUCCCCAACAAAAUGGCCUAGCUGAACAUAAACACAGACACAUUGCCACCAUGAUCUGUCCCCGGUCAUUUAUUCAACCAUCUUGACCUUUUGCUUGAUCAUUUUCCACAAGCAACCGUCCACGUACCCCAAUAAUUUAAAAGGGCUGAUGAUCUUUAAUUUGGUGAAAGCUUCUAUCUACCUACCGUGCUAUAUAUGAGCUAUGCAAUCGUGACCGUGUUACAUGACGUCCCAAUGUCGUAGGGAUAAAAAAAUAAUAGUCAUGGUUUUCUUAUUAAUGUCAAUACAUUCAUAGCAAAGAGCUUGUAGCUCUAGUGGUUAAGAGCAAUUACCCAUGCACUUGAGAUAUUUUGUGUUUAAAUCCCCUCUUCCCCAAUAUUUCUUGUAUAAAAAUAAAAAUAACAAUAAUAAUGACAUUAAUGUUGUAUUCUAUAAAGUGUUGGACAUGUUUUAUACCCCUUUCUUGCAAAUUACAGUUUGCCACGUGUACAAAAAUAAUAGAUAAGUGUUGGACAUCAAGAGCACUUACAUAUAGGUUUAAUAGGUAAGUUUUGAAUAUUUCUGUAUUUAGCUUUAAAUAUUGAAAAUCAACCUAUUAGCAUAUUAAAGAUUUGUCCAUAUUCGACGUACAUUCUCUUAUUUUUCUCUCAUUGAAGUAAAUACAAAACUAAGCACAUAGUGGGAAAGUGCGUCACGAUUAGGGGUGGGUUUAGUCUAGGUUGGUUCAUUUUUGGGCUCAAUUUGAACACCGAACUGUAAGCUUCGGUUUGGCUAUUUUGGAAACCGAAACCAAACCAUAAUUGAUGAAAACCGACCACUUCGAUUACCUUCUGGUCUUCCAACCAGAAGAAAACUCAAAACUUUAACCAUACCAAGUGCAACAGAAUUACACCAGGCUGGAUUCAAGUUUAUGAUGGUUAAAGAUAAAAACUUAUUUGACAUACAAUUUGAGAAUGGAAUCCUCAAAAUUCCACACCUGCGAAUACGGGGUUUAACAGAAAUUUUCUUCCGCAAUCUUAUUGCCUAUGAGCAGUGUGAGCUUCAUGAUCAUUACAUCAACGACUAUGUCUUCAUCAUGGACCGCCUGGUCGACAGUGCCAGGGAUGUGGAAUUGCUUGUGAAGAGUGGAAUUCUUGAAUCUAUGCUACCGGACAGCGAGGCAGCAGGGGAAUUUAUUAAUUCUCUUGACUUGGGGCCUAUUUUAGGCAAGCUUGAAACAAGACUAUUUCAGUUCACCAUGGGCUGGCCUGUCUAUUAUUGUAGCCGCUAUACUAGUUGUGCUCACAUUUAUUCAAACAGUGUGCUCCGUAAUGGCGCUGUAGGUUCUUCAUUUCCUCAAUUUCAUGUUUAGUGGUUGCAGAUUUGUUGCUCAUGUACGUGUUUAUCUAAAGUUAAAUAAGAGUGAUUGACUGGAUUGACUGUUAGUCUGUUAGUUUGUUUUUCUGGGGUUUUUCCCCCCUGUUCGUCAAAAAAAAAAAUAAAAGAGUGAUGGCUUGUGCCUAUGAAAAUUACUUAGGAGUAUGCUCCACAGAGCCAAAAUAAAUAAACUAGGGAAGUGGAGGUUCUUCUGUUUGUAUAUAAAUGAGCAAUUCAAACUCUCAGUGCCAAGGGAGUUACCCUUGAUACAUUUGUUAAAAAUUAUAUAUUUGGUCUUACAUCAAACAAAUAAUUUGAAGGGCUUUUUUGACAACUGCUGACAGCGUUUGGCAGAAAAGUUUAGAAGCGCUUCUACGCUUCUAGAUCAUAAAAGUGCUUUACCAAAAAGCACUUAGAUUUCUUAUGAAAAUUUCAACAUUUUUAUAAUAAAAGCGCUUGCUAGAAGCACUUAUAAGCAGAAGUGCUUCAUAGAGAAGCAGUCCCAAACGAGCUUGAUUUUCAAAUGUGCUGCUUAAGAAGAAAUUUAAUACGUUUUGAAAACAAAAAAAAAUACGAAAUUUAAUACGUUUGUUUUACAAAUUGUAUUAAUUGUUAUCAAUAAUACUUGUGCACACCCACAACAUACUUCUUUCUUUCUUUAUUUUCCUUCAGUACAGUUCUGCCUUUCUUUAAUUAUUUUUAACGAAUGCAAAGAGUUUGUCACAAAAUCAAGGAUUGAAAAAAAAAGAGAGUAAAUUAUGUGCUAGAGAAACUUUCCUGCAGAAAUUGAAGAACAACUCUAGUUUCUCUCUUUCGCCUUGUACUCCCGCACUGAGGUUAGUAUUGUUAUAAUGUGCAGAUUAUACGGUCACUCUUGUAUAAUGGCGAGAAGGCUCUAAUUAUAUUUUUGAACCUCUUUGACAGGACCCGCCCCGAAUUUCCCGAAACCCAAGACGAAUUCUGUGGAAAUUCCCUACAUCACCCCGAUGUUGGGCCCACUUCUAAAACUAUAUCAUUUUUCCUAAAAAGGAAUAAGGGCACGAGACUUUCUACCGAAAUUUCGGCAGAGUCUCUCCUGUAAAUUGAACAUUUCCCAAAAUUUCAACCUGCAUAAAACACAUUUUAUAUUACCCAACUGGCAGCAUGCACAAAAUAAUAACAUGCAAUUCACAUAAACGGCCUCUGGCCCUCCGGUAAUUCAGAGCAAUGCAAACUAGCAACUCUAAACCUAAUAAAACAACAUAAGUAACAUUUAGCCAGCGGCUGCACCCAGGCACUACCCUAGGCUACCUACGUACCCUUACUAAGGGAUCAAGCCACACGUAGUUCUUUCAUACAAAAUUUCCAAAUCCAUCAACAUGCAAUCAAUUACAGAAUCCCAAACAAAAUCUUUCUCAAACAUCAUUAGUUCCCAACUCAGUAUAAUAAUCCUUAAUUCAUCUCUGUAAUAAUCACAAUAUCUCCCCAUACGCCGGAACUACCAACACCACGUAUGGAGCCUGCCUGUACGCCAGAUAACCAACGACACGUGGGACCUCAUCAUCAUAUCACAUAAUCUCCCCAUACGCCGAAACUACCAACACCACGUAUGGGGUCUGUCAACACGCCGGAUAACCUACGACGUGUGACCUCAACAUCAAAUCACAAUAUCUCCCCAUACACCGGAACUACCUACGCCACGUAUGGGGUCUGUCCACAUGCCGGAUAACCUACGACACGUGGGACCUCAUCAUCAUAUCACAUAAUAUAUUAACGAUCAAGAAAUAUCACUACGGUCAUUUAAUCCUCCUGGGAAGGUAAAACUAUCUCAGGAGACUCACGGUCAACCAAGGGUCAAACUACCUCAUACUUGGACAAACGAGCCCACGGAGCCCACAACCUCCGUUUUACUAUCCAAGAGUUCCUAUAGGUUCUACAAGGUUUAGGAUACACGGCUUGCAAGUUUGGUCAAGAUCAGACGGUCGGAUCGCUCACGAUAGGACGGUUACUGCAAACCUAGCCCUAGGGUUGGCAUUUUCGGAGUAUCCGAAACUCCGUUUUACGAUCUGUCGAAUCAUAGACGAUCCUAAGGAUUUGCAGACUAACUAUAAUAAAUUCAAGACCAUCCAACGGUCUAAACCUAUCGAACCCGGAUAACGCGCAAUAGGCAAUAUCCAAAUUGAAAUCCGAGCACACCUACGCACUCGUGAGGACUAGGAGAUUACAUCGGGACAUAGUGCCCUUUUUCUACAGUGCCCAUGAGCCGCCGCACGCACCAGCAACGCGUGGGUGCCCAAAGCGAUUAUGCAUCGCCAAAAAAUCUCAAAACCACGGCUCAAGACUCCUACCCUAGGUAUAACACCCUAUUUGGAACCACUUUUGUUCUUGGACCUACCCCAAAAACUGAUCAGAAGUGGCCGGAAUGGCUGAAAUGUAAUUCAAAAAUCAAGCUACCAACGCUCAAAAUCGAUGCAAUCCUACCCAACCAUCAACUAGAUUAUGAAGAAUGGAUAAAUUUCCAUACCUUGAUCGCCAACAAUGGCGGCCGGAGGAGAGAGAUCUGAUCCGGCGAAGUUCGAGUGAAAACGGCCAAAAAUCAUCUUUUUCAGGCGGCUGGAGGGCGACCGAUGUCAGGGAAGGGCAGGGUCGUGACGCUAAGGCUGAGCCUGUCCUUUUGGCACCGGUCCCUUCCGCAGCCGUGUCCGGUGGCUGGAGUUUCGAAGAGAGAGAGAGAGAGAGAGAGAGAGAGAGAGAGAGAAAUCUGAUUUUUAUCAAACCUUUUUGCCAAAAUUACGGUUAUGCCACUGAGGGUAUUUUGAUAGUAUCUCUCUCGUUACAACUUCGAUUCGAGCCCACCACGUGUGUACGGACUCAUCUAACUGUGUUGUACGCAACGGUAUAGUCGAAAUUCCCAAAUUAUUUCCUUGUCAAAAAGUCAACUUUAAACAUUAUAAAAUAUUUUAGGGAAAAAAUGGUAUUUUCUCUCAAUAAAUUAGUAACUAAUUUAUUUAGGACUGGGUCAUUAUACUCUUUUUCGCUUCAAUGGAUGGGAAAAAAUUUUAUGUAAUAUCCCACAUCGACCAACGAAGAGGGGGCGAUGUGUCUUAUAUGUACAUGCCCGCCUCCAUCUAGCAUAAGGCCUUUUGGAAGCUCACUGGCUUCAGAGUCAUGGGAACUCCGAAGUUAAGCGAGUUGGGGGCUAGAGCAAUCCCAGGAUGAGUAACCCACUGGGAAGUUGCUCGUGAGCUUCGAGAAACAAAACCGUGAGGGCAGAGAGAGGGGCCCAAAGCGGACAAUAAGGCCUCGUGCUAGAUGGAGGCGGGCAUGUACAUAUAAGGCACAUCACUCUCUCUCCGUUGGUCGAUGUGGAAUGUUAGAAUGGAAUUGUUACCUUUGGUGUGGAGGUGUUCUAUCAUUUGAGCAAGAAAUUCCCACAUAUUCUUCAACUAUUUUUCAAGCAUGCAUAUUCCUCCCUAUCAAUCUUUGGUUUCUUCCUUUACUGUGCAUAGUAAGGAUCCAGUCAGGGACGGACCGUCGCUAUGACUAUCCUGGGCUAUAGCCCAGGCAAAUUAUUUUUUUUUCUAGUCUAAAAUAGCAAUCCCACCGCUUGCUGUAGUACUUGUUCAGUUCGUCACAAACAUGAGCAUAAUAGAAGUUAUCAACAUCUAUAUAGGAACCCCAAUGAAAAGGCUGUUAACUAAUAAUGAAGUUAACCCGUCAAUUUUUCCGCAUAUCAGAUAUCUCUCAGAAUAUGCGAUUCCAUAUUCAAUAAGCCACUCCACAUGCCCUGAGGUUUUCAUCAAACCACCCAUUAAGGAAACAUACUGACUCAUGUAAUUAUCAUUACUCAUCGGGUAAUGCAAUUGUUCAAAGGCAAGGACAUUUCUCAUUAUUUAUGUAGCGAACCCCAAUGGAAAUGGUGGGAUCUUCAGAACCCCAUCGGUGCUACUGAAUUGUAUGUCAAAUAUGUUUUCACCUUGUCACGCCUCAAACUUGACUCCAGCGUGCUGUAAUUCUGUCAAGCUGGGUAUGGAUGAUGGGAGUUUGAUGCAGGAGCAUAGGGGUGGAUCAAGAUAGAUAUUUACUAUUUAAUUAGUUAUUUCAUGAUAUAUUGUUAUUUUCUUAUUUAGGUAGUUUUAUGAUAUCUUUUAUUAUUUAUGUGUGAUUUUAUAAUUAAUUAGUAUACUUUUGGACCAAGUAGCCUUGGUGCUCAAGUCUUGUAAAGCCUAUAAAUAAGGCUAAUGUAAUAGUUGUAGAAUAGAUGUCGAUGAUUAAUAAAAUCGUUUAUUUGUGGCAUGGAUUUGCUACGAUAUAUGUGAGUUUGCACUAGCCCUAGAUUUCAGUGCUCGUGUAUGUGGUUGGUGACCUGUGUCCGGAUCCCGAUCCCCAUCAAUUGGUAUCAGAGCUAUGGCUCAAGAUCUGCUAUAUCGGGGAGGUUUUUGGAUGGAGGGUCGUUUUAACAACUACAACGACAUGGAGGAAAUUAGGAGGAUGCUACGGCAACUUAUGGAACACAUUGCUCGCAUUGAAGCUCGAACCCAGAUAGGUAAGAGUUCUGACGGGGAGGGAUGUGUGAACCCUUAUCUGAACCGAGUAGCUCGCAUCGACACUCUAAGCCGUGAGAGUCUCGACGGGGAGUACGAGGGAGAUAGCCCUUUUCAUUAUUGUGCUCCGCUGUGUGAGUCAAGUGAAGAGGGGCACGGUUAUUCUCAUUGUGUCUUUGAAGGUAUAAAUGAAUUUAGUAAUUUUGGUGCAUCUUGUUAUUCAUCAAAGUUAUUAAAUUUGGAUUUACCUCCAUUAUUUGAUCCUUGCAAUUGUGAAAAUUGCAAUAAAAAUUGUUUGGGUGUUCAAAGCAAUUUUGAUAAGCAAUUUAUUGACCAGAACAGUGAAGAGAUGAGAAUUGAGAAAACUUUCGAAGAUAUUAUUGAUUUUAUGGGCAUUAAUAUUUUCACUUGGAAGGUUGCCAAAAAUCUGGUUGAUUUUGUCAAUCGGUUGAAGAUUCUAGAGAGAAACAUUUGCAUUGCUAGAGGGAGUAAGAAGUCAAGAAUAACGAAAUAUUCCAAAUAUCUUUUUAUUUGGAAAGGAAGGUUUCAAUUGGAUGCUAAAAGAUCCAAAAUUAAUAUGCAGCAAUUGAAGAUUCUACUCGGAUUUUCCUUAAUCAAAGGCUUGAAUUCGAGGACGAAUUCUUUCCAACUAUGGGAGUCUGAUGCAGGAGCAUAGGGGUGGAUCAAGAUAGAUAUUUACUAUUUAAUUUGUUAUUUCAUGAUAUAUUGUUAUUUUCUUAUUUAGGUAGUUUUAUGAUAUCUUUUAUUAUUUAUGUGUGAUUUUAUAAUUAAUUAGUUUACUUUUGGACCAAGUAGCCUUGGUGCUCAAGUCUUGUAAAGCCUAUAAAUAAGGCUAAUGUAAUAGUUGUAGAAUAGAUGUCGAUGAUUAAUAAAAUCGUUUAUUUGUGGCAUGGAUUUGCUACAAUAUAUGUGAGUUUGCACUAACCCUUGAUUUCGGUGCUCGUGUAUGUGGUUGGUGACCUGUGUCCGGAUCCCGAUCCCCAUCAGAGUUCCCCUCCAGCUUUUGAUUCCAACGGUUGAUAGAGUUUAAAUAUUUUCCUGAAAAGAUCAAUAAUAUGUGCCACUGAUCUAAAAGUCUCCAAAUUGUCUUCCAAUUUGUCAACAGGCAAUAGAUGUUCGAAGAAACUGAAAGAAAUACAAAUUAUUGAAAGCCCCUCAGUAAUGCUGUUAUUGUCAGCAUUAGCAGGGAGUGUAAUUUUCUGUGGGUCGAAAAGAUCCUCGAGAAUGAAGAAUGGCAACUGAUUUUCAAGCAACCACGUAUCUGUCCAUGCAUCUUGCAACAUACCUGGUUUGUCAAAUAUGCGGUCAUUUUCGUCCCAAAAUUUGAAGUAGUCCUUCAAUAAGGGCUCAAUAACGAAGGCGGCGCCCACUAGAAUGAUUGUUACAAAUUCAUCACUGCUAAACUUGAUGGGUUCUCCAUAACAACGUCUCAAUCUUGCUUCGUGGUCCUUUAUUUUCUUAAUAUAAUCCUCCAAACUCACAUUGGUCCGACCUAUAAAAUCUUGCAGGUAUCUCUGUUUGUUCUCUUCCAAUACGACAUUCAAGCCUUCCUUUCCAUGGUGAAGUGGACCUAUAGAGACCGACUGCCUGAGGUGUGCAGAGCUUUUCAUUCACACAUACGUAGAUAAAAUGUCUGGGGGCUCAGAGAGUGAUGAAUGUGCAACAGCUAAUGGGAGGGUUUAUAUUCCUGAAGUAAGAAAUGAGGAAACACCAGCAGUUGGGAUGAAGUUUGACUCGCUUGACCUCGUUUACAAUUUCUAUAAUAGAUAUGCAUUCUUGGCUGGCUUUGGUAUUCGACUUCAUUCUAGCUUUUGGGGGAAAAAUAAGAAAGAGAUUUUGAGGAAAGAAUUUGUAUGUUGCAAACAAGGUGCAUACAAGAAGGAUGAAACUCGGGAGAGAAAAAGACAACGGGGAAUAAGUAGAUGCAAUUGCAAAGCAAAGAUUGUGGUUGUGAAGACAAAUGGGAGCAAGAAGUAUACCAUUUCUCUUUUUGCAGAGGGACACAAUCAUAAGAUGACACCCUCAGAAAGAAUGCAUUUAUUGAGAUCACACCGUCAUAUUUCAGAUUCUACAAAAGUACUCACAAAACAGUUGGGUUCAGUUAAUAUUCCCAUUCAUCAGAAGGUAAGUAUAUUCGAGGUGCAAUCCGGAGGAAUGGAUAAAAUCGGUUUUAUCAAAAAAGAUAUCUACAAUCUUGAAUGUAGUGUGAAUGGGAAGCUGAGGAACCACGAUGUUGAACUAGUGACCGAGUAUUUUAUGGCUGAACAGAAAAAAAAUGAGGCUUUUUAUUUCAAGAUUGAGGGAGAUGGGCAUGACAGGUUUAGUCGAUGUUUUUGGGCAGAUGCAACUUCUAGACGGGCGUAUGGGUUUUAUGGAGAUGUUGUUGUAUUCGAUACCACAUUCAACACGAAUCGAUACGACUUGACAUUUGCACCAAUGUUGGGAGUUAAUAACCAUGGUCAGACAAUUGUCUUAGCAUGCGCAUUUUUGAGCAAGGAAACGACUGAGUCGUUUGUUUGGAUGUUUGAGGAGUUUAAGAAAGCCAUGCCAGGUGGGGAACCUAAAACGAUCAUUACAGAUCAAGAUGCGGCAAUGGCCAUAGCGAUUUCAAUAGCCUUCCCGAGUACAUUUCAUCGACUUUGCAUAUGGCACAUCACAUCAAAGUUCUCUGUUAAGUUACCACGUGACGCUUAUAAGGAGUAUUGGCCUGAAUUUCAGAAAGCCAUAUGGGAUACUGACAAUAAGGAUGAGUUUGAUGCAAAAUGGAAUAUUGUGGUUAUAAAGGCUGGUUUGACUGACCAUCCAUGGCUAAGUUCAAUGUUUGAUUUAAGGGAAUCUUGGGUUCCAGCCUACGCACGACAAUUUUUUGCCGCUGGAAUGUCAAGCAGCCAAAGAGCGGAAGGUUCUCAUGGUUUUUUCAAGCAAUACAUAUCAAGGAGAAAUUCGUUGAUGGAUUUCAUAAUACGAUUUGAGAGGGCAUUUUCUCAUCAACGUGAAAAAGAGUUAGUUGCUGAUCACGUAGAUGCAUUUGAAGUGGCUCAAUGUCUUCUACCGAUGCCAAUGAACAAACAAAUGGCUACCUUGUACACAAGGACAAUGUUUCAAAAGUUUGAGCAAGAACUAAUACAAAGUACAGCAUGUUUCCUAGAGCUCAAAACAGAGGAUGCAUGUAAAGUUGUGUUCAACGUGAGCGAAAGGAAAAAUUGGGAAACAAGAGUGGCAGAAGUCGUAUAUGUCAAAGAUUCUGACCACGCAUCGUGUAGCUGCAAAAGAUUUGAAUUUGUUGGAAUUAUUUGCAAGCACAUCCUAGCAUUGUUCAGAAGGGACCAGAUUGAAUAUAUGCCCGAUAAAUAUAUUUUGAAGAGGUGGAAGAAAACUGCGAAAUGUGGAUUGGUGUCAGAUGCAAAUGGCAACGAAAUUAAAGACUGUGCAGAUCCUGGCCUUCUAAUAAAGCGGAGUACAAUGUCUCGACUUGCUUCAAAUGUGGUUGAGGAUGCAUUAAUGAGUGAAGAAGGAUGUGAGCUACUGUCAGAGACUCUAAAAAGUUUGCAGGUGAAGUUGAAGUUGCUGAAGGAUGGACCAAGUAAUAACGAAGUUGGAGGGUCCAGCUCUCAAACACAAUAUAUGAAAGACCCUAAGAGAGUGAGGUGCAAAGGAAGGUCGAAAGGAAUAACGGGAGCAAAGGAAAAGGCAAUGAAGCGAGGGAUUAGACACUGUCGGGAGUGUGGACACAUUGGUCAUGAUAGAAGACAAUGCCCAGCCUUGAACACACCGUAAGAUGCUACCACUAUUUGUAAUAAUAUCUAAAAUAUGAAAAGGUAAAAUUUUUAUGUGCUUGUGUUUGAUGUUUAUGCAGGACAUCACCGUCGAACAAUGACAAAUCAACUCCAAUACAUCGUAGUGACCCAUUAUUCGACGAUUUUGACAAGAUGCACAGACCAACUGAAUGAUUGAUAUUUGUAUUAGACGAAAUGUGGUUGUUAUGAAGAUUAAUGAUCAAGUGAAGUUUUAUAGAUUCAGUUUUUGAAUGUUAUUGUGUUUUUGUUCAUGUCCACCGAUGAGCUCUUACUAUGUCCACUGGUAAUUGAAAUGAAAAUUUUCUUGGUUUCAUUCUUCCAAGACAUUUGGAGACAUGUUAAUUUUACGUCUUCUCCCUAUUUAUAAAUUUUCAUAGACAUUUGAUCAAGUUUGAAAUUUGUAGUUAUGUGAAGAAGCAAUGACUCUUACCAUGUAAAAUGGGCAGUUUAGGGUGAAAUUUGUUUUAACAGAGAUUCAUUUUUCAAUUCCUCAGGGUAAUGCAGCAAUUACAGCAGCCAGCUGUUGUUUCCAUUACCAGUAAUCAUUUCCAGCAGCAGCCACUUUUUCCGACUGGUUAUUAGGGGCACGAUUUUGUACACUUUUGUAAGUGAAGGAUACUCGAAGCACUUUGUUGGAACAGAGCAAAUAGAAACCAGCGGGUAAAAAAAAAACAUAACAUUGCAGCUAAUUACAUUUCGAUACAUAGGUGAAAAAUAUUAAAGGGUACACUAACUUACAUAAAUACUCAUAAUUCCACACACAAAAGAACAUUUGAUUGCAAAACAUAUUAUGUGCUUCCUCAUAGCAAUACCACGAUCUCCCCAACCAACUGAACAACGGUAGCCACAAUCACUGGGUCGUACUCGUCAGCUUCUUCUUAGCAGGUCUCACAUGCUUAUGGCCACUCAUAUCCCUAGUGAUAUACACGAAAUAAAUCUUCAGCAAUAUUUGGAAUUUUAUUAUAUAUAAAUAAACCAUAAACCAUUCAGUAAACAAUGUAUAGCACAUGUUAUGUAACUUAUGACUCACGUGUCAGUUUUUUUUUUAACACAUUAGUACUCCAGCUCUUUAAUGUAAAUGGACAUGAUAAGGAGCAUUUACUGAUUCCCGGCUUUCUAUGAUAUUGACUGCUUCUUGAAUAAUAUUUCCAUAUUUGCAAAAUAUAAUGUUAGACAUUAUAACACAUGAUGACUUGCAAUACAUAGUCCCAAUAAUUAUAUAUCAAGCAAAUGAAACUGAUAUUUGUGUUAUUUUAAGUUAGAUAAUGACAUUAAGGGAGUAUAUGUGCAAUACCACGGUCACCCUCAACCAACUGAACAGCGGUAGCCGCAAUCACUUAGUCGUAUCGGUCGGCUUCUUCCGAGCAGCUUUGACGUGCUUAUGCUCAUUCAUGUCACCCCCAUCGUCUAGUAUCUCUCUCACAGCAUCAGGGGACACAUAGUUCCAAUCAUAACUUGUAUGAGUAGUUGCCGCAAAUGCUCGGAAUUUGUCGAAUCCUUCGUUGAAUGCCAACUCCAGUUCAGUAUGGUGCUCUUCGCAUCGCAUAUGGUUCAUCAAACAACCUUUGAUUUCAUCAUUCAUUACUGUAUCCAACUCCUCAGCUUUCAGCUUCCUGCUAUGACUCAGCUUCAAGUACUUGUUCUUUUGGGAUAACGCUUUGUUCACCCUAAUGUUAAGAUCAGCCAAAAUUGCCUCGUCUUCAACACAUUUCUCGUGCCAUGAAUUGAUCAGUCUGGAAUUAUAAUCCAGCUUGCCACUGACUGCAUGUAUUGCCUGUAAUGGAUCAUCGGAGUCCCCCUCACUCCCAAAUGAUGUUGAAAAAGGAAGGGGUCGGCGAGUACAAUGUGGAAAUAGAACCUGCCACUCCAAUUUGUCAUCUUCGAUUGUGUUGUUGGCGCCUGAAGAGGUUGACAUGCUUGAAUAAUCCUCUUUGUUUUGGGAGGAUGAGGAUUGCAUAUGCAAUUUCGUUUGAGAAAGGGAACAUAGGUUUAUAGACCAACAUACCAAAGCUUGUGUGUAGUCAACAUAUGUACUUUUUGGCGGGAAUUUUUUAAAAAUAGGUGUUAGGUUUUGCUUUUCAAGCAUGUCAACCUCACACUCUCCUGACACCACUGCUAGUGGUUGAAACAAAGUCAAUGGAAGUGACAUCUACUUAGUUAACUCAACCAAACUAGUUAGGAUUAAACUUAGAUUGUAUCAGACCAAAAAAUAAUUUCUACUUUGUCAACCAAAUAUUUUUUGGCGGGAACCCUUUUCUUGGUAUUACUAUCACCCCUUUCAUAUAAAAUCUCCUUCCACACAAAACUCACUCCUCCACCGAAUCUGUCUCCAUCUACCGAUACUCUCUCAAGCAAACAAACUCAUUCCCCCCAAAGAAUGAGCAUAAGCACAACCAAGUUUGAUGUGAGCAUAAUAAACACCCCUCCAAACAAAGACCGGCUUCGACACGCAAGUGAGUCACCGGACAAGCAAUGUCACAUUGCUAGACAGAAUGACCAUUUUGUUGGAAGUUUUGAGUCUGAAAGAGUUGUUGCUUUUUGGAAGGAGAGGCAUCUUCAACUUGGUGAUGAAAUCCAAAGGGCAAGGGCACGUUUGGAAUUUGUGGAAGGCCAAAUUGAAGAUGACAAAAGGCAGGCCAAUCUGGAUAGGGCGAAGUUGUAGCGCAUGAAGCGUAGACACAAACGACUUCGGAGUGUAGCUGUUCAAAAAUACAAGAACUCAUCUAAUGUAGUGGAGUCAAAGAAGCGUGUGAUGCAAGCUGGAUUCGACUACUUCCGAUCCUAUGCAAAACUCGUCGUACCCGGGUUUGAUUGGUCAUCUAUUACCGUUUCCGACGUCACCAAAUAUACUCAGCAAGGGAAGUAACCAUUUUGGUUCUCGUGUUUUAGCAGAGGCAAAUAAGUGGAAUUGGAAUUUUGGUUACACUCUGCUUCAAAGCUAUUUUGAUGCUAACUACUAUGGAAGAUUUAAACCUUAAUAUUUUGAUGUCUUUAAUUACGAAAACAGAAGAUGCAAAGAGCUCAUCUACUUCAGCCAUAUGUUGCUGCCAUGUCCAUUUGUUUUUGAUCACUUAUCAGAUUUGGACAUGGUUGCAUCAUAUGCAAUGUUGCCUUUAUUUAUUAUAUGUUAGGACAAGGUUUAUGGAAAAGCUUUUGUGAGUGCGUUUGUGACAAGGUUAUGGAAUUAUUAUGUACACUUUAUAUAUUGUUUUUUGUACUGGUUCAUUUCCUACUAUUUCUUGCUUUCUUUAUAUUUUAUGUUUGUGGAAUCCCUCUCAAAGUUAACAUAUACUGUGAAAAAAAUAUUAUGCAACUGAUUAUAUAAUCACUCAUAUAGACUAGGACAAAUAUUCACUAAGGGUUUUAAACUUGCUUCACUUGUGUGAUGUUAUUGACAAAAAGUAUGGCAUUAUUUAUGUGAUUUGACAUGAUUGAAAAUAUAUUACUGAUUCCCAAUGCGGCGUCAUAUGGACAACGUAUUGAAUACCUGUGACGUGUUAAUAACUCAAGGUGCAGUUGCAUGUGGACAACUUCUUGAAUACCUCUGACGUGUUGAAAACUCUAGGUGCAGUUGCAUGUGGACAACUUAUUGAAUACGAACUGACGUCUUCAAAGCUCUAGGCGUAGUUGCAAUGAUGGCUUCAAAGCAUGUGCAAUUAUUUUUUAUGUACAUUAUUAUAACAAAACAUAUUAUUGUAUAUAGUGAAACUAAAUAUUGUAUUAUUAGAAAUUAUAUUUCGAAUAUUAUCCGAAAUAUACGUGUUAACGUGAAUUUGGGUUAAGAGGAAAGUGAGUUAUGUACAAAUAAUUUUCAUUUUCUCAUUUUCCGGGCAUUUUUUGGAUUUUCGUAGAAUUUAUUACCUAUGUCCACAGAUUGUUGCACUAAAAAAGCCAAAAUAAUAGCAAGAGGACACCUGGAGCGAUCUCAGCCCGUCACUGAUGACUACUUGCACAAGUGUACGUCAGUCAACAUGGCCACACCCUCCCAUUUUACCCUAAAUUAUUAUUUUAUUACUUUUCCUUACAAAAAUCAGAACUAAUUACACACAAAAUAAAAAAAUUAUCCGAAAAUUGCUACGAACUCAUUGACACUCCAUCUCCGUUGCUGAAUUCUCCGAUUCAUUGUUACGUAUUUGUAAAAUUAAUUCCCAACAUUAACGGGAGAUGCUUGUUGAAGUAGGUUAUUCAAGUUGAAGUUAACAAACAUCAAUACUUAGGGUUAAGAGGAAAGUGAGUUAUGUAACACAAUUUGGAUUAUUUCAUUGCGAGACGAAUGAUUUAUAGGUUCUCCUAGUUUUAUGACGUCACAAGUAGGCCGGAGUAAUUUUUGGGGCAUUUUUACGAUUUUCCUACUAUUUUUUACCUAGUUUCAAAGAUUUUUGAACAAAAGAAUCCAAAAUGUAAAAGAAGAUGACACCUGGCGCGAUCUCAGCCCGUCACUUUUCACUACUUGCACAAGUGUACGUCAGUCAACAUGGCCACAUCCUCUCAUUUUACCCUAAAUUAUUAUUUUAUUACGUUUUGUCUUGGAAAAUUCAUAACUAAAUACACAAAAAUUCAAAAUUAUUUCUGAAAAUUGCUACGAACUCAUUGACACUCCAUCUCCGUUGCUGAAUUCUCCGAUUCAUUGUUACGCAUUUUUAAAAUUAAUUCCCAACAUUAACGGGAGAUGCUUGUUGAAGUAGGUUAUUCAAGUUGAAGUUAACAAACAUCAAUACUUAGGGUUAAGAGGAAAGUGAGUUAUGUAACACAAUUUGGAUUAUUUCAUUGUGAGACGAAUGAUUUAUAGGUUCUCCUAGUUUUAUGACGUCACAAGUAGGCCGGAGUAAUUUUUGGGCCAUUUUUACGAUUUUCCUACUAUUUAUUACCUAGUUUCAAAGAUUUUUGAACAAAAGAAUCCAAAAUUAACAAGAAUAUGACACCUGGCGCGAUCUCAGCCAGUCACUUUUGACUACUUGCACAAGUGUACGUUACCGAACAUGGCCACAUCCUCCCAUUUUACCCUAAAUUAUUAUUUUAUUACCUUUUUUCUUGGAAAAUUCAUAACUAAAUACACAAAAAUUAGAAAAACGAUCCGAAAAUUUCUACGAACUUAUUGCGAUUUCAUCUUCCUACUGCAUUCCCUGUUUAAUGGUUAUGCUACAUUAGUAUUUUAUUAUUAUUUAUCCACAAUUAUUAUAAUUAUUAUGAUAUUACUUUUUAGGCUGUCCAUUUGUUAAUUAUACCACAUCCAACUUGUUGAAAACAAUUUUAUUUUCCGUGCGAAUAGGCCAUUUGUAGUGCUUAUCGGUUUCUCUGUUCUUCAAUUUGUUAAUUUUUUUAUUUUUUAGGUUGAAGGGAUGUUUUGAAACAUAAUAUGGAAAUAUACAAGUCAUCCAUUGUACUCCUUCCACACAAAAAAAUAGUCUACGUCAUUCACUGUUCAACACCCUAGGUUAAGACACGUGUAACCAAAUCCGUUCGGAUAUGCUAAGUGGGAAAAUGUCAUUCCCAAGCACUGGUGAAAAGACACUUAUUUACUCCAUGCAUGACUUUUGGUUUACCAAAUAUGAAGAUUGGGGUCGGUGAGCAAAAUAUCUGUGUCAGUAAAAUGUCAUUCCUAGCCAUCUAUGAUGUAAGUAAUAAUUCCGCUAUAUAAUAAAUAUUAUACAUUUAUAUAUAAAACGGUUUAUGACAAAAUACCAACAUUUGAACAACAUUUAAACUGAGAUAGGUAUAACGUAGCCAGCCAACCUAGAAGUGAAGAGAAGCAAGUCCACAAUGCAUCAAAACUGUAAAUUCGUACUAAAACUAAUGCAAAAAUACGUGAUUCCCUCGCACAACUUACUCACGCAGGAUUUUGCACCAAAAAAUACUCUCACGGUGCCAUUUGCAUCGGUUGCAGCAAGUCCAAAACGCAGGAUUUAUCUUGUCUUCACUAGGCCACCCUGGAAUAACAAAAUACCAUUCAUUGUUGUUACAAGCGCUGCACCGAUUGAACUUAAUCUUCCCAUAGUCAAACAUAUCUACGAUAUGUCUUGCAACAAAUGCUCCGCGACAUCUUCCUGUUAAAGCAUCCCUGGUUCCUUUCAUAUCAAUGUUGUUACGUUGAUUCAAAGAACACAAGAAUUGUAAUGCAUCCUCUUUUGACUGACCAAUUCCGGACAUACCAAGUAGUCCAACUACAUAUGCCGCUUCCAUAUGGCCUGCCGUGGCUGCAAUGCGCAUCCCAUACAACGCUUCCACCUUACCGUCUGUGAAAAAACCUUCGAAUGCUUCUCUAAAUAUGGACUCAGGGUUAUCGCAAGCCCUGCAUUGUUGCAAGAAAUGCUGGACUGCAGGUUUGGCACGGUAGCAGAUAGGAUGGUGUGGGUACUUUGCCAUUGAAAUGGUGUUCCACACUUGUGGACUGUUUGCCAAAAUGUUGAACAAUCGGCACACACAUGCCAUACGGAAGAGAUCUUCCGAUGAUUCGGUUGCCACGUAUAACAUCACUUGAAACCAAGCGGACUCCGGGAUAAAGGCUUCGGGCAUAUCGAAAUGGAGAUGCUUCCUUCUCUUUCCUCCGACUGUAGUGAAGUGUUUCGAAUUCAUUGAAAAGUUUUUGGAAUGGAACGAUUUGAGGAGUGGCAGAGGGGAUAAAUGAUAAUAUUUGGGGUACACGUUCUACUUCCGAGCCUCUGUUUAUAGUGUUUUGAAAAGGUGUUUCCAGUUGGGGUUUUUCCAAGUUGACCCUUUUGAAAGAAACUGAAUCCAAGUGAAUUAAAACUUAAGACAAAAGAAGGGAAAACGUCAUAACGGUGCAUACAGAGUCAGACAGUUAAAAAGUUAAUUAAAUGGCUAUUUGCAUAGCCAUUUUUGGGUUUAUCCCACUAUCAAAUUCAUUGAUACAAAUGUGAUGGAUUACUGACUAGUGACAGAAGGUCCCAUCAUAUACUUUUUCAUUUUCGCACACCCAACUAUCCCUAGUAAUGUUAUUAAAAUGGAACCAAUAAUGACGGAUUCUUAUCCAACUAGUUGCCUUAAUGAAAUAUAAAUAAAUUAAUAAAAUUGAAGCAGUGUCCCGUCAUUAGUCAGAAAAUAUAUUUGGUAGUGAAGUAGUUUCUAUUGCUUUUCGGGCUAAAAGAUGUCACAAUGCUGACGGUACAGGUGUCGACAUCGUGACCAACCCACCAAAUGAUCCCAAAAAAAAGUAAUAUAACUCGAUUUGGGCAGAGAUGAGAGAGAGCUGAGUGACAAGUUUAGGGUUAUGAGUGAAGGGGUAUGAAUGACAACUAUGAGUGAGAAGGUAUGAGUCCGAAGAGGUUUCAGUGAGAAGAUUUGAGUGAGAAGAGGUACAACUGAGAAGAUUCAACAUGUCUUCGUCUUCAUCUCCUGCUCAAACAAAGAGGUGUCAGUAUUGUGGAGCUACAAUGGUGCUUCGGGUUUCAAAAUCUGAAAAAAAAUCGAGGGAAGCCAUUCUGGAAGUGUCUAACCUCCUAUGUAAGUUUUAAUUUAAAGAAUAUGUAUGUGGGUGAAAAAAAACCUAUGUCUAACUCUGACAGAAUUAUAUUCCAUAUAUGAUGCCUGCAAUUAGGGAGCCACCAGUUGCAAUGGAUUCGAAUGGGUUGAUGUAACCUCCGCUGAAGCAGAACAUCAAGAUGACACGUAUGAUGUUAGAGUGCUGAACAUGCUGAAGUCCAUUAAGGACUUGGUAUUAGUUUUAUUAGUUGUAUUAAUUGUCAUUUUAUUUGUUCUUUUAAUGAUCAUUUAACUGCACGGUUUAAAAGAUUGUGAAAGUUCUCUCGCACAAGACAUAUUGCACGCACCACCAAUGAGACCCUAAACCCAUUUUGUAAUAUUUGGUAACUGCAUGUAUUUCGCAUGUUAUUGAAUGUUUAUUGAAGGUUUAUUGAUAGUUUGCUGCAUGUAUAUGGAAUAUCAUUGCCCCAAAAUUGGAUGUUUAUUGGGGCCACAAGUAUCACUCAAGUAAGAAUGAAGGGGAGAAACGGACCUUAUUCUUUCUUAUAGUAGGAAGAACAACUGUUAAGUUUAAUAUCCUAUUCAAUACGACUUCCCUAUGGUUGGUGUACUUGGGGACUGAAGUAUAUUGCAUCAUUAUUGUGGGCAAGGGCAUGUCUAUUGUGUGUGUUAAGGGAGUAUUGUGUGGGCAAGGGCAUGUCUACUGUGUGUAUAUUGCAUGUCUACUGUGUGUAUAUUGCAUAUCUAUUCUCUGUAUAUGGCAGGCCAAGUUUGUGUAUAUUGUUUGUCUGUUGUGUGUGUAUUGCUUGUCGGUGCGUUUGUGAAUUGUGGUUCAUUUUGUGUAUAUUGUCUUUGUUUCUACUUUUAUGCUACUGAGCUGCGGAAAACCUCGCAUGUUUAGACACCUAUUAUGAUGCAACACAUUGCGAUUAAUGGUGGCUUGCAUCAACAAUGACAUAUCACUUUGCAAUGAUGUAAUACACUUAAAAAGCCGUCUUCAAAUCCCAAUUCACAUAUGCAGUCUUAAAAUUCUAAUUCAAUGCAGUUUGGUUAACAAACAUGUAAAUGUCAUGAAGGAGUUAGCGGUAGAAUUCGAUAAGGACCCGUACGUCUCUAUUGUGUAUUUACAUUAGUUUGAGAAUGGACAUUCCCAAAACCUUCUCAUGUACCAUUUGUCAUCUUCAACCAAUAUCAUGGGAAGUAAGCAUCUCCCCUUGUUAUCUCCGCAGCCAAUUUCAACCGAAAAAAAGGCAUGUUGUGCGAGGUGCAAGUAGCUAACGGAAGCUUAGCGCUGAAAAGCUCAAUGUACUUUAACACAAACAUGCCACAAUCGCCUCUGAAGCAAAACAAGAACUCGAUCAAUUCAACUAAUGACAUUCUAAUGUAAUUGACAAUUGAAAGUAAUAAAAUUAAAUUGCAAGUUGUGCUUACUCAUUAGACUGUUGUGGAACAUCCACACGCUCUAUUGGCCACGGACACCACCAAUCUCGGCUGCAAUUGUUUGCAUAAACACCUUCUUCAUAAAAGUCGAUGGUGUUGAGAAGAUUUGGAAGCGUAAUUGAUAGCGGGCCGAGUUCUUCCUUUACGAUGUCAUCUGGAAUUAGUGAAACCUUUGAAUCGUACACUUUGAUUCACACAAUACCAGAUCAAACANNNNNNNNNNNNNNNNNNNNNNNNNNNNNNNNNNNNNNNNNNNNNNNNNNNNNNNNNNNNNNNNNNNNNNNNNNNNNNNNNNNNNNNNNNNNNNNNNNNNNNNNNNNNNNNNNNNNNNNNNNNNNNNNNNNNNNNNNNNNNNNNNNNNNNNNNNNNNNNNNNNNNNNNNNNNNNNNNNNNNNNNNNNNNNNNNNNNNNNNNNNNNNNNNNNNNNNNNNNNNNNNNNNNNNNNNNNNNNNNNNNNNNNNNNNNNNNNNNNNNNNNNNNNNNNNNNNNNNNNNNNNNNNNNNNNNNNNNNNNNNNNNNNNNNNNNNNNNNNNNNNNNNNNNNNNNNNNNNNNNNNNNNNNNNNNNNNNNNNNNNNNNNNNNNNNNNNNNNNNNNNNNNNNNNNNNNNNNNNNNNNNNNNNNNNNNNNNNNNNNNNNNNNNNNNNNNNNNNNNNNNNNNNNNNNNNNNNNNNNNNNNNNNNNNNNNNNNNNNNNNNNNNNNNNNNNNNNNNNNNNNNNNNNNNNNNNNNNNNNNNNNNNNNNNNNNNNNNNNNNNNNNNNNNNNNNNNNNNNNNNNNNNNNNNNNNNNNNNNNNNNNNNNNNNNNNNNNNNNNNNNNNNNNNNNNNNNNNNNNNNNNNNNNNNNNNNNNNNNNNNNNNNNNNNNNNNNNNNNNNNNNNNNNNNNNNNNNNNNNNNNNNNNNNNNNNNNNNNNNNNNNNNNNNNNNNNNNNNNNNNNNNNNNNNNNNNNNNNNNNNNNNNNNNNNNNNNNNNNNNNNNNNNNNNNNNNNNNNNNNNNNNNNNNNNNNNNNNNNNNNNNNNNNNNNNNNNNNNNNNNNNNNNNNNNNNNNNNNNNNNNNNNNNNNNNNNNNNNNNNNNNNNNNNNNNNNNNNNNNNNNNNNNNNNNNNNNNNNNNNNNNNNNNNNNNNNNNNNNNNNNNNNNNNNNNNNNNNNNNNNNNNNNNNNNNNNNNNNNNNNNNNNNNNNNNNNNNNNNNNNNNNNNNNNNNNNNNNNNNNNNNNNNNNNNNNNNNNNNNNNNNNNNNNNNNNNNNNNNNNNNNNNNNNNNNNNNNNNNNNNNNNNNNNNNNNNNNNNNNNNNNNNNNNNNNNNNNNNNNNNNNNNNNNNNNNNNNNNNNNNNNNNNNNNNNNNNNNNNNNNNNNNNNNNNNNNNNNNNNNNNNNNNNNNNNNNNNNNNNNNNNNNNNNNNNNNNNNUUUUCCUCUCCCUCAUCUCUAUUAUUUGGCCCUUCACCCCCUUCAAUCCCUUCAUCUUCUUUUUCCUCUCCCUCAUUUCUGUUACUUGGCCCUUCAUCCCAUUGAAUGUCAUCCAUUUCCCCAUAUCCCUUAAAUAGAUGUGAGACGACACAACGAUUCGUCCUCUGUUUCAGUAAAGCUAGGUCCCUCCUUACUUCCUGCUCAAACUGAGGACCUAAACAUUGGUCCAAUAGUUUUUCCAUCCGUAUGACCUUUAAGUGAAGGACGUCUUUUUCCCGCUUUUCUUGAAACAACUCGGACCUCAACAAGCUUACCACCUUGUUCAACUCAUCAAGAUCACCACAUGAAGAAGGAAUUGACUCUGCCGAGACAACAGCAGGGCGAUCCUGUGGCCAACUCCAAUAUGGCUGUCUCAUUUCCUCUUCACUUAGACAUAGCGCCCGCAACUGAACUGACUGUUUCAGAAUACAGACAAGAGUCAUAUUAAAUCAUUCUACUUCAUAAUUUCAUUCAAUCUUAUCAAUAGUUCUAAGGGCUGCAAACCAAACCUCUUUGCUCUGGAAAAAAUAAUUGUUCAACUUUCUCAUCUCUGGAACAGACGUAGUAGUUCUCCAUCGCAAAAUACGCGGGACAGCGGUCGGAUCAACAACCUUGCAGUAAUUCAGGUCCGCCAUUCUAGGAAUUAAUUCAUAUACCCAAAUCUACACAAUUCACAGGACAAAAGUCAUUAUUUAUGUUUUAAAGAAAAACAAAACAUAACUGACAUGAACAUUAUUACCAUGUACCUGGAAAGCAUACGUGAAACCUUUAAAACUCCAGCCACUCCUUUGCGCUUCACUAUGCUUAUCCUUCUUGCCCUUCUCAUUUCUCCGGCUUGUUCCCGUUACCUUACUUUUCCCCUUCCCUCUUCCCUCUUCAUUUUCCAAGCUUUUCACAUACUUUGUUGGUGCAGAAAAUAGACUGUCUUGGGUUUUGUCAAAGGACACCGAACCCCACGGAUACCUGUUGAACGCAUCCAAGUCCUCUACAAGGGUCAGGUAAUUUAGAUUGAUGUUCAAAUGUUUGUCCCUUCCCAAAACCACUAACUCAGCAAAGUAAACAAGAGGUAGCUUGAAGAUGUCAUCUUCCUCUGUGCACCUCACAAAUGCUUCUUCUAAAGCAUUGCAUGUAAUUCCUUCGUCUAUAAAAUAUCUUUUCUGAAGUCUGAUUUCAUUACUCUCUCCACUGGAAACUUCAGGCACUUCCCCAAAACGAAGCCCUGUGAUCAAACAGAAAUCCUGACGAGUGAACUGAGCAACGUCACACCCUAAUAAGAAACUCAGUCCAUCCAAGUCUUUCACACCCUGCCCCGCUACUCUACGCAACACAACCCCAUGCACAAUCUGUCCGCUAAACUGAAUCUUAUCUAUAUUCAGAAGAUGGCCAAAGCAUGAUGUCUUGAAUUGUUCUAAUUGUUCCGCACUCAACUUCGCUCGAAUUGCAGCUAGAGAUGAAUUUGCAUGUGAGCAGUUGUUCACCCGUGAUGAAUAUACCUCUGCCUCUGGCCAUACCAGCUCCACGUUGGAUCCCAUUUCCUCAAAUACAAUGUGAAAUAACGUGAACAUAUAUACUACCACGUAUUUGCACAAUCACAACUAGUCAACCAGGCACAUUACAACUUUUACAAAGUACAUGAGCAUAUGGAUUACUCAUCACAGGCUUUAACAUCAUCAAAGCAAUAUGACAAUUUUUGUGCAAAUACCUGUUAAUGCAAUGAUUAUGUGAAUUACAAACAAUUUCACGUGUUUUAUUUAUGGAUCCAUACUCGUGUGAGUGCAAUGUAGGCAAGUUCUGCACUUCACACACAUGACAAUUAUUGUCAUCUCAUACACAACCCAAAAUAAAUAAAUAAGAAAUAUAGUGGAAGGAAGCAAAGCAAAGCAUGUACUCUGCUAUCUGCUUGCUAAGCAAUUGCCACAUCCUUCUUUCUUUCUACCUUUUUCUUCAGUCACCCACAAUCGUCAUAGAUCAACCUUCAUUUCAAAUGCUUUGCACUUUUAUUCAUGAGUUUAUUAUUAUCUGUUCUCAUUUCUCAUAGGCAAAUUUAGUAACAAAUGAAAUAAUAUUUAUUUCACAAAAUAUAUAAAUUCUAGUGCCAGAGAGGUACUCUUCACUCUGCACUGCUUCAAAUGUGGAAGGUUUUGAGAUGUUAUUGACAUGUGAUUGACUUUAUUUUCAUUCGUUUUUUAACAUAUACCCAAGCAAAAAUUAACAUGCAAUUGAAGCACAAAUAAGAGAUGCCAAAUCCAACAACAUUGAUGGUACAAAUUGGGGAAAACCAUUACUCUAACCCUAAACUCAAAUUCCUUACAUUACUCAUCAAAUGCUUUGCAGUUCUAUUCAUGAGUUUAUUAUUAUCUGUUCAAAUGUUUCUCAGGCAAAUUUAGUAACAAAGGAAAUCAUAUUUACUUCAUAAAAUAUAUAUAUAUAUAUAUAUAUUCUAGCGCCUCUUCUUAAUCUGCACUAUGCACUGCUUCAAAUGUGGAAGGUUUUGAGGGCCUCCUCCAAUUCAACACCAUUAUCUUAUUCAUAUCAUUAUUGACAUGUUAUUCACUUGUUAUUGACUUCAUUUUCAUUCUUUUUUUAACAUAUACCUAAGCAAAAAUUAACAUGCAACUGAAGCACAACGAAGAGAUGCCAAAUCCAACAAAAUUUAUGGUACAAAUUGGGGAAAACCAUUACUCUAACCCUAAACUCAAAUUCCAUAAAUUACUCACCAAAUGCUGGUUAUUGCAAGGUGUCUGUGUGGGGUCUUUCUGUUUCUUUGCUCCACAAAUGGAACCUACCACUUCCAACGAAUACAGCUUUUCCCCUUCCCCUUCCACUGCUUCGCCUCUUCACUGAUUUGGAAUCCACACCUUUGCCCCUUCUACUCCAAAUAAAUACUUUCUCGGGGUCUGGAGAACGGAGUGGCGAAUCGUUGCCUUCAACUGUCGUUAGCCGUUGCCUUCAUUGGGUAUCUCAGACCUCUGUGUUUUAGAGAGAUGAGUUCUUUCUGUUCAAACUUCGAACUUGCCUCUUCUUCUUCUUUUUCGGACGUGUUUCCCUCUUCUUCUUCUUUUUGGACGUGCUGGAUAUUCAAUUCGGGUUUGGGUUCCUUACCUACCCAAUUGUGAAACUUUAACUCAAUUCUCCCCAGCCCUUGGAUUAAUCUGAUGGCUAUAAAGUGAACCCCUUAUAACUUACCCCUUAUAACUUUCCACUCAUUAUAGUCUUGGCCAGGUAUGGCGGCCAUGCUAGUAAGUGUUGGGUCUUUGACCCAACUUAAGCUAAAUGGGUCAUAAGAUGACCGAUCAUCUUAUCUCAUAAGGAUAUAUAAGUCAUGUUAUGAUUUAGGAUUUUAUAGGGUUUCCUUUGUAAGAGGUAAGAGAGAAACAAGCUCUCUCUCUCUCUACACAAGGAGGUCAGCCAUAGCAAGGGAAAGGCUCCUAGCACUCUCCUCUCUCUUAUUAUAUCAUCCUUCCAAGGACAGCUUUGGUAUGGUAAAGUUGGAGGUUGCACACUUUGUGCACUUUGGUAAGAACUCAUCCAAGGGAGCCAAGAUUAAAUUGGUUAGCUGUUGGAUUAAAUUGGUUAGCACGAUUCAACGGUUAAUAGAUAAAACUUCACAUAAAAGUCAUAUAUAAGGCCCUCACUAUAGAAUGACUCGUUAGUUUAGUCUCUUGUUACAUAUCAAAUGUUAGAGAUAUUUUUUAAUAAGGAUCUGCCAUACCACAUAGUUGGAUAAGACAUUAUACACGGCUUUUGUAAGAGCAUCUCCAGCGCUCCAAACUAGCCCAAGCAGCAGGGGGGCCUAAGUCUAGGAAGCAGCUCCAGCUCGCAAGAUUCAACCCAGGCAAGGUGUGGAACCCACGAGGAGAUCUAGCCCGUCACCUUGCCUUUGGGUUUCAGUCAAGCUGAUGUCAACGAAAGAAUUUCAAAUUUUUUUUACCGUUACAAUGUACGCGCCAACGAUAAAUUUUCUUUGGAUUUCUUGCAUUGAUCCACAGCUACCAAAAACCAACAGCUACAAGCCACGUGGCUUCUCCAGGAGCCUCCGAUCCAAAAAUCAUGUCAAAUCUAACGGCAGUCCAUUUUUUGGCUAAAAAUAUCAAAAAAUUAUGGAAACAUGUUCUAUAAAUUCCUACAAAUAUUAUUCACUUCCCACACCAAAUCUUCAUACAAAUUCAUAUCCUUUCAAUAUUUUUCACUUUCCAUACAAGAUUUUCUACUACUAAGUUUCGUUUGUGUAAAAAUACAAAUGACCUCUUCUAUCGAAGCCGGAGGCGCGUGUACAACCGUGGAAGAUAUUUUGUUGCGUGAGUGUUGGGUCAAAGUUGGUCAUUCCCUGAUCACGGGCAAUGAGAUGAAGUCCUCUCGUAGGAGUUUCUGACAUCGCAACGAAAGUAAGAUGUGAUAUGAAAAUGUAAGGAAUUUGAUGAGAGGAAUGGGAUUUGAGGAGUUUGAUGUAGGAAUUGAUGUAGGAAUUGAAUUUGGGAGGUAUGUAUAUAAGAUUUGAGGGUAUGUGUUUAGGGAUUUUGAUAAGAGGAUUUGAGGAAUUUAGAUUUGAAGGAUUUGGAUUUGGGGAAUUUAAAUAUGAGGAAUUUGAUUAGGGUUUGGGUUUGAAUAUGUGAAAUUUGAUAUGAGAGUUUAGAGACAACAGAUGAUCGAUUGCUCUGAUACCAUGCUAAAAUAUGAUAUGGUUUGAAUACUUUAGGUUGAGUUUUAUUCUUUUCCAUAAAAAGGUAUAUAUAGGAGUUUACAUGAGUGCUUUACAAAGAAAUAGAUACAAUAAUCAAUUAGGAUAAUAUCUCCUAAUUAUACAAUAAUUUGUCAACUAUAUAGAAUAGGAAAGUAAAUUCCUUAAUUAAUCAAGAAAAUAAAUCUCAUUGAUUAAUUAGGAGACUAACGUCAACAUUUAUAAGCCAUAAAAGAGCAGAAAAAGAGGUACUUAGGAGAUUUUAUACGUCGGACUAAGGUAAGCUUAAAGGACUAUAUCAAAAAAAUAAGGGACCAAGAAGCAAGACAGAGAAGUUGUUAUGCAAACCCAUUAAGUUUAGCAGUGAUGAAUUUGUAAAAAUCAUUCUAGUGGAUUCUGCCUUCACUAUUGAGUUCUUAUUGAGGUUCUAUCUGAAAGGAUCUGGACAUGAAGGAGACCGCUUAUUAAACAAACCGUGGAUGUUUACAGCCUGACAUGUGGUUGCUUGAAAAUCAGCUCCCAUUCUUUAUUCUUGAGGAUCUUUAUCACACAUACAUAAUAACCGACUCUUUUAGGAAUUAUUACAGUACUCAUGAUCAUGAGAGGCUUUCAAUAAUUAAUAUUUCUAAGAAUUUCUUCACAGCCGGAAUAUUGAAUUUGGAGGGGAAGGGAGACAAAUGGAACAGAAUAUCAUCUUCUUCUAGUGUUGGAAAUUUUAUAUUAUUUAAUAAUAUUUAAUUUCUAUUGUGAAUGAAAAAUAAGUUUCUUUAAGAAACGUGUGUCUUAGGCCAGUUUUUCUAACUGGUCGGCUUCCUUAGAUUUGUGCCUAUUGCUUUUCAAAGUAUAAUGAUGCAAUGGUUGUAUCUCGUUCAGGCAAAUGGAAGGUAUAUAGCAAUUUAUAGAACAAUACAGUAAUCCAGAAGAAAUAUUAUGAAAUGAAAAGAAUAAAAAGUAAAAAAAGAGAAAGAAAGGAAUUCCCACCUGCAAUGUAUAUGUAUGAAAGGAAGGACCAAGUUUGUUUUAAAAUGGUAAGAACAAGUUGAUUUUAAAUUGGGUUCAGAUCAACUCAUAGAUUUCUUGCCUUUUCUGUUCUCCUUCCUUGGACAUGAACUGUUUAAUCUUGGACUCUUCCCCAUCAUGUUGGGCCUGUCUUCUUCUUGAGGAUUGUAUAGGCCUAGGAAAUGCUUCGGGGUAGUUUUUGUGUUUUGGGCAUUGGGACCCAACUUCACAAAAAGAAAACAAAUUUGACCAAAACACAAAUUUGAAGGACAUUGAAAUUGUACCCGUAGGAUAGAUUAAAACACUAUAAGGGAGGUAAAUAGUACGUUUACAGAGUUUAAGUGUAAUAAAGGAAUAAAAACAUGCCCAGAGAAUUGAUAAGUGAUAUCAAUUCUUGAAUAUACGUGAAAAUUAUUUUAUGUGGUUAAACCCCACCUCUGGGGAAAAUCCACGGAACUUCUUAGUCCAACUUCUAUCACUUAUCCUAGACACAUUCUAGAUAAUGUUUGCCAACCUCUUCGUAACUCAACUUCUGUCACGAGAUGAUCUUUCAACACUUUAUGUCGAACGCAAUACUGGUCACGAUUUCUUCAAGCUCGCCGGAGUUCUUCCAAUUCUCCUUAUAUUGAAUCUGAUACUAGUCACGAUCGAUUCAAGCUCAUCGGAGAAAAAUCGCCACAACAAUCUUGGUGCCCUCAACCGUAUGAGUCACUGAACAUGCAAAUGAAUACAAUAUGAAUGAUAAAAGUGUUUGAUAAAUCACCAAGUUAUGGAACACUUGAUGAUUUAUCUCAAAUAAAAAUUCAGCUUUCCAAAGUUUAUGAAUUGAAAAUAUGACCGUUAAAGCUCUCUAAACAAAGAAGACGAAGGUCUUAUUUUAUAGACUUUUACUUUACAAGAAAGAAAACACGUUGAAAACCAAAUCUCCAAUUUCCAAGGCUUGACAGAAAAUCACAAAAUUAUCUUUCCUAUUCUAGAGAUUGGUCACAUGAAGUCCAACCAAUAGGAAAUGAGAUAUUUAAGAAAGGAAGAUUUUGAUCAAUAUCAAUAUCAAAUGAAUUCUUAUACGCCUAGUCAAUUGUUAUGGGUAUCUUGACUCCUUGAUAUUGUGAUAUGAUUGAAACAUGAUUUCCACGUUAGAAAAUUAAGGGGAUGUUAAAACAUGAAGGUAAUAGGAGAAUCAAAUUGAUUUGGGCCAAAAUUGCCUAAAAAGAAAACACUCCUUAAUAAACUUCAAUUUACUUUUAAAAAUAGUAAAACGUGAUUGAAUCGUUCUUUAAAACAAUUCCCUAAUAUACAUGCAUGAUAGUGAUAUCACUUACCUUUGAAUCAGAUGGCUUUCACGGGUCAAGCCACAAGUUUUUGUCUUGGGGAUUGCUGAGCUUCAUCAAUCCUGCCAAUGUCAAUUUUGCCCCUAAGCUCUCUCAAAGCACGUUUACAACCUAUGCUAACAUAUAUUAGAGUUUAUGUUAGUAUCAAGAAAAUGCCAACACUAAUUUCGUAACACGUAGAAAUUGUUAGAGAUUGAAGUUUUUAUCAUUUUUUCUUCCAGACUCUCCACCACUCACUAAUAUAGUUUACUCAUGUGAUGAGUUUACAAAACCUAUUUCUCUACUCUCACAAAGACUAUACUUAGGGGGGUGUAUUCAAUUAGGAUUCUAAAGCGUUUAAAAAGAUUUUGUUUAAGUGCCAGCUUUCAUAGAACUUGAUGGAACUUUAUAAUUCGUAUAGAACUUGAUAGACUUUCAGAAGACUUCUGUAUAAUUUUUUAAUAAAACUUUCUUAAGCUUUCAUAGAACUUGAUAGGCUUUCAUUCCAAACUUAUGUAGAUGGUAUAUUUCAUUUUAUCCCCAUCCUUGACAUUUAAAGAAAGAAACUUGAAUUUUUUCAAUCAAAUUUGUUUUUGUUACCAAAGCAGCAAAAACAAAAAGUACUUGUUUGCGAUGGAAGAACAUAUGCACAGUUCAAAAUGAAAAGAAUAAGAAGCAAAGUACCUAUUUGACCAAUGAAUGCUGUGUCAACUAGAGAAGCAAUUGGAUCGGCUGUCAAAGCCAAUGCUGCAGGCAAUGCAUCGAUGGUCCAAAUUGCAAUAAAAAAAUAUUUUGAAUAAUGGCUCUUGCAGACAAAGACCACAUAAAUUCUGAACUGGUCUAGCUUGAAUAAUAAGGUUAGAUUAGCCAAUUGAUGAGAUUAAAAGCAAAGCAAGUUGAUGAAUUUAUCAUCAACUAUUUAAUAACCACAGUCCUGAUCUCUUGGACCCCUGUAGUCCAAGAGAUUUAUGGUCACCCACCGUUGGAUGUAAAUUCAACGGUUGACUUGAAUCGGGUAAUAAUCAUUUAUGUCAUAUUGCAUUUAUAUAUAUCAUUUUGAACCAUUGGAUUAAUAUCCAACGGUGGGUGACCACAAUCUCUUGGACUCCUGUGGUCCAAGAGAUCGGGACUGUUAAUAACCAAUAGAGUAUUUAAACAUAAACAACAAUGUUUGAUCAACAAAACAAAUAGUCCAAAUAUCAUCCAAAAAACAAUAACAAAAAAUCAAUCAUUCCAAACAAACUAGUCAUUCUCAAAAACUCUCAAAAAACCCACUCAUUCCAAAUUGUAGGAUAUCCAAUUUGAGCACUCCUCAGGAGACAUUUUCAAAAAUGCAUCCUUUUUUGUGUUACUAUGCAACAAAGAGAGUGCUUUAUAACGAGCAUGUUCAUCCAAAUUUGGGGUCUCCUUAAUGGCAUCCCAUAUAUAACUCCGCUGCUCUCUCUCUUUUUCCCUUUUUGCCAAUAGGUUAUGGACCUCCCGGAAGUCGAUGACAAUUGAAUCAAUGCUAAGGCUAAUUCUUCCCAUAGCUUGCUGGGUGGUCACAUUUGAGAUAGCAUUCCCUUCCAAAUAUGUUCUAGUUCGUUUCCUCUAGUAACAAGCAUAAAUCCUAGUAACAAGCAUAAACCCUAACCCCAACCUAUAACCUAAUAACAAGAAGAAAACCCAACGAGGUAUUGAUCAAAGAAAAAUUAGGGAGCAUACCUUCACAGAUGGAGGAAGGAAGCUGUUCGUCUUCGCAGAGAGAAAAUCUAGGGAAAGAGAAAAACGUCUUAUGAAAUACUUGGGGGGGAGGUUGGAUUUAUUUUGGUCUUUUUUAUUUAUAACUCUCCCCUUAAAACCUACGUAAAUUUAUCACUUAAUGAAAUCCUUCCAAAUAUAUGACCUUUCGAAUACACCUAGAUUUGAUUCAACUUUUUUAUAAUCAUAAUUGAAUACACCCAUAUUUGAAUGGACUUUUUAAAAGUUCAUAUAGGUCCGAAAUGAAUAUACUCAAACUUGUAAAACCUCUUUUAAAGUUUGUAUAAAUCCAAAUUGAAUACACCUGGAUUUUUAAAAUCUUUUUAAACACUUUAUAAUCCUAAUUGAAUACACCCCCCUUAUUCUCAAAAGACUAUAUUACUUUACCUCUAUCUCUGUGAAAUGUAAAAAGUUGAAACUUUAAUGUCAAACCUCAACAAAAGAUGAACUUUCAUCAGUUACGUUGAAUUUGGAUUUGUUGAACUUAAGUGGUUUUAUUUUCUUUGUCAGUGUUUGAUGACUUAAUUUGGUAUUUAUUUCUUCUUUUUUUUCCUUGGAAAUGUGUUCCACCAACGUGAGGAAGAAAAAUAUGCACAAAUUAAUAUAUUUAAUAGAAGCCCAAGAUUUCGGAUGCAUAUAAUUUCUACAAAAAUCUACAAAGUUUUUUACUUUACAAACUUCUUAUGUCUACCAAUUUCUACUAAAAUUAAUUUCUCUGUGGUGCUCAAAUUCAUCAUAUGUGUGUCGUUAAUUUUAUUGAAAAUUGGAAGUUCCCAUCAUUUUUGUUUUUUGGGAAUUUUCUGAACCAAGGAAAAUCAAGUAAAAUUAAUAAAGCCUAAAUUGGAAAGGGAAAAUAUCUAGAGGAUGCAUUGUAGGAUUGCUCAUGCCAAUAAUUGUACCCUCUAAAUAUAUAGAGACAUAUUUUUUUUGUUUUCAUGACAUGUGGUCCUAAAAUUAUUGUGUAAAUCUUCAAUCCUGAACGAUGCACCUAAAACUCAUCCACCCAUUCUCAGGCCAAUUAUUGCACCUAGUGGGCUCUCGACCCCCUCUCAAAUUUAACCACAUAUUUUAUGGACCAUCCAGCUGUGAGGUACAUUCCCCCCACAUGCCACAAUUGUAUAUUCACAAUUACGUCUGAUACAUCACAUCAUGCCACUUGCCUCAAAUGAAUUUAAGUGAGUGAGGCAGUUGGAAGUAAUUAAGCUCUAUAUUGGUGGGUGGAGUGUUACUUCUCGGUUCCCCUCAUCAUUCGUCUAUAAAAUGGUGAAGGCAGUUGCUAUUGUUACCAUAAGAGCCAGCUCCGACUUCCUUUAAUUUCUUGCUUCAUAUCCACUAGCUACAUCUGUUACCAAGUUAAUUUCAGUUCUAAUGGGGUUUCAUCUCCCACUCAUCUUUGCUCUUCUCAGUGUAAGCUCUGCAAUUUGAUUAACUUUUCCAUUCUCUCUCAUUGUACUCUAUAUAAACGAAAGUUUUGUGUUCCUAUUGUUCUCUCCGAUUUUAUUUAGUACGUACUUAAGUGUCGUCCACUAAUUAAUUAUACUUUGUGAUUUGAUUUUAAUUUGAGUUUGAAUUAAUGUUGCAGCUAGCAGCAGUGGCACUGGCAAACCAUGCUGCUCAACCAGCACCUCAACUUUACUGGAGCUCCGUCCUGCCAAACACACAGAUGCCAAGAUCUAUCAGUGAACUUCUGCAUCCUGGUUUGUGUUGAGCUCUUUAGAAUCUUAGAUAUCUCUUCUACCUGCCAUUUUACUAAAAUAUGUUCCACCACAUAUUUAUCAGUUAACCAUUGUCAUUACAUGAGUGACACAUAUUCACAAAUCGGCUGAUCACUUAUUUUCCAUUAUGACUUGAUAUAUAAUUUGCAGACUCCACAAAUGAAGAAAAGAGCACAAAUGACGUUGGCAAACCUGAAACUUUCCCAUUGGGCAAUCAACAUUACUCCAGUCAAAAACAUUAUGGAGGCAUACCUGAAACUUCCCCAUUGGGCAAUAAACAUUACUCCAGUCAAAAACAUUAUGGAAGAGGCAAACCUGAAACUUUCCCAUUGGGCAAUCAGCAUUACUCCAGUCAAAGACAUUAUGGAAGAGGCAAACCUGAAACUUUCCCAUUGGGCAAUAAACAUUACUCCAGUCAAAAACAUUAUGGAAGAGGCAAACCUGAAACUUUCCCAUUGGGCAAUCAGCAUUACUCCAGUCAAAAAAAGUAUGGAAGAGGUGCUUCUCCAUCCGACAAUCAACAACUCCAUUAUAAAGACUUAGCUAUUUUCUUCUUGGAGAAGGACAUGCGCCCUGGCACAACAAUGAAGUUCCAAUUCCCUAUAAAUUCAAACACGGCUACUUUCUUGCCACGAGAAAGCGCUCAAUCGAUCCCCUUCUCCUCUAACAAACUGCCAGAAAUUUUCAACCAUUUUUCAGUGAAGCCAACAUCUGAGGAAGCCAAAACAAUUAAGCAAACAAUCGAAGAGUGUGAAGCUCCAGACCUUAAGGGAGAGGAAAUAUAUUGCGCCACAUCUUUAGAAUCAAUGGUUGAUUUUAGCACUUCGAAGCUUGGAACAAGAAACGUUGAAGCAAUCUCGACGGAGGUAUUGGAAAAAGGAGCCACCAUGUCCAUCCAAAACUAUACAACAAUGCCGGGACUGAAGAAGUUGGCAGGUGACAAAGUCGUUGUGUGUCAUAAGCAGAACUAUCCCUAUGCUGUGUUUUUCUGCCAUGCAAUAAAACAUACAGCAGCUUAUGCUCUCUCCCUGAAAGGCGAUGAUGGGGAGAAGGUUAAAGCAGUAACCAUCUGCCAUCUAGACACAUCAGAAUGGGACCCAGAGCAUAUGUCCUUCCAAAUCGUCAACGUUAAGCCCGGAACCAUUCCCAUCUGCCAUUUCAUUUCCACUGAUGCUAUUGCCUGGGUUCCGAACCACAAAUCUGCAUGAUCAUCACUUAGCACUAGUACUGUGCGUAUAAUAUGCCUGUAUAAUUAUCUCCCUACUUAUUUCUGCCUCUUCAUCAUGUGGUGUAAGAUAUAUGUUGAGAUGAAGUUUUUGGGAUUUGUGGUCGAAAUUAACCCGAUCAUGUUUUCUCUUGCAACCAUAUAGACUUCAACUUGUACUCAUAAUAAAGCAUGCUAUAUUUAUGAAGAGAUAUUAAUCUUCAGGCAAAUAGAUAUUAUGAAAACAUAUAUAGCAAUUUAUCCAGAAGAAACAUUAUGAAAUGAAAAGAAUAAAAAGUAGAAAAACAGAAGGAAAGGAAUUCGCACGUGCUAUGCUAUGUAUGAAAGGACCAAGAUUGUUUUCCCUUUGGUUAAUGACUAGAAAAGCUCACUUGCAGAGUGCUUUCUCCGACCAUAGAUGGAAGAGAAAUUUUCUCUUAAUAAUAGCACAAUGAUCGGGUAAUUGUAAGAACAAGUUGAUUUAAAAUUCCUUGACCCAAAAAAAAAAAAAAA
rnacentral:lncRNA from 1 species